UCCACACACACACAUCCAUCAACGAAACAAGCGCACAAGAAAAAAUACCUCGCCGCCAACAAUGGCUCCAUGUCCUCCAUCCUGCUCGCAACGGCGAUGCUGGCUGCGCUGUUUGCGGUUGGUUUGUGCACCACCCCGCUCACCUUCCAGGUUGGCAAGGGAUCCAAGCCUGGCCACCUGAUCCUCACCCCCAAUGUUGCAACCAUAUCCGAUGUGGAAAUCAAAGAGCACGGUGGCGAUGACUUCUCCUUUACGCUCAAGGAGGGACCGACCGGCACCUGGACGCUCGACACCAAGGCCUCGCUCAAGUACCCCCUUUGCAUCCGCUUUGCUGUCAAGUCUGGUGGCUACCGCAUCGCCGACGACGUCAUCCCCGCCGAUUUCAAGGCCGGCACCACCUACAAGACCACACUCAGCAUCUAAUUAGCCUCUCAUGAUGAAUUAGAUUUCAAAAGAGCUCAUCUGGCGCACAUGUUAGCAAGACAAUAUUAUUUUUUCUAUGGUUAUUUUGUGGCACCAAACUACCCAAGAAAUAAGUGAUGCUACAUGCCCCUUCUGACGCCUUGUUGUGUUGGGUUGAUAUUAUUACAUAAACUAGAUACAUUAUUUAUUUAAGGUUUUAGGAGAAAUAUGUUGAUGUUGACCACAUUCAUUAUCGAGAUGGUUGUACAUUUGAUUUUCCAAUGUUUUCAUACUUAUGAAAUGCUUUGUUUGUGUAGUUUCUAUGCCUGGAUUAAUAAAGUCUGUUUUAUCAUUUUUAACACACUGUUCAUGUUCAUUUUUUGCCAAAAAUAUUGGUCGUAUAACCAUGGAUCUUUAGCGAGAAGCUCCUAUUACUUACCCCAUACAUUUUUCCUUGCUAUAAAUUAGUUUCUUGGAUUUUUGGUGGAGAUUAUUUUUAUGAAAAAUCCAUAAGUGUUAGCCUUUGAUAUUAUCGAAAGCGGUCGUUCAUGUUCGUUUUGGCCAAAAAUACUAGCCAAAUACACAUGAAUCUUUGGUGAGACGCUCUUAUUACUUAUCCCAUAGAUAUUUUAUUGAUAGAAAAGAGUUUCUUGCGAAAGGUCCUCUAGCCUAGUGGUUAAAGGCUCUCGAGUAGCACCUCCAAGUCCUGGGUUCGAUCUCCCUCGUGGACGAAUUUUUCAGAUUAGUUAAAAAAUCUCCUAGCUAUGUCUCAUCUACUCUCGAGUUACGAUAUCAUGUGCGCCCCCUACAUUUGGACCAUUGCAGAGUGUACAGUUGACACCAAGCCCGUUAGUGAUGGGAAGCCAGGGUUCAGGGAUUUUCUUGGCUGAGACCAGUGUUUUGGUCUCUUAUUAGCCAUCAGUGGGUUGUGUGCUUGAGGCAUUAUACUUGGAGGGUGGUCAUUCCCUUCCCGAACGAGUUUUUUUAAAAAAAUAGUUAUCUCAUUUUUUGGUGGAGGCCAUUUCUUUAUGAAAAAUCCAUAUCUUUUAGCCUUCGGUAUUGCCGAAAACUGUCGUUCAUGCCCGUUUUCUUCCAAAAAAUCGGUAGUAUAACCAUGGAACUUUGGUGAUUAGCUUCUACUACAAUAUUACUUAUUGAAAGGGAAAUGUGCCCUUGGGCAAUUUCUAUAGUGUUUUGGUGAUUAAGUGUCCAACACGUUUAAUUAAGUUUUUAUGUGCCAAAUAAAGUGAGAAGUGCAAAUCAAGGAAAAAUGUAUGUUUCUAGACUUGCUAAAUUGUUUUAUGUACUAACAUGGUUAUCCAAGUGCUAGAAACAAUGACUAAAGAAGAAAAGAGGAAAAGGGAAGGACUUGGCUCUGUGCAGCCAAGCUUCAGCUCGGUCUGGCACACCGGACUGUCCGUUGUGCCAGGCUGGUUCACGGUGAACUCGCCGCUCUCGGGAUUCGACGGCGGCGUAUGGCUAUAAUUCACCGGACUGUCGUGGUGCACCGGACUGUCCGGUGAGCCAACGGUCGCCAGCGCCAACAGUCGGCCGAGACAUUUGCGGGCGACGCGUGGCAGCUCCAAUGAUCGGUGGGGGGCACCGAACUGUCCGGUGUGCACCGAACAGUGUCCGGUGCGCCAACGGGGCCGGAGCUGCAAUGGUCGUCUGCGCCCGAUUUGGAAGGAAAUCGUGCACCGGACAGGCUACAGUAGCUAUCCGGUGGCGCACCGGACUGUCCGGUGCGCCACUCGACAGAAGGCAAGGAUGGCCUUCCAUGUUGAUCUUCAACGGCUCCUAGCUGCCUUAGGGCUAUAAAAGGAACCCCUAGGCGCAUGGAGGAGUACACCAAGCAUUCUCUGAGUAUUCUAAAGCAUCUAGACUCCGCUCCCGCGCAUUCGCUUCAUUGUGCUAGUGAUUUGGCUCUAUUCGAGUAGUGCACUCUCUGAGUUGUCAUUUGAGCUCAAGUGGUCACUUGUGUGCGUGGUUGUGCUGCGUAUUUGAGUCUUGCGUGUGUUGCUUCUCCCAACCUUACUCUGUGCUUUCUUUGUGAUCUUUAUUGUAAGGGCGAGAGACUCCAAGUUGUGGAGAUUCCUCGCAAACGGGAUAAGACUCUAAAGGAAAAGACCGUGGUAUUCAAGUUGAUCAUCGGAUCACUUGAAAGGGGUUGAGUGCAACCCUCGUCCAUUGGGACGCCACAACGUGGAAGUAGGCAAGUGUUACUUGGUCGAACCACGGGAUAAAAUCGCGUGUCUCUUAUGUUGCAUUUUCUAUGAUUGUUUUGUCCACAAGAACUCGUCUUAUAGCUACUUAGUCGCACUAACACUUCUAUAACUAAGUUUUGUGGCUAUUUAGUGGUUGAUUAUACAGGAUCACCUAUUCACCCCCCCUCUAGGUGCUCUCAAUUGGUAUCAAAGUCGUACUCUUCACGUAAGGGACUAAUCACCCAAAGAGAUGGAUCCUAAGGGAAAGGGGAUGGUGGUCAAUGACAAGGAGAAGGAGUCCAUCUUCAACGAGCCAAGAGAUGACAAGCCCACUGACUUAGGCUCGAGUCACAAGAAGAAGGACGGGAAGAAGAAGAGGCGCAUCAAGAAGAUCAUCUACUACGACAACGAUGCAUCUUCUUCUUCACCAAGAGACGACGACGACUCUUCAUCGAAAAAGAGAACGGUUAAUCAAAACUACUCUUUUGACUAUUCUCGCAUGUCGUACAAUUCUGUAACGCCCUGAAUUUGGGGGUAGAAUUUUUUCUUCUUUUCUCUCACCAAAUUCAGGCGUUACUCUUUCCUUUUUCCCUUUUCUUCUCGCUAAGCCUUGACCUUUUCUAAAAGUUAUAGCGAGAAUUAGCUCGACAUCUUGUGUAACCAAAACCUAGAACUAUUUUUGUUUGUUGCAUCAUGCCGGAUUAUGCACUCUUUUGUUUGCGGUUGAGUGAAGUGGAGAAUUAGGCAUAUAAGAAAAUGUGGAAAUUAGAAAAAGAAAAGCCUUUUCUUUUCUCUCUCCCCCCCCUUUUCUCCCCUUUUGGCCCAGCCACCCCUUCCCCUUGGCCUAAGCGGCCCAGCCGCCCCCCUCCCCUUCCCGCGUGGGCCCUGCGGCGGCCCAGCCGGCCCUCCCCCGCCGUGGGCCGUCCUGGCGGCCCAAGCCGCGCCCCCCUCCCCCCUUUGGGCCCAGCCGGCCCAACCGCCCCCUCCCCUUUUUUCUUUUUUCCAAAAAUCCCCUCCCCGCGGGCCCCGCCCGUCAUCCCCUCUCUCUCCUCUCCCUAACCCUAACCGUUGCCGCCCUCUCCCUGCCCUAGCGCCGCCGCCGCCCCUCCCCGGCGCCGCCGCCACGCCGUCCUCCCCCUCUGGUGAGGCUUCUCCCCCCCCUCCUCCCUCCUCUCCUCCCCCUCCCUCCUCCUUCCCUCCUGUCGGCGCCCUCCCCCGCGCCAUGGGCGCGCUCGCCCGGCCCCGGCCGCCCCGCGCCCGGCCGCCCGCUCGGCCCCGGCCCCGGCCGCCCCCGGCUCGGCCGCCCUCGGCCGCAACGCCCUCGCCUCGGCCGCUCCGGCGAGCCCCCGACCCCGGCCUCGCCCGCGCCCGGCCGCGCUGCCCCCGUCCCUGGCCGCGCCCGCCCCGGUGCUCGCCGGCCCCGUCCGCUGUCCCCGGCCGCGCCGCCUCCGUGCCCGGCCCGCCCGCCUCCCAGCGAGCUCGGCCGCCUCCCGGUGAGCUCGGCCGCCCGUCCCGUGCCCCGGCUCGGCCGCCCGCCCCCGCGCCCGGCCUCGCCCGACCGUGUCCUCGCCCGGCCAUGUCCUCGCCCGGCCGCGUCCUCGCUCGCCCGUGCUCGCUUGCCCCGGCGUGCUUGCCCGCUCGCCCCGGCGUGCCUUGCUCGCGUCGUGACGGCCCCGACGUGGCCUCGAGCUCGGCCCAGCGUGCCUAUGGCGCGCGGCUUUGAGCUCGGCUAGCGCACGACCCCGACGUGCGCACGGCUAGUUCGUGGCGUGUGCGUGCGACCUCGCGCGCGUGCCUUGGCACGACCCAUCGUGUCCCCGUCUACCCCCAGACGCCCCGUCAACCCCCCCCCCCCCCCCCCCCGUACCCUAUGCGCGCUAAUCCCGUUGUUCAUAUUAAUAAGAUACGAGUCUCAAUUUGGAAAUUGGUUACAUUAGUUAAUUUGUAUAGCUAAUCGUCUAACUCAUUCAAUGUUAAUCUACUAAAAGUGGUCACGUUUACAUUAGUGCAUGUAGCUAAUUCUUUUGUUAGAACCAAUUGGAACUAGAGCACGUGAUGUCUAGUUAUUCGUUUACCCGUAGUGCACCUCGAGCAUAAGCCUUAACCCCUGCGAGACCUUCCCUCGUUUCUUUCUAACCAAGGUAAAUUCAUUAUCGUAUGUGAUAUUCUAUGCAUAUUUACUUUAUUUGUUCUCUUGUAUGGUGUACUGUUUGUUUCCUAAUUUGAAUGGAUGGAUGUAUGUAUGCUUGCAAUCACAUAGAGAACGAUCCGGUUGAAGAGCCCGAGGAACUCGCAGGAGAAGCCCCUGAGCAGCAGUCGGUUGGUGGAGGAAAGUGUCCCUUGACCUAUCUUUGUCCUAUUCAUUCUUUAAUUCACCUCCCGCUUUACACAUGUAUACCUAAGGAUUGCCUAGCUUUGUUAUCCAUAUCCUUAUUUACCUAUUUGGGUUGGAUUAUUAUUGCUUAACUUUAUGCUAUUGCUCAACUCUAAUCAAUGAACAUGAUGAGAUUAUCUAUGAUACGCUGUUUUCCCUUCUCUUAUCAUGAUGUUAUACUUGUGGUCUUCAAGGGGGCUCGAGCGGUUUCUCGAGUGCCUCUCCGUAAGGACCUGUUCUAUGGAUGACCGCCCGGGAAAACAGUGCAACCAUGAGGGUGGAAUGGGGUGCCCUUAGCUGAAUAAUUAGAGGAACCGGGGUGUAGUUCGCUUAGCCGUCGUGCCGUCAAUGGGGCUCGGUGUAUGCGGCUCGCUCUACCAAGGUUGAUUUGUCCCUUGGGGAGGGGUGCGGUACAUUUAGGAAACCUAACGGGCGACUACAGCCCCGGGGAAUCUUUGUAAAUGCUACGUAGUGAUGCCCUGCUGGGUCACCUUGGUAGUGAUCAAUGGAGAGUCAUGAUCUCCGGACAGAAAGGGAAUCACGGCUUGUAGGUAAAGUGCACAACCUCUGCAGAGUGUUUGAAAACUGAUAUAUCAACCGUGCUCGCGGUUAUGAGCGGCCAAGGGAGCUCCAGUGAUUAGUGGUACUUGAUCAGAGAUACUUUGGUUUACAGGUGGCAAUGAGACUGAUGGUUUUGGUUAUGGCUAUGGUGCUGGUAAGUGGUAUUCUUUCCGUUUGGAAAGGGUACAUCGGGCUAAUAACUUGGGUUAAUGCUAAAACCUGGCUUUCUAUUAGUAAAUAAUAAUCUGACCAACUAAAAGCAACCGCUUGACUUAUCCCCACAUAAAGCUAGUCCACUACAGCCAAACAGGAUACUUGCUGAGUAUGUUGAUGUGUACUCACCCUUGCCCUACAUACCAAAUCCCCCCCAUCCCCAGGUUGUCAGCAUUGCAACCACUGCUCAGGCGAAGAUGAAGCUGUGGAAGGAGACUUCCAGGAGUUCCAAGACUACGACGAGUUCUAGGCGUGGGUUAGCGGCAACCCCCUAGUCGGCUGCCUGUGAAGGCCGCGGUUAUCUACCUUUCGUUUUCGCACUUUGAUUUAUUGUAAGGACUAUAUGGACGUCUCAGACGUAUGAUGUAAUCGACUAUUAUUUCCCUUUUCAAUACCAUUUUGAGCACUGUGUGAUGAUGUCCAUGUUAUGUAACUGCUAUGUACGUGAAUAACUGAUCCUGGCACGUACAUGGUUCGCAUUCGGUUUACCUUCUAAAACCGGGUGUGACAUAAGGUGGUAUCAAAGUCGUGCUGACUGUAGGACCGCUAACCUAGAAUAGAAUGGUCGUUCUAAGGACUAUAGACCUUUGUCCCUGCCUUGACUUUGAUAUCCCUUCAAAAGUUGGCCAUACCGACCAAAACCAUGUUCUACUGUAUAUUAUACCUUGCUGAAAAUUGUGUUUUAUUCUAAUCCUUCAUUUACUUAUGGUUCAUUACUUGCUGGUCAUAUUAAUUCUGUUCUCACUCUUUUGCUUGCGGUGUCUUUUGUAGAUGGCUCGACUUAGACACACUGAACGAAAGUCCGUCAUCCCCUUCUUACCCUCCCGCCUUGCUGAGCGUCCGCUUCGCCGUCCCGUGGCUGGACAGUCCAGCCACUUGGAGAGACUGCACCACCGCCUGCAUGAGGAGCAGGAACGUCGACGACAGGAGCAGCAUGGCUCUUCUUUCUCGCUCCAACAGGAGAUAGAGUCUGUGAGGAGCUGCUCCCCUGUGCUUCCCCUGGAGGCGCCCCCUGCACCACCACUGGGCGCCCCAGCUUCUGGAGUAGCUGCUGGAGGAGACCCAGAUGACGGAGGUGGCGACGACAGCUCGAGCCACGACACCGACCUCUCUGCUGACCAGGAGCCGGAGGGAUGGGUUGCUCGACCCAUCACUCGCGACGCUGCUCGCGGGUGUCACUUCCACGAUGCGCUCGACACCCUGCUACGUCGGGCACUUAACCGGCGUACUUGGUCCAUCGAGUAUCGCUGUGUGGUCUACCAGCAUAGUCGCGGGGUCUACCCAGACCGCUGGGAGGCGACCUGCUUGGUGUGCCGUCCGGAGAACAGUCUCCAGGGUGCGGAGGCCUGCUCAGAGCACUAUUCUAUCUCUGAGCGAGACUCAGCUGAGGCAGCCAUGCAAGAUGCUGCACGGCGUGCGCUUUCGCACUACUGCUUGGUUCUCGGUGGGUUAGCUGACGGUCUCAACCUGAAGUAUUACCCCCACCGUCCAUCUGGCAGCACAGGAGGCGUGAUUGUUUUACCUGUCGGUGAGGACAAUCCUAGGUUGAGCAGCACGGUUAACCUAGCCGUCGUGCUAAACACGGAGCUAGACCAUGCAUUAGACGAGCUGAGUAGGGCUCAUGCUGAGAUCGCCCUGCUGCGGGCUGAGCGCGCGGAACGUCGUCACCUGGAUGACGGUUCCCCCGCUCCCGUCGGGACUCAGCACCCGUACCGCUCACCUCGGCGUGGACACCAGCCUUAUGGCAACCCCGACUGCAAGACCAAGAUAAAUCUAGAACCAUAGAUCGUUAGAGUUGGAUCUUGUAAUUAAUACAAAAUAUACAUACAUAGAAGCUACAGUCUUAGUGUUAGUCUCGCCCUUAGUUAGUCUUAGUUAGACAGGGUAGUUUGCUAUAUCCUGUGCAUUUAUGUUUGUCAUGAUGAACUAUGUUUGGUUUGGAUCUUUGUAAUGACUGUCACCAGAGUGUGGGUAUCCCCUGCAUUUUGGUUUACCUGUUAUAUGUUAAUGGAGUUAGCUAUAUAGUUGGGAAACCUUUUAUUCCACUUUCCUCUUUAUCUGAGAAGCUGUGUGGUCUGUGUUGGAGAUCAGUGAAGAUGCUCAUCUGUUCAGUGCUGUUGAAGAAUUCUAUACUCUUUUCUUAUGCUGCAAGAUUUGCAAGAUCAGUUCUGAUGUGUGGUUGCAUUCUGCAGAUAUCAGAGAACGGCGCAGAGGAGGAAGGCGUGCUUAGCAGGAGCGAGCCGCUCAGCAGGAGGAGGUGCCCCAGCAACAGCACCUGCCGCCCCCGCCCCCGAUGUCGAUCGAGCAGAUGUUUCUGAUGCAGACUCAGGCAGUUCAAGCCAUCGGUCAGACUUUGGCCGCCAUUCAGCAGCAGCAGCAGCAACAGCAGCAGGCCCCACCUCAGCCUCAGAUGCCUAGAGACAAGCGUGCUGAAUUCAUGAGAGGUCAUCCACCAACGUUUGCUCAUUCUUCUGACCCCAUGGAUGCUGAAGACUGGCUGCGCACUGUGGAGCGGGAGUUGCAUACCGCUCAGUGUGAUGAUAGGGAGAAAGUCUUGUAUGGUCCCCGUCUGUUGAGAGGAGCAGCUCAGUCAUGGUGGGAGUCUUACCUCGCCACCCAUGCCCACCCUGACACCAUCACCUGGGAAGAGUUCAGAGGAAGCUUUCGUCAGUACCAUGUUCCGGCAGGUCUGAUGACAGUGAAGAAGGAGGAGUUCCUGGCUCUCAAGCAAGGGCCAUUGUCUGUCAGUGAGUACCGGGACAGGUUUCUGCAGUUGUCUCGCUAUGCUCCUGAAGAUGUCAACACCGACGCCAAGCGGCAGUACCGUUUCCUGAGAGGCUUGGUUGACCCUCUGCACUAUCAGCUGAUGAAUCAUACCUUCCCGACAUUCCAGCACCUGAUUGACAGAGCAAUCAUGACGGAGAGGAAGCGUAAGGAGAUGGAGGGUCGUAAGCGUAAGAUCAGUGGACCCCAGCUUGGAAGUAGCAAUCGUCCUUGUUUCUCAGGCAAUCAACCUCAGCAGUUCAGGCAGAACCAGCGUCCACCUCAGCAGCAUCAGCAGUUCCAGAGGCAGGAUCCUCAACAUCAGUACCAGAACCGUCAGAACAAUCAGUCAGGAGGUCAGUUUCAGAGGCAGAAUUAGCAGGCACCUCGUCUUCCGGCCCCAGCAACCCAGCAGAACAGUCAGGCAGCACCAGCUCAGGUUGGAAACAGAGCAUGUUUCCACUGUGGAGAGCAAGGCCACUGGGUGAUGCAAUGUCCGAAGAAGGCAGCCCAGCAGCAGUCAGGCCCCAAUGCCCCAGCAAAGCAGAACGUGCCUCAGCCUGGAGCAGGCAAUCGCUCUCAGCCGCGCUACAAUCAUGGGAGACUGAACCACUUGGAGGCUAAAGCAGUUCAGGAGACCCCCGGCAUGAUAGUAGGUAUGUUCCCAGUCGACUCCCAUAUUGCAGAAGUGUUAUUUGAUACUGGAGCAACGCAUUCUUUCAUUACCGCAUCAUGGGUAGGAACACAUAAUCUUCCAAUUACUACCAUGUCAACCCCCAUUCAAAUUGACUCAGCCGGUGGUAGAAUUCGAGCCGAUAGCAUUUGUUUGAAUGUAUGUGUGGAAAUAAGGGGGAUAGCGUUUCCCGCUAACCUCAUAGUAAUGGGUACUCAGGGCAUAGAUGUCAUCCUAGGGAUGAAUUGGCUAGAUAAGUAUCAGGCAGUUAUCAGUUGUGAUAAGAGGACAAUCAAGUUGGUGUCUCCACUAGGAGAGGAAGUGGUGACCGAGUUAGUCCCGCCUGAGCCAAAGAAAGGAAGUUGUUAUCAGAUAGCUGUUGAUAGCAGUGAAGCAGACCCAAUUGAGAGUAUCAAGGUUGUGUCCGAAUUCCCAGAUGUGUUUCCAAAGGACUUACCGGGUAUGCCACCAGAGCGGAAAGUUGAAUUUGCGAUAGAGCUUCUUCCUGAACCACCCCUAUCUUUAAGAGGGCUUACAGAAUAUCUGGACCAGAGUUGGUUGAACUUAAGGAGCAGAUUGAUGAGCUGUCAGAGAAAGGUUACAUCCGGCCAAGCACCUCGCCUUGGGCCGCUCCUGUCUUGUUCGUGGAGAAGAAAGAUGGCACCAAGAGGAUGUGCAUCGAUUACCGAGCUUUGAAUGAAGUCACGAUCAAGAACAAGUACCCUUUGCCCAAAAUAGAAGAUCUGUUCGACCAGUUGAGAGGAGCCAGUGUGUUCUCCAAGAUUGAUUUGAGGUCAGGUUAUCAUCAGCUCAGGAUCCGACCUUCGGACAUUCCGAAGACAACAUUCAUUACCAAGUAUGGUUUGUAUGAGUUCACUGUGAUGUCUUUUGGUUUGACCAAUGCACCAGCGUUCUUCAUGAACUUGAUGAAUAGUGUAUUCAUGGACUAUCUCGAUAAGUUUGUGGUGGUAUUCAUUGAUGACGUUCUGAUUUACUCUCAAAGCGAAGAAGAGCACGCGGAUCAUUUGAAGAUGGUAUUGCAGAGAUUGCGAGAGCACCAGUUGUAUGCAAAGUUGAGCAAGUGUGAGUUCUGGAUCAGUGAAGUCCUGUUCUUGGGUCACAUAAUCAACAAAGAAGGAUUGGCUUUAGAUCCGAAGAAAGUGGCAGAUAUUCUGAACUGGAAAGCGCCAACAGAUACUCGAGGAAUCAAGAGUUUCAUUGGAAUGGCCGGAUAUUAUCGGCGAUUCAUUGAAGGGUUUUCGAAGAUUGUGAAACCAAUGACAGCGUUGCUAGGCAACAAAGUUGAGUUCAAGUGGACCCAGAAAUGUCAAGAGGCCUUUGAAGCGCUGAAAGAGAAGUUGACAACAGCGCCUGUCCUAGUCUUGCCUGAUGUGCACAAGCCCUUCUCGGUGUAUUGUGAUGCUUGCUACACAGGUUUGGGAUGUGUGUUGAUGCAAGAGGGAAGAGUUGUGGCUUACUCGUCCCGACAGUUGAAGGUUCAUGAGAAGAAUUACCUAAUCCAUGAUCUAGAGUUGGCAGUAGUGGUUCACGCAUUGAAGACAUGGAGGCACUACCUGUAUGGACAGAAAUGUGAUGUUUACACAGACCACAAGAGUCUGAAGUACAUAUUCACUCAGUCAGAGUUGAAUAUGAGGCAGCGAAGAUGGUUAGAGUUGAUCAAAGACUAUGAGUUGGAGAUCCAUUACCAUCCAGGCAAAGCAAACGUAGUGGCAGAUGCUUUGAGCAGGAAGAGUCAAGUCAAUCUGAUGGUCGCUCGUCCGAUGCCUUAUGAGUUGGCCAAAGAGUUUGACAGGUUGAGUCUCGGAUUUCUGAACAAUUCGUGAGGAGUCACAGUUGAGUUGGAACCUACCUUGGAGCGGGAAAUCAAAGAAGCACAGAAGAAUGAUGAGAAGAUCAGUGAGAUCCAGCGACCGAUUCUAGAUGGCAGAGGCAAAGAUUUUCGAGAAGAUGCAGAGGGUGUGUUAUGGUUCAAAGACCGCUUGUGUGUUCCCAAUGUCCAAUCCAUUCGGGAGUUGAUCCUCAAGGAAGCUCAUGAGACAGCCUAUUCGAUUCACCCUGGCAGUGAGAAGAUGUAUCAAGAUCUGAAGAAGAAAUUCUGGUGGUAUGGAAUGAAGAGGGAAAUCGCAGAGCAUGUGGCUAUGUGUGAUAGUUGUCGAAGGAUUAAGGCAGAGCACCAAAGACCAGCUGGAUUGUUGCAACCAUUGCAGAUCCCUCAGUGGAAAUGGGAUGAAAUCGGUAUGGAUUUCAUAGUCGGAUUGCCUCGCACUCGAGCCGGCUACGAUUCCAUUUGGGUAGUAGUGGACCGCUUGACCAAGUCAGCCCACUUCAUACCUGUCAAGACCAACUAUAGCAGUGCAGUAUUGGCAGAGUUGUAUAUGUCUCGGAUCGUUUGUCUUCAUGGUGUGCCAAAGAAGAUAGUGUCAGACAGAGGAACGCAGUUCACCUCUCAUUUCUGGCAGCAGUUGCAUGAAGCCUUGGGCACACAUCUGAAUUUCAGUUCAGCUUAUCAUGCGCAGACAGAUGGCCAGACCGAAAGGACCAAUCAAAUUCUUGAAGACAUGUUGAGAGCCUGUGCGUUGCAAGAUCAGUCCGGAUGGGACAAGAGAUUGCCUUAUGCAGAGUUUUCCUAUAACAACAGUUACCAGGCCAGUUUGAAGAUGUCACCAUUUCAGGCGCUUUAUGGAAGGAGUUGUAGAACUCCGUUGCAAUGGGAUCAGCCUGGAGAAAAGCAGGUGUUUGGGCCAGACAUUUUACUUGAAGCUGAAGAGAACAUCAAGAUGGUCCGAGAGAAUCUGAAGAUAGUGCAAUCGAGGCAGCGAAGCUAUGCAGACACAAGAAGAAGAGAGCUGAGUUUCGAAGUCGGAGACUUUGUCUAUCUGAAAGUGUCACCGAUCAGAGGAGUCAGAAGGUUCGGAGUCAAAGGCAAGCUAGCACCCCGCUACAUUGGUCCGUACCAAAUUCUCUCAAGGCGUGGAGAAGUGGCCUAUCAGCUCAGUCUGCCAGAGAAUUUGUCCGCUGUGCAUGAUGUCUUUCAUGUGUCUCAGUUGAAGAAGUGCUUGCGUGUGCCAGAAGAGCAGUUGUCAGUGGAAGGUCUCGAAGUCCAGGAGGACUUGACCUACGUUGAGAAGCCAGUGCAAAUCCUUGAGGUUGCAGACAGAGUCACCCGAAGGAAGACCAUCAGAAUGUGCAAAGUUAGAUGGAAUCACCAUUCAGAGGAAGAAGCAACCUGGGAGCGUGAAGAUGAUCUGAUGGCUAAAUACCCUGAGCUCUUUGCUAGCCAACCCUGAAUCUCGAGGGCGAGAUUCUUUUAAGGGGGAUAGGUUUGUAACGCCCUGAAUUUGGGGGUAGAAUUUUUUCUUCUUUUCUCUCACCAAAUUCAGGCGUUACUCUUUCCUUUUUCCCUUUUCUUCUCGCUAAGCCUUGACCUUUUCUAAAAGUUAUAGCGAGAAUUAGCUCGACAUCUUGUGUUACCAAAACCUAGAACUAUUUUUGUUUGUUGCAUCAUGCCGGAUUAUGCACUCUUUUGUUUGCGGUUGAGUGAAGUGGAGAAUUAGGCAUAUAAGAAAAUGUGGAAAUUAGAAAAAGAAAAGCCUUUUCUUUUCUCUCUCCCCCCCCCCUUUUCUCCCCUUUUGGCCCAGCCGCCCCUUCCCCUUGGCCCAAGCGGCCCAGCCGCCGCUCCCCCGUCGUGGGCCAUCCUGGCGGCCCAAGCCGCGCCCCCUUCCCCCCUUUGGGCCCAGCCGGCCCAACCGCCCCCUCCCCUUUUUUCUUUUUUCCAAAAAUCCCCUCCCCGCGGGCCCCGCCCGUCAUCCCCUCUCUCUCUCCCUCUCCCUAACCCUAACCGCCGCCGCCCUCUGCUUGCCCUAGCGCCGCCGCCGCCCCCCCGGCGCCGCCGCCGCGCCGUCCUCUCCCUCCGGUGAGGCUUCUCCCCCCUCCUCCCUCCUCUCCUCCCCCUCCCUCCUCCUUCCCUCCCGUCGGCGCCCUCCCCGCGCCAUGGGCGCGCUCGCUCGGCCCGGCGAGCUCGGCCGCCCGCCGUCCCCGGCCGCGCCGCCUCCGUGCCCGGCCCGCCGCCUCCCGGCGAGCUCGGCCGCCCCGUGCCCCGGCUCGGCCGCCCUCUGUCGCGCCCCGGCUCGGCCGCCCGCCCCCGCGCUCGGCCUCGCCCGACCGUGUCCUUGCCCGGCCGUGUCCUCGCCUGGCCGCGUCCUCGCUCGCCCGUGCUCGCUUGCCCCGGCGUGCUUGCCCGCUCGCCCCAUCGUGCCUUGCUCGCGUCGUGACGGCCCCGGCGUGGCCUCAAGCUCGGCCCAGCGUGCCUAUGGCGCGUGGCUUUGAGCUCGGCUAGCGCACGGCCCCGACGUGCGCACGACUAGUUCGUGGCGUGUGCGUGCGGCCUCGCGCGUGUGCUCGCGUAGUGCGCGUGCCUUGGCACGACCCGUCGUGUCCCCGUCUACCCCCAGACGCCCCGUCUACCCCCCUGUACCCUAUGCACGCUAAUUCCGUUGUUCAUAUUAAUAAGAUACGAGUCUCAAUUUGGAAAUUGGUUACGUUAGUUAAUUUGUAUAGCUAAUCGUCUAACUCAUUCAAUGUUAAUCUACUAAAAGUGGUCACGUUUACAUUAGUGCAUGUAGCUAAUUCUUUUGUUAGAACCAAUUGGAACUAGAGCACGUGACGUCUAGUUAUUCGUUUACCCGUAGUGCACCUCGAGCGUAAGCCUUAACCCCUGCGAGACCUUCCCUCGUUUCUUUCUAACCAAGGUAAAUUCAUUAUCGUAUGUGAUAUUCUAUGCAUAUUUACUUUAUUUGUUCUCUUGUAUGGUGUACUGUUUAUUUCCUAAUUUGAAUGGAUGGAUGUAUGUAUGCUUGCAAUCGCAUAGAGAACGAUCCGGUUGAAGAGCCCGAGGAACUCGCAGGAGAAGCCCCUGAGCAGCAGUCGGUUGGUGGAGGCAAGUGUCCCUUGACCUAUCUUUGUCCUAUUCAUUCUUUAAUUCACCUCCCGCUUUACACGUGUAUACCUAAGGAUUGCCUAGCUUUGUUAUCCAUAUCCUUGUUUACCUAUUUGGGUUGGAUUAUUAUUGCUUAACUUUAUGCUAUUGCUCAACUCUAAUCAAUGAACAUGAUGAGAUUAUCUAUGAUACGUUGUUUUCCCUUCUCUUAUCAUGAUGUUAUACUUGUGGUCUUCAAGGGGGCUCGAGCGGUUUCUCGAGUGCCUCUCCGUAAAGACCUGUUCUAUGGAUGACCGCCCGGGAAAACAAUGCAACCAUGAGGGUGGAAUGGGGUGCCCUUAGCUGAAUAAUUAGAGGAACCGGGGUGUAGUUCGCUUAGCCGUCGUGCCGUCAAUGGGGCUCGGUGUAUGCGGCUCGCUCUGCCAAGGUUGAUUUGUCCCUUGGGGAGGAGUGCGGUACAUUUAGGAAACCUAACGGGCGACUACAGCCCCGGGGAAUCUUUGUAAAGGCUACGUAUUGAUGCCCUGCUGGGUCACCUUGGUAGUGAUCAAUGGAGAGUCAUGAUCUCCGGGCAGAAAGGGAAUCACGGCUUGUGGGUAAAGUGCACAACCUCUGCAGAGUGUUUGAAAACUGAUAUAUCAUCCGUGCUCGCGGUUAUGAGCGGCCAAGGGAGCUCCAGUGAUUAGUGGUACUUGAUCAGAGAUACUUUGGUUUACAGGUGGCAAUGAGACUGAUGGUUUUGGUUAUGGCUACGGUGCUGGUAAGUGGUAUUCUUUCCGUUUGGAAAGGGUACAUCGGGCUAAUAACUUGGGUUAAUGCUAAAACCUGGCUUUCUAUUAGUAAAUAAUAAUCUGACCAACUAAAAGCAACUGCUUGACUUAUCCCCACAUAAAGCUAGUCCACUACAGCCAAACAGGAUACUUGCUGAGUAUGUUGAUGUGUACUCACCCUUGCCCUACACACCAAAUCCCCCCUCCCAGGUUGUCAGCAUUGCAACCACUGCUCAGGCGAAGAUGAAGCUGUGGAAGGAGACUUCCAGGAGUUCCAAGACUACGACGAGUUCUAGGCGUGGGUUAGCGGCAACCCCCUAGUCGGCUGCCUGUGAAGGCCGCGGUUAUCUACGUUUCGUUUUCGCACUUUGAUUUAUUGUAAGGACUAUAUGGACGUCUCAGACGUAUGAUGUAAUCGACUAUUAUUUCCCUUUUCAAUACCAUUUUGAGCACUGUGUGAUGAUGUCCAUGUUAUGUAACUGUUGUGUACGUGAAUAACUGAUCCUGGCACGUACAUGGUUCGCAUUCGGUUUACCUUCUAAAACAGGGUGUGACAAAUUCAAAUGCACAUCUACUUUCAAUUCCCCUUGGAAAACCUCCACACUUUGAUGGAGAGGACUAUUCGUUUUGGAGUCAUAAAAUGCGUAGUCAUUUAUUCUCUCUCCAUCCUAGCAUUUGGGAAAUUGUAGAGAAUGGGAUGCACUUCGAUAGUACGGAUAACCCUGUGAUAAUUAAUGAACAGAUUCAUAAAAAUGCCCAAGCUACUACUGUCUUGCUAGCUUCACUUUGCAGGGAUGAAUAUAAUAAGGUGAGCGGCUUGGACAAUGCCAAGCAAAUCUGGGACACCCUCAAGAUAUCUCAUGAGGGAAACGACGCCACCAUGUUCACCAAAAUGGAGCUAGUGGAAGGCGAGAUGGGGAGAUUCGCGAUGAUCAGGGGAGAGGAGCCAACUCAGACUUACAACAGGCUCAAGACCCUAGUCAACAACAUCCAAAGCUAUGGAAGCACAAGAUGGACGGAUCAUGAUGUCGUCUGACUCAUGCUAAGGUCAUUUACUGUUAUUGACCCCAAUCUUGUUAAUCUUAUUCGUGAGAAUCCCAGGUACACCAAGAUGACGCUUGAGGAGAUUCUUGGAAAAUUUGUGAGUGGACGCAUGAUGGUGAAAGAGGCUUGAUACGUGGAUGAUGCUCUAAACGGUCCACUACCCAUCUACGAGCCUCAACCUGUUGCUCUUAAGGCAACCAGUAGCAGGGAGGCGCUUCCAAGCAAGGUGGCACAAGUGGAGGCUGCUGGCCUCAACGAGGAUGAAAUGGCGCUUAUCAUCAAGCGCUUCAAGACCGCGCUUAAAGGACGCAAGGAGUACCCCAACAAGAACAAAACAAGGGGAAAGCGCUCCUGCUUUAAAUGCGGUAAGACUGGUCACUUUAUUGCAAAUUGUCCCGAUAAUGAUAGUGACCAGGGACAAGAGAAGAGCGGGAAGAAGGAGAAAAAGAAGAACUACAGGAAGGCAAAGGGUGAGGCGCACCUUGGAAAGGAAUGGGACUCGGACUGGUCCUCCUCCGACUCUGAUGACGAAGGACUUGCUGCCUCAGCCUUCAACAAAUCCUCACUCUUCCCCAACGAACGCCAUACAUGUCUUAUGGCCAAAGAGAAAAAGGUACGUGUUCGGGACACACCCAAGUACACUUCAUCUAGUGAUGAAGAAUCGUCCGAUGAGGAAGUAGAUUACUCUAGUUUAUUUAAAGGUUUAGAUAGAGCCAAAGUAGAGAAAAUUAAUGAAUUAAUUGAUGCUCUAAAUGAAAAAGAUAGACUGCUAGAAAAGCAAGAGGACAUAUUGUAUGAGGAACAUGACAAAUUUGUUAGUGUGCAAAAAUCCCUUGCUUUAGAAACUAAGAGAAAUGAAAUGCUAUCUUCUGAGUUAUCUGCUUGCCAUGAAUCUAUCUCUAGUUUAAAGAGCUUAAAUGAUGAAUUAAAUGCUAAGCUAGAAAAAGAAAAUGAAACUAGUUCAUGUGUAGAGCAUGUUGUUAUUUGUAAUAGAUGCAAGAAUUUUGAUGUUGAUGUCUGUAAUGAACAUCUUAUUGCUAUUACUAAAUUGAAUGAUGAGGUGGCAAGUCUUAAUCACUUUUGCAAGUCUUAAUUAAGACUUGCAAAAGUGAUUUUGAUAAAUUGAAAUUUGCUAGGGAUGCCUACACUAUUGGUAGACACCCCUCAAUUAAGGAUGGACUUGGUUUUCGAAAGGAAACCAAGAACUUAACAAGCCAAAAGGCUCUCGUUCUCAACAAGGAGCAAGAGAAGGCUCCUAUGGCUAGUAGUCCUCAAAGGAAUAAUGUUUUUAUUUAUGAUAGGAAAAUUGCUAGUCAUAAUAAGAGUUAUGCUCAUACUGCUUACAAUGAUUCACAUGCUAUGUUUGCCUCUAGCUCUACUUUUGUGCAUGGUAGAAGUAGGCCUAGGAAAAAUCAUGUUGUGCAUCAUGUGCCUAGGAAAAUGUGUAAUAUACCUACUACUGUUUUCCAUGCUUGCAACACUUCAUUUGUACUUUCAUGUAAGAAUGAAAAAGCGGUUGCUAGGAAGUUGGGAGCCAAAUGCAAGGGAGACAAGACUUGUAUUUGGGUUCCAAAAAUUGUUGUGACUAACCUUGUAGGACCCAACAAGAGUUGGGUACCUAAAACCCAAGCUUAAAUUCCUUGCAGGUUUAUGCAUCCGGAGGCUCAAGCUGGAUCAUCGACAGCGGAUGCACAAACCACAUGACAGGGGAGAAGAAGAUGUUCACCUUCUACGUCAAGAACAAGGACUCCCAGGAUACGAUCAUCUUUGGAGAUAGGAACCAAGGCAAGGUCAAAGGCUUGGGCAAGAUAGCCAUCACCAAUGAGCACUCCAUAUCGAAUGUAUUUCUAGUAGAGUCGCUUGGUUACAACCUUCUAUCUGUAAGUCAAUUGUGUCACAUGGGUUACAAUUGUCUUUUUACAAAUGUUGAUGUAUCUGUCUUUAGAAGGAACGAUGGUUCACUAGCUUUUAAGGGUGUAUUAGACGGCAAACUCUACUUAGUUGAUUUUUCGAAAGAGGAGGCCGAUCUAGAUGCAUGCUUAAUAGCUAAGACUAGUAUGGGCUGGCUGUGGCAUCGCCGUCUAGCACAUGUUGGGAUGAAGAACCUUCAUAAACUUCUAAAGGGAGAACAUGUGUUAGGACUAACCAAUGUUUGUUUCGAGAAAGAUAGGCCUUGUGCAGCAUGUCAGGCAGGGAAACAGGUGGGAAGCACUCAUCAUAGCAAGAAUGUGAUGACAACAUCAAGACCACCGGAGCUUCUUCACAUGGACCUCUUCGGACCCGUUGCCUACCUUAGCAUCGGGGGAAGUAAGUAUGGUCUUGUAAUUGUUGAUGAUUUUUCCCGCUUCACCUGGGUGUUCUUUUUGCAGGAUAAAUCAGAAACCCAAGGGACCCUAAAGCACUUUCUAAGGAGAGCUCAAAACGAAUUUGAGCUAAAGGUGAAAAAGAUAAGGAGCGACAACGGGUCCGAGUUCAAGAAUCUGCAAGUUGACGAGUAUCUUGAGGAGGAAGGCGUCAAGUACGAGUUCUCUGCUCCCUACACACCACAGCAAAAUGGUGUGGUAGAGAUGAAGAAUAGGAUGCUUACCGACAUGGCAAGAACGAUGCUUGGAGAGUUCAAGACGCCCGAGCGGUUUUGGUCGGAAGCUGUGAACACAGCUUGCCACGCCAUAAACCGGCUCUAUCUGCAUCACCUUCUCAAGAAGACCUCCUACGAACUCCUUACCGAUAAUAAACCCAAUGUCUCCUACUUUCGUGUAUUUGGGAGCAAAUGUUACAUUCUGGUGAAGAAAGGUAGACUUUCUAAAUUUGCUCCCAAGGCAGUAGAAGGGUUUUUGCUAGGGUAUGACUCAAAUACAAAGGCGUAUAGAGUCUUCAACAAAUCAUCAGGUUUGUUUGAAGUCUCUAGCGACGUUGUAUUUGAUGAGACUAAUGGCUCUCCAAGAGAGCAAGUUGAUCUUGAUGACAUAGAUGAAGAUGAUGUUCCAACGGCCGCAAUGCGCACGAUGGCGAUUGGAGAUGUGCGACCACAGGAACAACAGGAGCAAGAUCAGCCAUCUUCCUCCACAAUGGUGCAUCCUCCAACUCAAGACGGUGAACAGGUACCUCAAGAAGAGGGACAGGAUCAAUGGGGAGCAUAGAAAGAACAAGUGAUGGAGGAAGAAGCACCACGUGCCCCUCCAACUCAAGUCCGAGCAACGAUCCAACGACAUCACCCAGUUGACCAGAUUCUGGGUGACAUAAGCAAGGGAGUAACUACUCGCUCAAUAUUAGCUAACUUUUGUGAGCAUUACUCGUUUAUCUCUUCUAUUGAGCCCUUCAGGGUAGAAUAGGCCUUGCAGGAUCCAGAUUGGGUGUUGGCCAUGCAGGAAGAACUCAACAACUUCAAGAGAAAUGAAGUUUGGAGCCUGGUGCCACGUCCAAAGAAAAAUGUUGUGGGAACCAAGUGGGUGUUCCGCAACAAGCAAGACGAGCACGGGGUGGUGACAAUAAACAAGGCUCGACUUGUGGCAAAAGGUUAUGCCCAAGUCGCAGGUUUGGAUUUCGAGGAGACUUUUGCUCCUGUGGCUAGGCUAGAGUCUAUUUGAAUUUUAGUAGCCUAUGCCGCUCACCACUCUUUCAGGCUAUUUCAAAUGGAUGUGAAGAGUGCUUUCCUCAAUGGGCCAAUAAAGGAGGAGGUAUACAUGGAACAACCCCCUAGCUUUGAGGAUGAUAGGUACCCCGGCCAUGUGUUCAAGCUCUCUAAGGCGCUCUAUGGACUUAAGCAAGCCCCAAGAGCAUGGUAUGAAUGCCUUAGAGAUUUCUUAAUUGCUAAUGCCUUCAAGGUUGGGAAAGCCGAUCCCACUCUUUUUACAAAGACUUGUGAUGGAGAUCUCUUUAUGUGCCAAAUUUAUGUCGAUGACAUAAUAUUUGGUUCUACUAACCAAAAGUCUUGUGAGGAGUUUAGCAGGGUGAUGACACAAAAGUUUGAUAUGUCGAUGAUGGGCGAGUUGACCUACUUCCUUGGGUUCCAAGUGAAGCAACUCAAGGACGGCACCUUCAUCUCCCAAACGAAGUACACACAAGAUCUUCUCAAGCGGUUUGGGAUGAAGGACGCCAAGCCCGCGAAGACACCGAUGGGAACCGACGGGCAUGUUGACCUCAACAAAGGAGGUAAGUCCGUUGAUCAAAAGGCAUAUCGGUCCAUGAUAGGUUCGUUGCUUUAUUUAUGUGCUAGUAGACCGGACAUUAUGCUAAGCGUAUGCAUGUGUGCUAGAUAUCAAUCUGACCCCAAGGAAUUCUUAGAUAUUUAGUUUCUAUGCCUUGCUUCGAGAUUUGGUAUCCAAAGGGGUCUACCUUUGACUUGAUUGGAUACUCAGACUCCGAUUAUGCCGGGUGCAAAGUUGAUAGGAAGAGCACAUCAGGGACGUGCCAAUUUCUAGGAAGGUCCCUGGUGUCCUAGAGUUCAAAGAAACAAACAUCCGUUGCCCUAUCCACCGCUGAGGCCGAGUAUGUUGUCGCAGGACAGUGUUGCGCGCAACUACUUUGGAUGAGGCAAACCCUCCGGGACUUUGGCUACAAUCUGAGCAAAGUCCCACUCCUAUGUGACAAUGAGAGUGCUAUCUGCAUGGCGGAUAAUCCUAUUGAACACAGCCGCACUAAGCACAUAGACAUCCGGCAUCACUUCCUAAGAGACCACCAGCAAAAGGGAGAUAUCGAGGUGUACCAUAUUAGCACCGAGAACCAGCUAGCCGAUAUCUUUACCAAGCCGUUGGAUGAGAAAACUUUUUGUAGGUUGUGUAGUGAGCUAAAUGUCUUAGAUUCACGUAACUUGGAUUGAUCUAUAGCAUACAUGUGUUCUAUGCCUUUAAUCAUGUUACUUUGAAGCAUUUACAUUACUCGUUGUAAAUUUGUGGUGCUCAAGUUGUACAAGACCUCCCCAGACCUCACAAGUCCAUAUGCAAAUGGUGCACAUAUUUAGGGGGAGAUAUGCUACAACUUGACCCUUUGAGACUGUCGGUUCCCUAAAACAAGGGUACCCUUUACUACAGCAUGAAGACGCGGUGCCCACGCGACUAUCUCUAGUCGCGUGGUGAACAGCACCCGACCCCACCACGUGGACGGCUCCGGGGCCGCCACAUGGCCAAAGAAGACGAUAUACUCCAAGGCAUCAUCAGUGAGUCCGGACCCCAUGGGAGGGUGCCGGACCCCUGUGUAUACAGGCCGGACUUCCGGGUAAGAUCCAGGACCUCCACGGGCAUGAACCGGACCCCUGGGACUGGUCCCGGACCCCUCUGUGUGGGGUCUGGGCCACUCACAGCAGGGUCUGGAGAUUCUGGGACAAAGAAUGCCCAGGCCUUAAUCAAGGCCAGGCGGGGGUCCGGAGCCGACACGUGUCCGGACCAUACCGUGUACGUCUCUGCUCCCCGCUCAGGUAGAGCCCCGAUGCUGCCACGUGGCCUACAGCCCGUGACGUAAGCCAGCGGGCGGAGCCUGACGUAAGGCCUCUGGCCAUGCGACCUCUGCAUUUAUUGCGGAUAAGGCGCACCGCCUAUCCAUUCCACUGGCAGGUGAUGUGCCGCCUCGGCAUUAAUGAGCCUUGUCCACUCCACUGGCAGGCGAUGUGCCGCCUCGGCAUUAAUGAGCCCUGUCCACUCCGCUGACGGGCGGCGACCAGGCCAUCCUGCAGGCGGCGUGCCUGUCCAUUCCGUUGGCAGGCAGUACGCCCCUGCUGUCGCGUGUACUACGCUCAUCAUGACUCGCGUGUUACCAAGGAAGCAACCGCGACAUAUCAAUACUGUAUGCACUACAGACAUUAUGGCGCUCGGAGAUCGCCCAGGCGUUAUAGGCAUUAGUUAUUUCCUUCCAUUUUGCCCCUGGGCCCACAUGUCAGGGCUUAGUAUCCUUGUACGUACCCCCCUUGAGCUAUAAAAGGGAGAGCACACGACGUUACAAGGAGAGCAGACUCAGACUCACUUACACGCUCUCACACUCACUCAAACUCACAAGUUCAUACAAGCUCUCAAGCUCAAUACUACACACAGUGGAGUAGGGUAUUACGCUCCGGCGGCCUGAACACUCUAAACCCUUGUGUGUUCUUGUGUUCUUCCCGAUUCCAUCUAGCAGACAAAACGCUUAGGCCCCUCCUCAUCUUAGGAUUUAGGGCGGGUGCGUUCCUCCACCCGGCAGGAGAAUUUCCUCUCCGACAUUUGGCGCGCCAGGUAGGGGACUUAGGCUUUAGGUUUUUGCUUGUUUUUCUGCUCAACACCAUGGUCCACAUCGUCGAGCACCAUGAUUUCAUGCCCGAGGACUUCCUGGUAGAGGAAGAGGCUGCGUCUUCCACACCUCGGGCCACCAACCUCCCUGUGCCUGGUGCUGCUGUUGUGCACUCUGCGCGGCAGCACACUCCUGCACAGACAUCCAAGGCAUCUAGGGCUGCGCCUGGGGCGCUGUUUGCAGCCAGGGAAUUGCUGCGCCACCCUCCUAGCUCCACGGCCUCGCCGGGGGCCAUGAAGCAGUGGCAUGACGAUGUCGAUCGUUUGCUCGACAUGGCGCACUCUGGCUCAGCUAGGCCUAGGCCUCGGUCGUCCCAGCGUCAACAUGAGGCGUCGGCGUCAGUGCGCUCGCCCUCUGUGAGGGCCGCACCGACUGAGGACCUACGGGCGGAUCUCAACCGCAGGCGUGCGGGAGAAGACACCCCAGCCUCUCUGGAAAGGUCUAAUGAUCUGCGGGCAGAACUCAACCGCACGCCUGUAUUAGUGUACUCACUUCCAAGUUCAUACUUAUGCUCUCAUUGCCUUUUUGCUCUUAAUUGACAUUUUUGGUGAGGCAAUGGGGUUAAAGGGCCAAACCUGAUCCCGUUUUGGUGCUUAAUGCCAAAGGGGGAGAAAUUAAGGCCAAAGCAACUGGAUCAACCAACCACUUGAGAAUUUUGAAAAUAGUGGAGUUAGAAUUUUUUAUUUGUCCAAAAUACCCUAAUUGCAAAAUUUGGUCUCUUGUGGGGGAGAAUUUUGAUUAUGAGAAAAGGGGGAGUUUUUGACACUUGAUCAAUUUCACUCUUGGAUUAUCUCUCUUUGUGCCCAAACAAGCGUGUUUGACUUAGAGAUAGGAAAAUGAAUUUGAUUUGCAAAAACAAACCAAGUGGUGGCAAAGAAUUAUCCAAAUAUGUCAAAUCUUUUGCAAAAAUGAUUUGGUCCAUUUGCAUUGAUGUUGAACUUAUUUUGGUUGCUUUUUGAGGUGUUGGCAUAAAUCACCAAAAAGGGGGAGAUUGAAAGGGAAAUGUGCCCUUGGACAAUUUAUAUAAUGUUUUGAUGAUUAAGUGCCCAACAUGUUUAAUUAAGUUCUUAUGUGCCAAAUAAAGUGAGAAGUGCAAAUCAAGGCAAAAGGUAUGUUUCUAGACUUGGUAAAUUAUUUUAUGUACUAACAUGGUUAUCCAAGUGCUAGAAACAGUGACUAAAGAAGAAGAGAGGAAAAGGGAAGGACUUGGCUCUGUGCAGCCAAGCUUCAGCUCGGUCUAGCACACCGAACUGCCCGGUGGUGCACCGGACAGUGUCCGGGGCGCUAGGCUGGUUUGCGAUGAACUCGCCGCUCUCGGGAUUCGACGGUGGCGUACGGCUAUAAUUCACCGGAUUGUCCGGUGGUGCACCGGACUAUCCGGUGAGCCAACGGUCGCUAGCACCAACGGUCGGCCACGAAAUCUGCGGGCAACGCGUGGCAGCUCCAACGGUCGGUGGGGGGCACCGGACUGUCCGGUGUGCACCGGACAGUGUCCGGUGCGCCAACGGGCCCGGAGCUGCAACGAUCGUCUGUGCCUGAUUUGGAAGGAAAUCACGCACCGGACAGACUACAGUAGUUGUCCGGUGGCGCACCGGACUGUCCGGUGCGCCACUCGACAGAAGGCAAGGAUGGCCUUCCAUGUUGAUCUUCAACGGCUCCUAGCUGCCUUGGGGCUAUAAAAGGGACCCCUAGGUGCAUGGAGGAGUACACCAAGCAUUCUCUGAGUAUUCUAAAGCAUCCAGACUUCGCUCCCGCGCAUUCGCUUCAUUGUGCUAGUGAUUUGGGCUCCAUUCGAGUAGUGCACUCUCUGAGUUGUCAUUUGAGCUCAAGUCGUCACUUGUGUGCGUGGUUGUGCUGCGUAUUUGAGUCUUGCGUGUGUUGCUUCUCCCAACCUUACUCUGUGCUUUCUUUGUGAUCUUUAUUGUAAGGGCGAGAGACUCCAAGUUGUGGAUAUUCCUCGCAAACGGGAUAAGACUCUAAAGGAAAAGACCGUUGUAUUCAAGUUGAUCAUCGGAUCACUUGAAAGGGGUUGAGUGCAACCCUCGUCCAUUGGGACGCCACAACGUGGAAGUAGGCAAGUGUUACUUGGCCGAACCACGGGAUAAAAUCGCGUGUCUCUUGUGUUGCAUUCUCUAUGAUUGUUUUGUCCACAAGAACUCGUCUCAUAACUACUUAGUCGCACUAACACUUCUAUAACUAAGUUUUGUGGCUAUUUAGUGGUUGAUUGUACAGGAUCACCUAUUCACCCCCCUCUAGGUGCUCUCACUUAUCCCAUUCAUAUUUUCAUGCUGGAAAUCAGUUUCUUUGAUUUUUGGUGGAUAUCAUUUCUUCAUGAAAAAUACAUAGGAAUUAGCCUUUGGUACUAUCAAAAAUGGUCAUUCGUGGUCGUUUUCAGCCAAAACUAUUGGUCGUGUACUCAAGGAUCUUUGGUGAGAGGUUCCUAUUACUUACCCCAUACAUAUUUCCUUGUUAACAUUUAGCUUCUUGUAUUUUUGGAAGAGACUUUAUUCAUGAAAAAUCCAUAGGUGUUAGCGUUUAGUAUUGUCGAAAAUAAACGUUCAAGCCUGUCAUGGGUGUAGUAAAUCCAAAGGACUCAUUGUUUAUGAGCAGAAACUAGAUAGAAAAAUAUUGUCUCAGCUAGGUACAUCCUAGUGGCCCUAGAAUGUCUGAGACUCAAUAGAUCUAGACAUCGAAAAACCUGAAGUUAGUAAACUAGCUAACAAAAAAAUGUGAAACAUGAAACCGGCCCGAGAUCAUGGGAUGUCCAAAAUCUACACAAGAAAAUGGAUUGAAGAAACAACACAUGCUUGAGUGUCUAGAUUGCCAUGUUUGACAUGUCGGAACCAACAAAAGUCUAGAAAUCAUAAUCCAAAAGGAGCAAAAGGAGUGGAACAAGAGUGAAGAUGAUUUUUUGUUUAUAGUUUACUUUAUUUUAUAUAAGAAUUUAAUAAGGGAGUUGAACAAGAGUGAAUGUGAUUUAUUGUUUAUAGUUUUUAAAGGGCAUGGAGUUGAACAAGAGCGAUGUUGAUUUGAUGUUUAUAGUUUUUAAAGAUGAUUUGAUGUUUAUAGUUUUUUAUAAGGAAAUAAGUAGGGAACUCAUGAUGACUACAUGCUUUUGCUUUUCGUUUCUUUUUUUAUGAGAGGAGUGCAUGUCAUGCGUUUGUUUUGAACUUUUGCAUGAGAGGAAAAGAGCUAGGACCUACUUAUAGCAAUGGUAUACAUGUGUUAGUCUUUGAACUAGCUGGCCAGGGUUCUGUCAAGGAACAAAAAUAGCCGGCCAGCGAUGUCUGUGGCGUGCCAUACGUCAAUAUCUAGCUCCCUUGUGUCCAUUGUCCAUAAAUACAUGCUCAUCUGCAACAUCGAUCUCCACACACACACACACAUCCAUCAAAGAAACAGGCACACAAGAACAAAUACCUCGCCACCAACAAUGGCCUCCAGGUCCUCCAUCCUACUUGCAACGGCGAUGCUGGUUGCGCUGUUUGCGGUUGGUUUGUGCACCACCCCGCUCACCUUCCAGGUUGGCAAGGGAUCCAAGCCUGGCCACCUGAUCCUCACCCCCAAUGUUGCAACCAUAUCUGACGUGGAGAUCAAAGAGCACGGGGGCGAUGACUUCUCCUUUACGCUCAAGGAGGGCCCGACCGGCACCUGGACGCUCGACACCAAGGCCCCGCUCAAGUACCCCCUUUGCAUCCGCUUUGCUGUCAAGUCCGGUGGCUACCGCAUCGCCGACGACGUCAUCCCCGCCGAUUUCAAGGCCGGCACCACCUAUAAGACCACACUCAGCAUCUAAUCAGCCUCUGAUGAUGAAUUAUAUUUCAAAAGAGCUCACCUGGCGCUCACGUUAGCAAGACAAUAUUUUUUCUAUGGUUAUUUUGUGGCGCCAAACCACCCAAGAAAUAUGUGAUGCUACAUGUCCCUUAUGAUGCCUUGUUGUGUUGGGUUGAUAUUAUUACAUAAACUAAAUAAAUUAUUCAUUUAAGAUUUUAGGAGAAAUAUGUUGAUAUGGUCUACCUCCAAUUAAUCAGCUAAGGGCAUCCCAUUCCACCCUCAUGAUUGUACUGUUGUCCGAGGCAGUCUCUCAACGAACAUGUCCUUACGGAGAGGUACUCGGGAAACAUCCUGAGCCACCUAAAAUGCCAUAAGUUCAUAAUCAUAAUCAUAAUGAAUCAUAGUACCAUAAAUUAAUUCUCAUCAUGUUCAUUGAUUAGGGUAAAGCACUAGCAUGUAGCUGAUUAUAAUAACCCAACCCAAAAAGAUAAUCAAGGACAGGAUAAAUAGAAAUCUAGUCAAGCCUUAGGUUAUUCAUAGUAUGCAGGAUAGUGAAUUAUAAAGUAAAUAAGACAUAAAAGGUCAGAGGACACUUGCCUUCACCAAACUGUUGAUGCUCAGGGCUUCUCCUGCAAGUUCCUCCAACAACGCAGACGGAACGUUAUCUACGCGAGUGCGAACACACAUUCAACAUUCUUGUAACAGAAAGGAAUAGUACACCAUACAAGGGAAAACAUUAUAAACACGUGCAAUACAAAAUGGUGUUCGUUUCUACGGUCACACCAGAAAAAAGAAACGCUGAGAUCGAAGCUACGAUUGAGAAGUUAUUGCGUCUACGUUGUACAAAUAUGAAAUAGAACAUUUAAUUCGACAUACUUACAUUAAUCGACAUUUAUUAAAUGUAAACUAGAACUAUCGCCUAAUUUUAAUUAAUUCUCGUUACACAAGCAGCUCUCGGUUAAUUAAACAAUUUAAAUUAUAUUAGGGACUCUAAGUGAGACAAAUUAAUGACGCGAGAUAAAGUACGCAACGCGCGAAACAACACGUCAGCACGCGCACGGCGUGCGGACCAACACAACACAUAAGGACUAAUAAAUAGAUAGCAUGUUCAAACUAAACAAUUAUUAAUAAAGAAUAUUUCGAUUAAGGUUAACCAUGUUAUCGUUUAUUUAUAAAUGCGCAAAUCAAGACCCUAAUUUAGAUUUUAAAUUAGUAAGCUACAUUAUUAACCAUCGGUCAAACAAACAUUUAAAUAAAUUAAAUAAAUAUGUAAAAAGCAGAGAAUAAUGAUACAAACAUGUAGACAAUUUUAAUAUGAAUCUAACGCGACUUGAAUGGAGUGAAUCGGAUUUAAAACACAAAAGAUAUCACGAUUUUAAAUUGAAAAUCCUAUCUGCAUGCAGUUUUAAAAUUCCAAUGGGGUUUUUCGCAAAAAGACCAUCUACUUCCUCCCUCCAUCAUCUUCUCUCACCAUGGCAAGGAAGGGGAGGAGGGAUGGGGGCCGCGCAAGGGGGGGAGGGAAGGGAGAAGAGGAAGGUGCUGCGAGGGGGAGACUGAAACGAAGAAUUUCCAUACACAACAAUAGUGGAGGGCUCACCGGAGAAGACGACCUCGCCAGAGCCGAGGACAAAUUUGGCGAUUGACGAUGAACCGUCAGUUAGAUCGACGAAUCGAAGUCACUGGGACGAAGAUCUCGACGAGACGAAAACUGCGGUACCCUCAGAUUCCACCGACGACAAAAGUAAUUGCUCACCGAAGUUGUCGCCGUCCUGAACUUCGGCGAGCAAUUUCGGGAGUUUUAGAUCUAAGGGAACGAGUUUCGAAAUUCGAAAAGAGCUCCACGAGAGUAUUCCAGCCAUAUAUAUUUCUAGGGUUUGAAUAAAUUUUAUUUUCGUAAUUAUCCCAUUUUUAAAAUUACAGAUAAUUCCACAAAAAAGCUGAAAUCAUUUUUAAUGCUCGAAAAAUAUCUCGAUGGCUCUAAAAAUUCUAGGAAAAUUCCUAGACAUGUUUUGGCACCCAAUGAACUCAAAAACCAUAUUUAGCACUUUUGAAAAUGUUUUUAAGUAACUCAAAUAAAUGUAUUUUUAAUUUUAGAAAAUAGAAAAAUAUUCAUAAAAAUAUGAAAAUUUAUGGGAAACUUCUAUAAGACAUAUGAACAUGUUUCAAAGACUUCUUGCACUUAGAAACACUAUGCAACAGCAUGAAUGCAACAACCAUUACACUUCUAGAGCCCACGACAACAUAGAACAAAAUAACUCUCUAUUGUUUUAAUAAAGGGAAACACUACUAAAAAAUCACCCUAAUGCCACGACAGAUAUUGCAACAACAAUAUUUUUGUUGCUGUUGGGACAUGCUUCGUCACCGAAGGUCAUGCAGGAAGAAGCAGCUUCGGCUGAAGCUGUUUGUAUGAGAUACCGAAGGAUGCAGUUCAUGAAGCUUCGGAAAUGCAAACCGACUUAAAGAUAGAAUGACCCUUUAGCCCAUAAGAGUUCGAGUCAUUGUUGUAAACUUUUAUGAGGGGUAUGAUUGUAAUUCCUCACAGGCUGGGUCCUGUGCCUAUAAAUAGUGAACAGUAUUCCUUUACUGUUCACGAUUUUCCGGUAUUUGCAAUCGCUUCACUCGGGAACCAAUCUUUGCCAAGGCAGAGGUAUAAUUGUAUUCAACACUUAAAUAUAAUGAAUGGAUAAAAUAUGGUUUAUUUAUGAUUCAUUUACCUUUGAUAUUCUAUAUUUUAUGUCAUCGUAUACAAUCUGUUAGAAUUCAAUUACGGAGAUAUGACCUUCGUAGUAAUUGUAUUGCUAUCAACCUUCGUCCAAGGCCCAUUAUCCCCAAGGGAAUAAUGCUUCGUUGGACGAAGAACAUUAGCAUUUAACAUUUUAUGUUGCCUUGUUCUUAAUUCAUAGCAUUUGAGAACAAGUUCCCAACAUUGGCGCCCACCUCCGGUGAACUCACUUCCACUUUUUCGAGCUGAUGGCUUCGUUCAACGAUCGAGCUGGAGCUGCUUCGGCUCCGAAGCUGGUGCUCCCGAUAACAGGUGGUUCGUGCUUAGAACCAGCCAACAAAAAGCAGAAGAAAGAGGCGCAGAGAAGGGUACAACAUGUUGGAGUGCAGGGACCCUUCAUCAAGUCAAGGUGGUCCCACAUUCCAAUCACCUUCUCCCAGGAGGACCUUCAGCUCAAGGAUUUUCCUCAUAACGAUGCUAUGGUUAUUUCUUGCGUUAUCAAAGGGUUUCUGGUCCACAAUGUCUUGGUUGAUACAGGCAGUGCAGCUGAUAUCAUAUUUGCUAAGGCCUUCAGGCAAAUGCAAGAGCCAGAAGAUAAGAUUCAUGAUGCUACACACCCUCUCUGUGGCUUCGGAGGAAGACAGAUUGUAGCACUGGGCAAGAUCACCAUGCCAGUGACCUUCGGAUUCAUCAACAACACCAGAACUGAGCAAGUUGUGUUUGACAUUGUUGACAUGGAAUACCCUUACAAUGCAAUUAUUGGUCAUGGCACCCUCAAUGCUUUCGAAGCAAUUCUUCAUCCUGCUUACCUUUGCAUGAAGAUACCUUCGGAUCAAGGACCCAUUGCUAUUCAUGGGAGUCAGGAAGCUGCCAGAAGGGCUGAGGGAAACUGGGCUGACUCAAAAGCAAUCCAUAACAUAGAUGGAGCUGAAGCUUGUGAACAGUAUAAAUUCAGAAGGGAGAAAGCAGCUUCAGCAGAUCAGCCGAAGCCCAUGCUCUUAUGUGAGGACAUAGCAGAGCAGAGGGUGCUGUUGGGCUCUCAAUUAUCCGAAGAACAGGAGAAAACCUUGAUAAGGUUUUUGUUCAACAACAAAGAUGUUUUUGCAUGGUCAGCCAAUGAUCUUUGCGGAGUUAACAGGGAUGUUAUUGAACACUCGCUCAAUGUUGACCCAUCCUUCAGACCCAGAAAGCAGAGGCUUCGGAAAAUGUCUGAUGACAAGGCCGAAGGUGCUCGUAAUGAAGUCAAAAGACUCCUCAUUGCAGGAGUUAUCAGAGAAGUAAAGUACCCAGAAUGGCUAGCUAACACUGUUAUGGUAAAAAAGGCCAAUGGCAAAUGGCGAAUGUGUAUCGAUUUUACAGAUCUCAACAAGGCAUGUCCGAAGGACGAAUUCCCAUUGCCAAGGAUAGACUCCUUAGUUGAUGCAGCAGCUUCGUCAGAGCUUAUGAGUCUUAUUGAUUGUUAUUCAGGCUAUCAUCAAAUUUGGAUGAAGAAGGAGGAUGAGCCGAAGACCAGUUUCAUAACCCCUAGUGGAACAUAUUGUUACCUUCGGAUGCCUGAGGGGCUCAAGAACGCUGGAGGAAGUUUCAGCAGAAUGACUGUGAAGGUUCUCCAGUCUCAGAUAGGCAGAAAUGUGCUAACUUAUGUUGAUGAUAUCAUUGUAAAAAGCACGAAACAGGAAAAUCACAUUUCUGAUUUGCAGGAGACCUUCGCCAGUUUUAGACAAGCUGGCCUAAAGUUGAAUCCAGAAAAUGUGUCUUCGGAGUAAAGAACGGGAAAUUUCUUGGAUGCUUGGUUUCAACAAAGGGAAUUGAAGCUAAUCCAAGUAAAAUUUAAGCUAUACUUCGAAUGGAGCCACCAACUACAAAAAAGGGGGCCCAAAGAUUGACAGGGAGGCUGGCAUCUCUUAAUAGAUUUAUAUCCAGAUCAGCAGAAAGAAAUUUACCAUUUUUCGAAGUGCUGAAAUCAGCCGAAGUCUUUCAAUGGGGAUCAAGACAACAAAAAGCCUUCAAGGAACUGAAGCAAUAUUUGAUAGAUUUAACAACAUUAACUCCACCAACGCCAGGGGCUCCUUUGUUAUUAUAUGUGGCAGCUUCGCACUCAGCGGUAAGUGCAGCACUUGUUCAGGAGAAGCUUGAUGGCCAAGUCAAGAAGCAGGUCCUAGUGUAUUUUGUAUCUGAAGUUCUUAGUAUAUCAAAGAAAAACUACACAGAAUUGGAGAAGGUGUUAUAUGCUGUUUUGAUGGCAUCCAGGAAGCUUCGGCAUUACUUUCAAGCAUACAAUAUUCUUGUUCCUUCUUCGCAGCCGUUGAAGGAUAUUAUGAGAAAUAGAGAAGCUACUGGGCGGAUUGGAAAAUGGGCUGCAGAGCUCAAUGAAUUUUGCAUUGAUUAUGUGCAUAGAUCUUCGAUCCAGUCUCAAGCGUUGGCAGAUUUUAUCGCCGAUUGGACGCCAGGGGCUCAGGAUGAAGAAACAAAUAAAGAUGCCGAAGUAUGGACAGUGUUUUGCGAUAGGUCUUGGGGAACCUUCGGAGCAGGAGCAGCCGCUGUGUUGGUCUCACCAUCCAAAGUUAAAACUUGUUAUGCGGCAAGACUCGAUUUUAGUUGUACAAACAAUAUUGCUGAGUACGAAGCCCUGCUUUUGGGUCUCCGGAAGUUAAAAGCAAUGGGAAUCAGAAGGGCCAUUCUUAAAACUGAUUCCCAGGUUGUUUCGGGUCAUAUCGACAAGAGUUGCAAGGCUAAAGAUCCGAAGCUUGAAAAAUAUCUAGACACGGUCCGAAGAGUCGAAGCUUCCUUCGAAGGAUUUUCUGUCAAAAAUAUCCCUCGAGGACAAAAUGAGCAUGCUGAUUUGCUAGCUAAGUCAGCAGCACAGGGGCUGCCCUUACCUUCGGAUGUGUUCUUCGAAACAAUAAAAGCACCUUCAGUGGAACUUCUUGAAAGAGCAGUCCUCAAUAUAUCUCCUGUUUAUAGCGAAGACUGGAGAACUGAGAUCAUCUCUUACCUUCAGGGUAAAUUCCUUUCAGAUGACGAAACUUAUAACAGGAGGAUAGAGGCAAGAGCUCGUCCAUAUGUCAUGAUAGAAGGGGAGUUGUACAAGCAUGGAGUUUGUGCUCCAUUACUCAAGUGUUUAUCUAGAGCCGAAGGUAUAGAAUUGAUGAAAGAAAUACAUGCAGGCCUGUGUGGAUCUCACAUUGGAUCUAGGCUGUUACUUGGAAAAGUUUUCCGUCAAGGGUUUUAUUGGCCGAAGGCAGCUUCGGAUGCAGCGGAAUUAGUUCAAAAGUGCGAAGGUUGUCAGAAAUGUGCAAGAGAUCAAAAACAACCUUCGUCCUUAACCCAGCUCAUACAACCCAUCUGGUCAUUGCAAAGGUGGGGCCUUGACUUGUUAGGUCCGUUACCACCGGCCCAAGGGAACUUAAGAUAUGUUGUAGUGGCUGUGGAAUAUUUUUCUAAAUGGAUUGAGGCAAAGCCUUUAGCCACAAUAACUUCGGCCACCAUUCAAAAGUUUUUCUGGCAGAAUAUUGUUUGUCGUUUCGGGGUACCAAAGGCCAUCACUGUAGAUAAUGGAACACAGUUCGACUCCGAAGCUUUCAGAAAUUUCUGUGAUCAAAUUGGUACGAAGAUCCAUUUCGCAUCAGUUAGGCAUCCGGAGUCAAACGGACUCGUUGAAAGAGCCAAUGGCAUUAUAAUGACAGGAAUAAUGAAGUUAAUCUUCAAUCAACCCAGGGGAAAGUGGCCAGAUCAAUUAAUCAAAGUGGUAUGAAGCCACAACACAACAAUAUCAAGGUCAACAGGCUUUACUCCAUUCAAACUAUUGUUUGGUGACGAAGCAAUAACUCCGGAGGAAGCCAAAACUGGAUCAAUAAGAGUAGUAGCUUCGGCAGAAUCAGAUUCUGAAGCUGUUCAUUCUGUGGAAAAAGAUGCUAUAGAAGGGAUCAGGCUUCAAGCUGUGGAGAACAUCAAUAAGUAUCAAGCCGAAACAAUCAAAUGGCGUGAUAGAAAGGUUCGGCUAAAGAAUAUUGAGCCAGGACAUUUGGUGCUUCGGCGAGUGGCUAACCCAGAUACAGUGGGCAAGUUGCAGUUGAAAUGGGAGGGACCUUUUUUGGUAGCAUCUUCGUCAAGACCCGGUUCAUACAGAUUGAAGGAUAUGGACGGCAACGACAUUCCUAGAUCUUGGAAUGCGGAUGAGCUUCGGCGAUAUUAUGUGUAACUUGAUGUAAUUUUUUAUAUUUUUUCUUUCAUGGCACCCUUUUCCUUUCUGAAGGGGGAGGAAGGUUUUUAAUGGGGCCAUCAUAUGUAAUUUCCUUUUUUAGUUCUAUAAGAGCAAAAUCCCCCAAGGAUGUAAAUGUAAAAGCUGAGAACGCACCAUCGAGUGCCGAAAAGAAAACAGGGAAGAAGCUCCAAAGUCGUUCCUAAGGGAAUACAGAGCUUACAGCGAAAAGUCAACGCUGAUUCCGCCGAAAGUAAAAGGCGAAGAAGCUCCAAAGUCGUUCCUAAGGGAAUGCGGAGCUUACAGCGAAAAGUCAACACUGAUUCCGCCGAAAGUAAAAGGCGAAGAAGCUUCAAAGUCGUUCCCAAGGGAAUGCAGAGCUUACAGCGAAAAGUCAGCGCUAAUAUGUGAUUGUUUCUAAGGAAAUAACGGUUGUGAAUAUGGCUUCGGAUAUGUGUUUGGACAUUCAUUUGCACAUCACAUUACAUCAUAACAUUUGCAUUCAUAAACAUUCAUCCAGGCAUAUGUAGGAUAACCAUCAUCAUAGCAUAAGUGGCUGCUUCGGCAAAAAGAAAAAAAAAGAAGAGCUUCGAAAAAAAGGGAAAAGUUGUUUUUUAUGCUUCGCUGUGUACGAAAAGAAGGGAAGGUGUUUUUUCGCCUUCGGCUCAAAAAGAUAAUUUCGUCCACAUCAAAGCACCUCUCAUACAUUAAUGGAAGGGUAAGAGCAUAUUACAAGGUAUGAACAGAAUUCAUUAAGAACAAGUUUAGUCAUAUUUACAAAAGUUAUCUCAAAAUUUUCUUAAGUCUGUCUACAGUCUACUCCUAUUUGAUCUUCAUGGGGCCUCAGCUUCGGCGACAUUCUCUUUAAGCAUCGGUCUCGGCUUCGUCAUCCUACAUAAAUUAAGUUGUUGUAGGUCAAAAUCAAGCUUGAAGGAAAAGGUAAACACAAGGUAUGAUUUCUUACUGGUUCAAGAUGACUCCGAGCUUCUUUUCCAGCCUUUUCUCGCCCGCCUUUUGUCCAUAUCAUCUUUACAAAUCUAUUAGAAAUGCUUCGGGCGAGAUCAGGAAUAUCAUCUAGAAUUGAUGGUGAUAGAGUGAAAUUGGGCUUAUUGACAAUUUUUCCAUGAUCGCAGCCAGCUUUUAGGAAAGCUGCAGCAGUGCCCCGAGAAGGUACCCAGGCGCAGAAGUCACCGUGCCCGGCUAUAACUUCGUCAAGCUCAUCAAUUUCACCUUCAAUAUGUUCGAAGGUCUUUGGUAAAUCUUCAGCUGACGGGGUGAAUUUCUCACUGCUAGCUCCAACUGAGUGGAAGAUUUUUCUCAGUCGUUGAAUACAUUUGUUGCUAAAUUCCAAACAUUUGUCUUGAAGGCCUGCCAAUAAUUUUUUCAAAUCUGAAUUUUGUUGGACUUCGGCUUCAAGUUUUGCAUUAAGUUCUUGCUUUUCUUGUUCAAACUGUUCAGAUUAGCAGAGAAGCUUCGUAUUCAAUUCUGUCAUUUUAGCUUCGGCUUCUGCCAAUAAGCCUUCAGUUGCCUGAAGCUCGAAGUUCUUCUUUUCAAUAGUAGCUGAUUGCUCUUUUAUUUUGAUUUCUAAAUUUUCAAUUAUAACCUCGUGUUUUUUGUCUUCCAGAUCUUGCUGCAUUUUCAAAGCUUUGCUCAACAGCAUACUCUGCACGUAAACAACCUUCGUUAGAUAUGACUUCAUUAUUAAAAACAAUAAAAGUCAAGGGAAAAGUAGUUCACCUUGAAAUUGGAAUAAAAUAAACUACCAACGAUAUGUUGUCGACGGUAGCGGCUAAUGUUCGUUUCCAGCUUCGGAAAACCAAUACUCUUUGACAGAGUACCGAUAACCUUAGCUCCAGUUUGAUCCCGGAUACAUUCUAAUUUUUCAUCAUCAAUACCUCCGAAGAGGAGUGCUCCUGGUUUAUAUCCGCAAGAUUUGGCAUACUCUUUAAGCUCUUCUAUUUCGGUUUUUGACAAUUUUUCUCCAACUAAAUUUUGAAACAUGAAGGCCUCGUCCUCUGAAGCUUCGUCAGCAAUUCCCUUUUCUUUCCCAGACACUGCGGCCAUGGCCUCUUCGGCGGCAGUAGUAGCUUCUUCUGUGGCCAUGUCUAGCAGCAUUUUGUCGAUGUGUUCGAUUGUGCUUUCCAAGUUCAAAUCUUCAAUUGAGGUAGCUUCGGCAGCCGCGACCUCCGAAGGUGUGAUUUCAAUAUUUGUUAUUUCCUCAGCCGCUGAUAUCUUCUGAGCUAAAGCUCUCGGUGGUGUCUUGUCAAUGACUUCUGUCACUGCGAUGAUUCUUUGUCUCUUUGUUUUAGUCGUUUUCUUCAUUUUUUCGGGCUCCUUUUCCUUCUGAAAAAACUUUGUCAGUUGAGGCCUCAAUGGACUUAGCUUCGCAGGCAGGGAUUCAGUCAUUACCUUCAAAAUUUCUUCCACGUCAGCGGCAGAGCGUGAUGCGGGAGUCUCCUCUUCGUCGGAUAUUUUUUGCUUCGGAGAUAGUACUUUCCUCUUCUUCGGAAUAUUCUUCUUUUUUGGUGGUUCUUUCUCAUCUUCAUUUAAAGCUUCGGUUACCCUUUUCCUUUUCCGGCCUUCGAUACCUUUAUUCAGAUUUUCGUAGUCAAGAUAUUCAAAACCCAGGGCGUCCAACACUCGAUUCAGUCUUCGCUUCGGACGGGUACCGAAGGCCGCAGUCAUCAGCUGAUCCUCUUUUUUGGAGUAAUUACCGAGUAUUUCAUUGCACAUUAUUUCAAUUGUGUCCAACCACUCUUGGCAAGGUGUUUUAAAAUAUUUCUUAAACUUGUAAUAGUAAGGUAACCGCACAAGUUCCCCUUCUUUCUUCUCCCCCUCUAGCUUCGGCAUUUCCCAUUCUUUUAAGGUAGGAAAAACCCGGAAAGCCAAAAACUCUUGGACCAAGUCUCUUGUGCUGAUAUGCUCUGAAAUAAUUUUAAACUCAGCCAACGCUUUUUGGGUUGGACCUUCUGGUGUCAUGUUGCAAUGAGGUCGGGUUUCUCCGAAGAUUAGUUCAAGCGGACUCUGCACGAGCUUCUCCUUGUCGUCAUCAACCUUGACGUAGAACCAUUCUGAUUUCCACCCUGCCGGCCACUUGCUUCGAUAGCUGAUGACAGGAAACUUUGUGGUUUUCCGAUAGGCAAAAUUAUAGCAACCAAAGUUAUCAUGCAAUCCAUCCUUUCUAGCCUUCGUCUGAUAAUGCAGUUCGUGAACUCGACAAAAGCUGUCCGCAAACGGCUCCACCGCCUGGCUUCGGAGGGCCCAGAUAUAGACGCUGAGCCUAACGAUAGCGUUAGGAGUCAGCUGAUGAAAGUAGAUCCCAAACCUCUUCAAUACAUCUGCAAUAAUCCCAUGCAGGGGGAAUCUCAACCCAGCCUUUAGAAAGCUCUUGAAAAUAACUAUUUCGUCCUUCUCUGGCUUCGGGGUAGUUUCUUCCCCUCCGAAGCGAAGUAGCUUCUUCUGACUUUCAUUAAAAUAACCUGAUUUCACCAUCUUGGACAGAUCAGCCUUCGAAACAGUCGACUUUCCGAAGUCCAAGUGGCUGGGCUUACUUGGCAUGGCAAUAUGGUAAUCGUCUUCGGAAUCAGUUUCCUCAAUGUUUUCUUCUUCCGCUUCGGCAGUCGCCUGUUCCGCCUCAGCAGUGGGGAUUUCUUCCGGGGUUACCAGUCCGGAUCGUUGCAUCGCUUCGGAGAUGGGAACAGUCUCCGAUCCUUCAGCUUCACCUCCCUCACGUUCAACCCUAUCGGUAGAAUGCACUCUGGCCAUUUAACUCUGAAUUUUUUGGGAACUAAAUGCUUUUUCUUCCGAAGCUUUUUCUUCUGGCGAAGUAGGCUUCAAUCUGGAGCUUCGUCUGGUUCUGAGAGUCAAGCUUCGGCUAUGGUUAAGAAUUUUGGCAGCAAAACAGUGCAAAUAGCAAUGAAUGCUGUGGUAACUUCACACCUACCCGUCUGUUUAUAUAGUGAUGCAGGCAAGAAGGCGAGUCGCCAGGAUUUUUACACCAGGCGAACAGCUGGUACCCACUGAACACUGGGCCACAGAACCCGAGAAGGUGAAUCGCCAGGACACGUGUAACUGCUGCAUGGCGGGGCCACCUUGCGCUCGGAUUAUUUUAAUCGUUUCUCGGCAACGAGCUCAGGGAAGGUGUUUUUUGGACCUUCGGCUUCCCGAAGCCUGAAAUACUUUUUUCACGGAUCAAGCUCGUUACGAAAAACGAUCUAGCACCGCGAAGGGGCUACUGUUGGGACCAUGCUUCGUCGCCGAAGGUCAUGCAGGAAGAAGCAGCUUCGGCUGAAGCUGUUUGUACGAGAUACCGAAGGAUGCAGUUCAUGAAGCUUCGGAAAUGCAAACCGACUUAAAGAUAGAAUGACCCUUUAGCCCAUAAGAGUUCGAGUCAUUGUUGUAAACUUUUAUGAGGGGUAUGAUUGUAAUUCCUCACAGGCUGGGUCCUGUGCCUAUAAAUAGUGAACAGUAUUCCUUUACUGUUCACGAUUUUCCGGUAUUUGCAAUCGCUUCACUCGGGAACCAAUCUUUGCCAAGGCAGAGGUAUAAUUGUAUUCAACACUUAAAUAUAAUGAAUGGAUAAAAUAUGGUUUAUUUAUGAUUCAUUUACCUUUGAUAUUCUAUAUUUUAUGUCAUCUUAUACAAUCUGUUAGAAUUCAAUUACGGAGAUAUGACCUUCGUAAUUGUAUUGCUAUCAACCUUCGUCCAAGGCCCAAUAUCCCCAAGGGAAUAAUGCUUCGUUGGACGAAGAACAUUAGCAUUUAACAUUUUAUGUUGCCUUGUUCUUAAUUCAUAGCAUUUGAGAACAAGUUCCCAACAGUUGCAUUAGAUGUUAUUUAUUGCCACGACCUUUAAAAGUGGUUGCAAUAUAUGGACCAUUUUGCCACUUUUUUUGUGCAUUGCGAUAACCAUGACUUUCGUUGCAAGAGAAAGGUGUUAUUGCGACCACGAGAACAGUUGUUGCAAAAUCACCCUAAUGCCAUGACAGAUAUUGCAACAACAAUAUUUUUGUUACAUUAGAUGUUAUUUAUUGCCAUGACCUUUAAAAGUGGUUGCAAUAUAUGGACCGUUUCGCCACUUUUUUGUGCAUUGCGAUAACCAUGACUUUCGUUGCAAGAGAAAGGUGUUAUUGCGACCACUAGAACAGUUGUUGCAAAAUUACUCUAGUGUCACACCGGAUAUUGCAACAACAAUAAAGUUAUAGCAUUAGGUGUUAGUUAUUGCCACAACCUUUAAAAGUGGUUGCAAUUUAUGCACCUUUUUGCCACUUUACUUGUGCAUUGCAAUAAUCAUGACUUUUGUAGCAAGAGAAAGAUGUUAUUGCUACCACUAGAAUAGUUGUUGCAAAAUGUCCCUAGUGGCUCACCAGAUAUUACAACAUCAGUAAAGUUGUAGCAUUACGUGUUAGUUAUUGCCACAGCCUUUAAAAGUGGUUGCAAUAUAUGCACAUUUUUGCCACUUUAUUUGUGCGUUGCAAUAAUCAUGACUUUUGUUGCAAGAGAAAGAUGUUAUUGCUAUCACUAGAACAGUUGUUGCAAAAUGUCCCUAGUGGCUCACUGGAUAUUACAACAUCAGUAAAGUGGUAGCAUUAGUAGCAGUGUAGAGCGAGACGCGGCAUAUGCGUAGAAUUCUUUUUUUCAUCCAAACCGACCGGGCGUGCGGGGAGGGUGAGGCCAUCCUGUGUCAUAUACUCUCAUGUCUGCGCAAGGCCAAGGGAAUCGUAGUAUAUACGGACCUACCGCGCGCGACAUGUCUAAGUCGUGAUCCAACUUUGCGUUCUGUGUCUGGAUCGUGAUGGGAAAUAUAUUCAAUUUAUUGAUACGUUACAAGAAAAAUACAAAGAACAGUCUAGAAGUUUCUGUUCUCUCAGACACACAUCAAUAAAACACGCAGGUGAAUAAAAUACAAGGAAAAGGAUCACAUGAAUCUUCUAAAAUCUGAUAUAUAACCAACAAUAGAAAAGAAUACAAGGAAAAUGAUCACAAGAAUCUUCUAAAAUCUGAUAUAUAACCAACAAUAGAAAAGAAUACAAGGAAAAUGAUCACAAGAAUCUUCUAAAAUAUGAUAUAUAACCAACAAUAGAAAAGAAUACAAGGAAAAGGAUCACAAUAUUCUUCUAAAAUCUGAUAUAUAACCAACAAUAGAAAAGAAUACAAGGAAAAUGAUCACAUGAAUCAUACAAUUUCCAAUUGUUGUCCGCAUGCCUAUACUAGUACAUAUUACAGCCGCCACUGCCUGCAGGGGACUCAAACUGCCGCCCGCUAGGACACACAACAACCAGCAGCUAGGGACUCCACGCCUUCAGGUGAUCCUUAUUCAAGCACACCUUCGCCAACCCCAUCCAACAGUCAGCUUUAGACGGUUUGCACUACAACAGAAAAUAGGAGACAACCAUCAGGUAAUCCUUAUUCUUAAUCACAACGAUGUAACUAGUUUAGACAAGUGAUCCAUGCACGGUUGCACCAUGAUUCCUAAGAGUUUCCGCCAUUUUAGGUUCUAGCCAAAUAAUAUUCAGUUUUAUGGCUGUUGUACCUGCAAAAAAAUUAUACAUCGUGUCCGUUAAAGUCAAAAUAAAUGUGACUAAUGGUGAUAAUAGGGAAGGAUGGCAUAGAAGAGAUUAAAGCAUUUACGAUAAUAUAUAAAGUUAAUGGACAACAUUGCAGUGGCUCGCGUGUGGAAGUAAAUGCACACUAAUAUCUAUAAACUUUUUAUUAAAAAAAUCUGCAGGUUCUCGUGUUCUAAAUAGUACAUGGUUUCAUCUUGUUUUGAGCCAUUAACAGCAAACCUGGAAAGUUUUUUCGUUUGUGUGUCAUUUCAGAAGUCACCUACGUUUGCUUUCAGACAAAAUAGGAACACACCCUUGUUGCAGCUCAAAAACCAAAUAAUACAUUGAAAUUGAACACCCAAGUGCCACGUGAAAUGAAGUGUUGUGUGCAAAAACUCUAUAGGUACAACGAAUGAAUAAUUGAUAUACUAUGUCUAGUUAUUGGGCUAUUAGUUUGUGAGCGUUAAGUAGUACUGAGUUGUAGUUUAAUGCCAAGGAGGUUGACCGGUAGAGUCCACAAAGCAUUAGUAAAAAUAUUGGUUAAGAUCUUGUCUCUGUCAGACUUGAUUGUUUUUCAACAUUAUUCAGAAAGAGAUUAGCUACAUAAGGGGUCAGAGAGUGGAUAUUUCUGUGAAAGAAAGUAUGUAUAUAUUUACAAACCCCUGCAUAUCAGCUUUGAUUGGAAGAGCUCCGAGAUUUAGAGAAAGCAAAUAUGUAAGAAAAAGAACCCAUGCACAUAUUUACCAGAAGCUAGUACGUACCAUGCAUAUAUGAUUAGGUAGUCAAACCAUCUCUGAAUCUGGGCACAACUGACAAAAUAAAGAGGAACUGUCAAGUCAGAAAUAAAAUACAGUUAUAUACUUUAAGUUAUUAGGUUUGUGAGAUACUGUUAGAGUAUAUGUGGUUAGGCCCAUGUGGCUAGGCCCAUGUGGCCCAUGUACAAACACUAUAUAGCUACCCUCUAGGGUUAGCCCUAAUAAUAUACAAUUAUUACCUCUAACAUGGUAUCAGCCUAGCCUAGGUUUUCCUCCAGCCGCAUGGCAGCCGCUGCUAGGGUUUUCUCCAGCCGCCAGGUCGCCGCCACCAGGAGCCCCUGCGCGCCAGGCCGCCGCCGACAGGAACCAGCGUGCGCCCAGGAAUCCGCGCCGCCGCCGCCAGGACCCAGCGCCGCCACCAGGACCUGCCCCUGCGCUCCAGGCAGCCGCCUCCAGGAGCCCCUGCGUGCCAGGCCGCGCCUCCAGCCAGCCGACCGAGCUCCGCGCGCAGCUCUGGUCCGCGCAACGCGCCUCCAGCCAACCGAGGAGUCGCGCGCCCCUGCACGCCAGCGACCCUCCCAUGGCUGGCGAGCAGCCUCCUCUCUCCCCCUCCACUUUCCCUCCCCUCUCCUCCUAGGCGCGGGCCACCUCCCCUGGCAGGCCCGCCAUCGCCGCCUCUCCUACCGCUGUUGCGGCCGUCGUGCGUGGGCGUGCCCCCCUGGCCCCUCCCCACCCCCUCCCAGUCGCCGCCGUUGUCUCCCCUGAAGGUGCGCAGGCGCUGGUGGCAGGGGCAUGGGGGUCCGUGCCCGCCUCUGCGCUCGAGCCGACGUGGGGGGCCGGGCCCACCACCGCCGGUGGGGCCCUCACCGCUGCGCGCACCGCCUCGGCCCUUGCGGCUGUGGCGGAUGCAGUUCCCGCGUGGGUUGCCGGUCCAGAGGACCCUCCCCCACCAAUUCCCCCGUCGCUGGUCGUCGAUCCGCCCUCGGUCAUCGAUCAACCGCCUCCUCCACCGGUCGCCCACCAAGGAUACACCGUCGCCGCCCUCACUGCUGCCCGUGCGGAGCACGCGGCGCGACAGGCCCACUUGUGGGAAGCGGCCCUCAUAUGGGAGCGCGAGCAUGAGGCCGCCGACGUUAUCGCUGCUCAGAUUGCUGCGGCGGAACAGCUCCUCGCCUCGCCUGCGGCCCACGACGGCGGGGCCACCUCCUUUGACACCAUGGGCGGCGUGUACGGCGUCCCAACCGCACCGACUGUCGGAACCGGGCCCCGCACCAUCCCUACGAUGCUCUGGCAUGACUCGGCUGACCCGCUCGUGGCUCAGCUCCACCUUCAAGCUGGGAGUGUCCAGAACAUUCGCCUGAUGGUUCCUGUCGUCCUGGAGCCUGAGUCACCGUCCUACGCACGCUGGCGGUACUUACUCCUCCUCACCCUUCGCCGCUAUGCUCUGGACGACCACGUCCUCUGCGACCCCACCAGCAUGGCGCCGACUGCCGCGUGGGUGCGCCUUGAUAGCAUCGUGCUCACCUGGAUCGUGGGGACGAUCUCCGUUGACCUCCACAGCCUCCUCCGGAACCUUCCUCACGCUCGGGCUGUUUGGCUUGCCAUCGAGGGCCAGUUCAUGGGCAACGCCGAGGCCCGGGCUCUCCGCCUCGACGCCGCUUUUCGCACCUUCGUCCAGGCAGACCUCAGUGUCAGUGCAUACUGCCGCAAGAUGAAGACCAUGGCGGACUCACUUGGCGAUCUGGGUUGCCCUGUGGAGGACCGCAUCCUAGUCCUCAACGUCCUCCGCGGCCUCGGCGAUCGCUAUACCCACCUCCGGUCGUUGAUCAUGCGCUAGCGCCCCUUUCCUACCUUCCUCCAGGUUCGCGACGACCUCGCCCUGGAGGAGAUCACUCUGGGUGCUCAGGCUGCAUCGAUCUCCGGCCCGGGGUCCUCGUCCUCUUCGACAGCACUGGCGGAAUUCACCCCGACCCGUCCACCUACUCCGUCACAGUCUGCCCUUGGCCCUCGCCCUCCCGGUCCGAGCAUGGGCGGCGGGGGUUGAGGUGGUAGAGGCGGGGGCGGUGGUGGUCGUCGCCGCCGUGGUGGCCGCGGUGGUGGUGGUGGUGGUGGUUCCGGCGGUGGUGCCCGUGGCCACACACCGACGCCGGGACCCUAGCAGGGUGCGCCUUGGCCCACUUUCCACCACCCGUGGUCAGGGCACAUCUCCAUGUGGCCGUUCCAGGGGCCAGGCUCUGAGGCUCGGCCCCCGGCGGCCAUGUUCGCUGGUGCGCAGCCAGGGUUCGCCUUCUCCUCUCCGUCGCCCUGGACCUCAACACCUACCGCUUCGUCGUGGCCCACGCCACCGGCUACUCCACCGUGUGGGCUGGUUGGUUGGGACAUGGCCGCCCUGGCUGCCUUCCAGACUCCUAGUCUGACUCCGCUGAUGGGUCCCGAGUGGAUCGCGGACACCGGUGCUACCUACCACACCACCCCCGACCCUGGUAUACUCACCUCUGUUCGCCCUCCUUCUUCCUCUCUCCCUUCGUCCAUCAUGGUGGCGAAUGGCUCGUGUCUUCCUGUCACAUCUGUGGGUGUCGUCGGCCCUCCCGGCUCUUUUUGCAUUCCCGAUGUUCUUGUCGCUCCUUCUUUGGUCCACAAUCUUCUUUCUAUUCGUCGGUUUACUGCUGAUAAUUCUUGUUCUGUCGAGUUUGACUCUUUUGGUCUUACUGUGAAGGACUCGGCAACUCGGCGCCCCCUCCUCAGAUGUGACAGCACCGGCCCCCUCUACACCCUUCGGCUUUCGCACGCCACAUCUUCUUCGUCUUCGUCACCUGACACAGCUGGUGUUUUUGCUGCCGCCACGUCUUCUACCACCUGGCAUCGUCGCCGUGGUCACCCCGGACGCGAUGCCUUGAUGCAGCUUACUCGUAGUGCCACUAUCCCAUGUACUAGAUCCCAUGAUGAGCAUCUUUGUCAUGCGUGCAAGUUAGGCUGCCAUAUUCGUCUUCCUUUUUCUUCUUCUUCCUCACAUGAUACUCAUGCAUUUGAUCUUGUACACUUUGAUUUGUGGACUUCACCUAUUACCAGUAUGUCAGGCUACAAAUACUAUCUUGUGGUGCUUGAUGAUUUUUCUCAUUAUGUGUGGACUUUUCCUUUGCAUGCCAAGUCUGAGACUUUCCCCGCCCUCCGCCACUUCUUCGCCUAGGUGUCCACUCAGUUCAGCCUCACCAUUAAGGUCGUUCAGUGUGACAAUGGUCGGGAGUUCGAUAACUCCACCUCCCGCGACUUCUUUCUCUCCCACGGGAUGCAGUUGCGGAUGUCUUGCCCGUAUACCUCCUCCUAGAACGGCAAGGCUGAGCGCAUGAUCCGCAUGACCAACGACACCAUCCGCACUCUUCUUCUCCAGGCGCACCUUCCCGCACGUUUCUGGGCCGAGGCCCUCCACACCUCUACCUACCUCCUCAACCGUCUCCCUUCCACUGCGUGCCCGGCCCCCACUCCUCACCAGGCACUCUUCGGUACCCCUCCGCGCUAUGACCACCUCCGUGUCUUCGGGUGUGCUUGCUACCCGAACACCGCUGCCACUGCUCCUCACAAACUAGCACCCCAUUCCACCCUCUGUGUGUUUCUCGGGUACUCCCUGGACCACAAAGGCUACCGCUGUUUUGACCUCUGCUCUCGCCGGGUCCUCAUCUCUUGCCAUGUGGCGUUUGAUGAGUUCGUAUUUCCAUACUCCUCCACCACCACACCACUCUCCUCCGACCCUGACCUUGACCUCUUCACUCUCUUUCCGACUGACGCGGUGGUCGAGCCACCUCUCCUUCCUCUCUCUGCAGGUACUCGCUCACCACCUGUCGGUCCUACUUCCGGCCCGGUACCUUGCUCGGGUCUGGUGGUGUCGCCUACGGUGGUGUCGCCUCUCUGCGGAGCCCCGUCUCCGAUCGCCCCCGAGCCGAGCGAGGGUGGUGGGACUACAUCGCCUACGGGGCUGUCGGUUCCGACCCCUCUGGCCCGCUUCGCCCAGCCGGUGUGGGUCUACCAGCGUCGGCUGCCGCCACCGGGGUUCACACCUCCACCGUCGCCGCCCCUGCCGCUGUCACCACCGGUGGCCCAGUCCCCGCCAGGGACACCUACACCUCCCGCGGCCACCCGCGGCCCGUGUCGAGACGCCAGUGUACCACCCACCGCGACCCACGGCACGUCCACCCAAUGGUGACGCGGCACGCGGCUGGUACCCUACCGCCUCGUGUCCUGGCGGCCACGACCGCAGACUCGCAGGUUUCUCCGGUACCCUCCUCCCUCCGCACCGCCCUGCUGGACCCCCACUGGCGUCGAGCGAAGGAGGAGGAGUACGCGGCGCUCAUUGCCAACCAGACGUGGGAUCUGGUGCCCCAUCCGCUCGGCACUAACGUCGUCACCGGCAAGUGGAUCUGGACGCACAAGCGGCGGGCUAAUGGUACCCUGGAGCGGUACAAGGCUCGUUGGGUUCUUCGGGGCUUCACUCAGCGCCCUGGAGUCGAUUACGAUGAGACCUUCAGCCCGUUUGUGAAGCCGGCCACCGUCCACACGGUGCUAUCGCUGGCCCUUGCUCGCUCCUGGUCAGUUCACCAGCUCGAUGUCAAGAAUGCCUUCCUGCACGACGCUCUCAUCGAGACCGUCUACUGCUAUCAGCCAGCGGGGUUCGUCGACUCCUCUUGCCCUGACAUGGUCUGCCGACUCAACAGGUCCCUCUACGGCCUCAAGCAGGCCCCCCGGGCGUGGCACUCUAGACUGGCUACGUUCCUGGUGACACUGGGCUUCGUGGAGGCCAAGUCAGACACACCUCUAUUCGUCCACCAUCAUGGAGCAGAGACUGCCUACUUGCUCCUCUACGUGGAUGACAUUGUCCUCACCGCCUCCAGUCAGUCACUUCUUCGCCGCCUCGUCGACGCGCUUCAGCGGGAGUUUCUGGUCAAGGAUCUGGGUGUGCUUCACCAUUUCCUGGGGGUCACUGUUGAGCCUCGCCCCUCAGGACUCCUACUUCACCAGCGGUAGUACACUCUUGACAUUCUGGAGCGGGCCAAGAUGAUUGAUGCAAGCCCUGCUCUACCCCAGUCGACACACAGGCGAAGCUCUCUGAGGCCAUGGGUGACCCAGUCAAGGACCCCACCGGGUACAGGAGUCUUGCAGGUGUCCUUCAGUACCUCACCUUCACUAGGACAGACAUCUCUUACAUUGUGCAGCAGGUCUGUCUCCAUAUGCACGACCCCCGAGAGCCCCAGCUCGCGGCUCUCAAGCGCCUCCUCCGCUACCUCCGAGACACCGUCGACUACGGGCUGCUUCUUCACAUGUCUACCUCCUCCGAGCUGGUCGUCUACACCGACGUUGACUAGGCCAGGUGCUCGGAAACUCGGCGCUCCACCUCCGGCUACGCCGUCUUCUUAGGCGGUAACCUGGUGUCCUGGUCGUCGAAGCGCCAGCCGGUCGUCUCCCGCUCGAGUGCUGAGGCGGAGUACCAUGCCGUGGCCAACGACGUGGCGGAGGCUGCGUGGCUCCGGCAGCUCCUCGCCGAGCUCCACAGUCCCAUCUCCAAGAGCACGUUGGUCUACUACGACAACGUCAACGCCGUCUACCUCUCCACCAACCCGGUGCAGCACCAGCGGACCAAGCAUGUGGAGAUCGAUCUACACUUUGUCCGAGAUCUGGUCGCCGUCGGUGAUGUUCGGGUCCUCCACGUCCUGACCACCUCCCAGUUUGCCGACAUCUUCACCAAGGGUCUUUCGUCCUUGACCAUCACCGAGUUUCGCUCUAGCCUCAACAUCAGUAGUGGCUAGUUGAGUCUGUGGGGGGAUCCUAGUGUGUGAUGUACUUCUUGUUUUCGGAUCCAGUCUGUAAACUCCGCUGCGACGGAUGUUCAGACUACGGGGGGUGUUAUAGUAUAUGUGGUUAGGCCCAUUUGGCUAGGCCCAUGUGGCCCAUGUACAAACACUAUAUAGCUACCCUCUAGGGUUAGCCCUAAUAAUAUACAAUUAUUACCUCUAACAGAUACUCACAGAUAUCUUUAUUUUUCAUUUUCUGCAAGGCAAAUGAGCACAUCUAUCUCAAUCAUUGCAAGCAAACCGAUGAAGAACAGGGGGGACACAUCUCACAUCACCGCUCGGAUGGAACACACUUUGCCAGACGACCAAGAGGAAUUCGGAGAGUAAGAAGAGGCAGGCAAAAAUAAAAGCCCUAGCAGCUAGGAAACGUAGAUUGGAGAGUGUGUCAAACCUCUGAGUAGCAACGGGACGAAGGAAAAUGAGUGCGCGAGGGAGGAGGGGACACAGAGGUGUCGUUGCCGAACCCUACAUCGCUUUUCCCCUUCUCGAACUCUAGCAUAACGCGAGAGAGGGAGGGGAUCCAGCACCGCGAUGCCGGGGGAUGCAGGCGCCGACCAUGGAGAGGGAUGGGUAUGGAGCACCGCGGCGCUGCGCCGAGGGUGAGGGGCAUCCGCGUUUGGCCGGGAAGCGUCAAGGUCGGGGAUGGACCUCCAGGCGGAGGCUGGCUAGGAGGCUAAUUAGCAGUACCGUCGAGACGCGCCAUCGUUGAUUGCCGAUAGAACGCGCAGAACCAGAAGGGGUAGGUAAGUAGCCACCGAGUGACCCCUAUCGAACGGCUGAUAUUUCUUUUCAUAUGUUUAAAUUUAUAUCUUGCAGCGAAAAUAAAAACCAACGUCUUUUCUUAAAAAUGCUACUCUUUAUAAAGAUUGGUCGUACUACGUAAAUGUAUUACCGUUGUCAUAUAAAAUACUUCAUAUAUUAUAACUAUUUAUCUUAAUUUAAACUAAUUUAAACAAAUAUGUAAUUAUAGUAAUGUGACGCACUAAAUUUAGGCAAAAAAGGAGCCUAUUACCGCACCUAUUACCUACUCUAUCUUUUUUAUUCUAAUUGUUGUAAGCCAUCCUUCGUUCAGUUUCAUCAGUGGGAAUUCAUCCUUCGUUCCUCUUCAUCUCUACUAUCUAUUAAGACGAUAGUGGAGACCAAGGCACUGCCCCCACACCCUACCCGACGUGCACACGCACGCCAUCGCCCUCAUCCGAGAGCCACCCCGACACCCCGCUCUCCCGUCUUCUUUGCUUCGGCGCCACCGCCUCCCGCAGGCCCACCCAUGCGCGCGCUUCUCCCACCAGAUGCACGUGUGCCCGCACUCAUACGUCUACCUCCAACGACGCGUGCCCGCUCUGCAGCGGGAUCAUCGGCCCCCUCGUGCGUUGCCCUCGGCAGGCGGCCCUUGCCCUCUGAUGCCCUCGCGCUGGCGGUGUCUCCCACCGACGAGGCGUUCGCGCUGCACGAGGUGCUGGUGCGACACUGUCACGGUGUCACGGACCUGCAGGCGGAUCCUACCCUAUAGGUUCGUACAACUCCCACCCAUCCUUAGAUCGACGCGUGCCGCCAUUCGCCUCCGCGAUAUAUGCGCCCCCUAACUCACGGCCUCACUGCGGCGCCCCUUUCCUCCCCUUGCCUUGAUGCACAGGCCUAGAAGGAGAUCCAAUCAGCCAAGUCUCACUUUCUCCACCAUGCUCCACCGCCACACGCCUAUUGGAGUGUCGCUGCCUCCUCGACCAUCGCAUCACCGACAUCACAACCCGCAUCGCCGACCUCACAACCAACGUCCUUCUCCUCGCGGCCUACACGGCCCCUCCACUCGCACUACAGUAACCACAGCGACAAUGGCGUGUGGCGGGCUACACAUUCGGGUGCUCCUUCCAGGCAUCCAACUUACUCCCUCCAGCUCCGGUCCCCCACGCUAUGAAGGUGUCGUGCAACUGCGCACAGGUGGAUGUGGGCCUCAGCGACAGCAGCUAUGCGAGGGGGAUGUGCCCAGUGGCACAUCCACUGGUACGUCCAUCUCGAUCCACCUGGUGCUUUGGUUUUUAGUACUCCGUUCUUGAGCCACUGCUUGGUUUGCUUGCUCCUAUUUUGGUUGGUUAGGAAGUCUAGAUUGCUUCGACAAAUGCAUCGUCUUGCUAUGUUAUGUGUAAUAUUUUCUCUGUUAUGAGCCCUGGAAUCAAAAUUUUUCUCCUGCGUCUGCUGCCUUCCUCCAUCCAGUUCCUUGUGGAUUUGCUUCUUGUGUGUUGUUGUGCUAAAUAAUACCUAUUUAAUUUUGCAAUUUCUUAGGUAGUCAAGUUUUGCACCUGCGUGUUGUUUCUUCGUGCUAUCAUAGUUCAUGAAGCUAACUUUGAUUUUAAAUUGGCAGCCUUAUCAGUACAGUUGGUACAUGAUUGAUGUUUUAUAUGUUUCUAACAAACAAAGUCAUGCCAUAGAAAUUGUGUCAGUCACAACAACUUAGUGCCAUUGCUAUCAUAACAUAAGCCAUACUUUAUAAUUUGGUGCUUUUCAAAAUGAAAUUUAGUGGAAUACAACUUGGGCAUGACUUUUCAUACUCUUUUGAACUGAUAUGGAUGCACACUUAGGAAAUAAUGACACAUGUUACAAAAAUUAAAUCAAAAGGUUAGCCAAUUCAACAUAAAGCAACAACGUUCCAUGGAUGUUGGUCUCAUGAUGAUAUUUUAGUAGUCUUGAAAAUAGAGAUGCCACACAACCGAUGAAUGGUGAAAUUAAGUUUUGCUUCAAAAAUUCGCAUAGAUGACAUAAUUGCAGACUUCAAAUUAAGAUAAUAUAAGUAAUAUUCUAUACCAACUUCUAUAGUCAUCCAAGCACCUUACCACAUAUCAUCUAAAGUUUGAAAUGCAUAGCUUAGAAGUUAUUGUUUUUUUACCAAAAAAUAUGUGUAAUACCAUGUUGUUUUUUUGGCUGAACUACUAAGUAACUUACCAUAACAUUGAGAAUUUUUGUUUUGGCAUGGUCCAUUGUUUUUGUAUAUCGUAGAAUCACUCCAGCCUCCACUCGUCAGUUUAGUUCCCAAAUGGCAAGGGUGCAAUCUCCUUCCUAAUCUGCUCUACUACAAGGGUUUUGAGCUGGGUGGCGGCGCGACGGCGGCCUGAGGCCCAAUAGCACCUCCGCCCGGCCCAGUCUCCCUUUGAUUAUUCUCUACUAGCUUGUCUCGUCAUCUCUGUCAAGCUGGAGCCGCCACCGUUUGUCUUCUCUGUCAAACACCAAGCAUUCAGGGUCCAGCCCCAGCCGGUCGCCGCUCCUGCCUACCUUUCGGUUCCAGCAAGCAAUCCCCGAGGAGCGAGCGGACAAGAGAAGAAAUCAAGAAAACCCGCCUACCCCGCACCAAAAUGUCAAACCACAACAAGUCCCAUCUGUCCCUCCCCCCGCCGCCAAGGGCCACCGACCAGGAGAUCACGUGCUCAUCUCUCAUGGAGUCCGUCUAGCUUCCGCUCGUCUGCACCCACUCCAAGCAACCGCAGCGGUGAGUUUGAUCAGGCCAAAAGGCCCUUCCUUGUUCCUUGCACUCCUCUACAUCGUUGCGCGACUUAGUUGAUUUACAUGAUUUCCUGUUAGUCUGAUGUCCUCCACCUAUUGUCAGAUUUUGCAUAGUCCCUGACUAGUGACUACACACUCAUCUCUGUUAGUCUGAUGUGCGCUACUGCGUUGAGAGUGUUUGUGUGACUUAUUGGCAUCGUUGUUUUGAAUAAAUCUGUUUGUUCAUAGGAGAUUAUAUUAGCCCUGUUGCAGCGUAGAUCAGGAUAUCAAACUAGGCCUCUGUCUGGUGUUUUUACAGUAGCAAAUGCAAACUUAAUUUUUCUUGUGUCAUGGUACCUGGAUCGUGUUCUGUCACUAAAAUUACUGCACAUAAUUCCAUUAAAUAAUAUGUUGUUAUACAUACAUGAUUUUUCUUUCCUAGCCCUGUUAGCAUCUAUUUUCCCUAACUAUGAUGGCGACUCAAGGAGGUUUGCCACCGACAAGCAAUGAAGCUAAUUUAUGCACCAACGACAAUGGUAGCCAACUUGGUACACGGAUUGUGGAAGAGAUUAUGGCUGGGAAGAACAUCUUUGAUCUUCCUAAUAAGUAAAAAUCUAUCUACCUAGAUUGUUCUCUACUACUUUGGCCUUGGCGCAGAUCAUAAUUAGACUAUAUUGCUUAGAAUAUAUUUGUGUGGCAGGUUGACGGGUGAGAUAUGGACCUUGAAAUUCCAUUGCAUUUGAACACAACCUGGAAAAGAAAUUGUCACAAUAAAUAUUGAUAAAGCUUAUGUUGCCUUUUACAACGUGGUGUACAUAAAAUCGAAACUUGGAUAUUCUGGGAGGGACUUCUUGUUUUACAAGAAACGAUGUGGCAUUGACCGAUCCAGGCUAUUGGCACUUGAUUACAUCCACCAAGAAGAGGCCAUGCUAUCUGAUAACGUGGAUGAGAGAAAAAUAAGUUUUGUGCUCACAAAAGAUCCACCCCGUGAUCUAGAGGUAAGCAUAACUCCCAUCAAGCGUCCAAGGCAGCGAACAAAUGUUGACGAAGAAACUAUAGAAGUGUCGAUUGAUGCAUAUAAGGAGUGGCUUGCAAUACUACAACAUGAUAAUCCAGAAACGGGUAAGUUAAGAUGUCAAACUCAUUACAUUAAAUACAUGAUAUGUUAUAGUUUCCACAGUUAAACUUACGUAUUGUUUAAGUGUAGAUUUAAUGGAUGACUUUAGGGAGGAUACGAUCAAAACAUAUAAAGAAUGGUUAAGGCAUCAAGGCGAUCUUCCAGAUAUCUGUGAUUUCUUUUAUUUACAGCGUACUAACAUAUAGUGUAUAUUUUUGCAAAUUGUUAGAGACAUAACUGAUGCCUAUGCUAUCCACAGUAUUGCAUGAACGACAAAGCAAUGAUGACCUAAUAUUAUCAGAUGAAGAAAUUCAUGGCAGCGGCAAACCUACGGCUGAUUGGCCAUCUCAUGCUAGACGUCAUAGGAAAAGAGAUCCUGGUAUAUUUUACUAAGAGUGUUUUUAUUCAAAUGUUGCAAUCUUCUACUUUGGAUAUUUCUACCCAUUCAUAUGUUAUUGGUAUAUAUGUAGAUAACGAUGGAGUCUUCAAAAAGGAGGGGAGUGGUACCCUUAAGGGUAUAGCAGCAGCUACCAAGCGAAUCAAGAACGACAAUCACAAACUUAAGAUUGAAUUUUCAUCUAAGCUUGGAGGUCCCGUAGGACCAAACACUCGCACUUUUGUGGAUGAAAUCGUAUUGUAUACAAAGAAAAAGGCACCACUCAUUGGAGUGAAAAAGUGGAAAGAUAUAGAGCUCAAUGUUAGAUCUUCUAUAGCAUAUGACGUACUGGUAUGUGCAAUUUCUUUAGUAACUAUUAGUUGCCUAGCAUGCUAUGGCACCGCUACUUCACCCGAGAUUAAGCCGUCUCAAACUUUCUUUGGUAUGAUCUACUGAGAUAUGGUCAACUAUUCACAAAUUACUAGACAAUUAACCAUCUCUUUGUAUCAAAACUGAAACAUCGAAGGUGGGAGUUUCCAAGAAAUGAGGACGUGCAUGAAAAGAUAUGGUCUAUUGCCAAGGAGAGGUACAAAGGAUGGCAAUCUGCAUUAAGCUCAACAUACAAGGCAUACAACAAUUAUGCUGAAAGAUGAAAAACAAGCCUGAAGAUGUAGACAUCGUAGAGUGGCAUUACCUGAUGCUGUAUUUUGGAUCUGAGAAAUUCCAGGUUCGAUAGCAUUUCCUUUACAAUGAUUGACACUUGCAUAAUAUCGAUGAUUCUAGCAUUUUAUUUAUUAAUUCAUUUACAAUUGUUAUUAUUUUGUAGAAAAUAAGUAGUCGGAACUUGGAAAACCGUCAGAAACAAAGAACAAAGCAUAUAAUGGGUUCUAGAACUUUUUCCCAUAUAAGCUUUGACCAGGUAAUGAUAUGACCACUACAUUAUUUUCCAUGAUUAAUGACAAACUUGUAUAAUGCAUUCUUCGCGUCAUAGAGAGACCCAAAAACUGGUAUAGAACCAACUGAUCUAACCCUUUGGAUGAGUACUCAUUGUAAAAAUGGUGAAUGGUUGGAAGAGGCUUCACAUGGUAUUUAUGUAAGUGAAUCACAAAGUUUAGUACUUAAACAUACUUCAAAAUACUAUGUAGAAAUUAUUAUUUGAAUUGAGUAAACUUGAACUACAUUGUUCAUUUCAGGAGAAGGCAUGCGAGAAAAUUGUUGAGAAAGUAUAUCAAGAUGAUGGAUUUGAUCUGACGAGAGAAGAGGAAAAUGCAAUUUUCCAAACAUCAUUCAAGGAAACAACAGGAUGCAAGGCAAAUAGGCUUCAUGGUCAUGGGUACCUAUCAAGAUAUCCAACAAGAAGUCAAAUGAUGGAUUCAAAAUUCCUCGAACAAGCUCGUGCAACGGCUGCAACCAACCAAAAGAACAUUGAACUCGAAACCCAGGUCCAUCUAUUAAAUGAAGAACUUGCAAGUGAGGUUGCAGAAUGGGAAAGAAUAGUGCAAGAAAAAAAUGCAAGCACUGCAAGAAGAAGAAGAAAGAAAAAGGCAACUAUUUAGAGAAGAAAUGAGGAAGGAAAUGGUUGUUGCCCUUACUGCAGCACAACAGGUAUAAAAUUUGAUAUUUGUAUCUUUUACCACCAUUGCUAUUGGAAACUUCUUCAACAUAAAUUGUUUGAUCAAUUGUUUAAUGCAGGCCAACUGAGAAAGCAUCACUCCAGUCGAUCCUCCUUUAGUGAUCCCAACUGAAACUCCUGAACUCAUCCCAGUUGAUCCUCUUGCACCAACACCAAGAAGUGAAAACAAUGUUUGUACUCCAGACACAAACAACAAGAAAGACAAUGUGCCAGCGAACUAUAUUAGCUCUUACGCUCUAAGGAAUGUUGUGACAAGACGUGUGUAGGCAAGGGGCAACAAAAGAAGUGAAUGUGUAUGGAAUGCAAAUGUUCAUGUAUUUUGGUCAAAUAUACUAUAGUAUGAAAUUCUUUUGAUAGUUUUGUUUUUUAAUCUUGAAUAUGAUUAUAUGUACAAUCUGUAAGCGCAAGCGAGAAACAAGGAAUAUCAUCUUAAGAAGUUCUAUCAAAGCGUGUUUAAGGUAUAUGUCCACAAUCCAAUGGAGCACUUCCUAUUUUUAUUUCUUUUGUAGUCAUGCAUGCAAUGGAUUUUAGUGUUGUUGUGCUGCUUGUUGCGUGCUGCUGCUUGCUAGGAGUUGUGCUAUAUAAAAGGUUUAGUUCUUACAUAGCAUUUGGAAUCUACUUAGAGAGCAACUACAUGAUUAACCAAGUUAUUGUACCUGUAGCCACUGCAGUUGUAGUCUUCCACUUAUGGUUAACCAAGUUAUUGUAGCUUUACUAAUUAAUUGUUUUGAACACUUCCAACAGGUUCGUUGUCAUCGUGAUAUCGUUGUCAUGAUAACCAUCACUUGCAUCAAUGGAGGAGAUGGAGGGGUACACGGUGGACCAAAAAAGCUUCCACUCAUUUGCUAGUGUUGAGUAGUUUAUUACCUAUGUUAUCACAAUCCAAGCUAGCAUGAGGAUGUUGUGAUUGUGAGCUAUUUUGUCAAAUUAAUUUGUAUUUGGUCACUGUUUAUUUGGUGCAACCUAUUUGUUACAAAAUGGUAUGGAUAUAGUUAAUAUAUGAGGCAAGAGACAAAUAUUAUGGUUGUCAAUUUUGGUUCUGAUGUUACAUAUGCGAAAUAUAAUUCUUUUUGCGUAAUAUAUUAUACCCAAUAGAAAUACAAAAUGCAUUGUCGUAUAAAUUAUGGGUUGAAUAUAUGUAAUUGCAACAUUUUUAUUCGUUGUUAUAUGGUUCGGUUGCAUUAUCUUUAUAGUUGCGACAUCAUCAAUUGCAAUGAUUUUUUUGUUGCAAUAAGAUGUAAUUAUAAUGGAUCUAUUUCGUUGGGACUUCAGUUGUCGCAACAUUUUCUCCUUGUUGCAACAUCAUUAGUUACAACGAUGUUUUUGUUGCCAUAAAGACUCGUACCAUGGAUUAAUUUUUAUAGUAAAAAUGUCAUAUAACCACGAGACACAUUAUGUUGCAAAAUGAUCAAAUGCAACGAAAAUAUUUGCAUGGCAAUACAUCUUGUUGCCACGAGUCACUUGUGUGGCACUAGUGUUUUGUUGCCAUGAAGCAUCUUGUGGUAACAAAGCCAUUUGCAACAGAUUCAAAUGUGGCAUUAACACUUAUUACCAUGAAAUAUGUUGUGGCAAUAUAGUUUUUGGCAACUAUUAUAAAUGUUGCAAUAUAACUUAUUUGCAACAUAAUAGUCCAUUGUAACGACAAACAGUUACAACACUUGAACACGUUGCAAAGGAUGUAGUAAUUGCAACAGAACGUAAAAAUGUUGCUAUAACCUAUUGCCACUCUAUUUUUUGCAACAGCAGGCAACGACAGUUGUUCUAUCGCAAUUGGUGCCUAUUGCAACGAUUUAUAGCCUAUCACAACGAUUUUUGCCCAUUGCAAAAAGGUGAUUUUUUAGUAGUGAAAAGAAAAGCGAAGAAAGGAAAGGGUAACACCUGAAUUUUGAGUACAGAGCAAAGAAAAUCUUAUUCGCCAAAAUUUAGGGUGUUACAGACCUAUCCCCCUUAAAAGAAUCUCGCCCCGAGAUUCAAGGUCGGUAGCAAAGAGUAUAGGAUACUUGGCUUUCAGAUCAUCUUCACGUCCCCAUGUUGCUUCUUCUUCAGAGUGGUGACCCCAUAUGACUUUGUAGAUUCUGAUGGUAUUCUCUAGUUGACUUUGUCUGCUGUCUCCAGAAUCUGUGUUGGUUUCUCCUCAUAUGUCAUGUCUUCUUGGACUUCCAGUCCUUCCAUUAGCAACUGCUCUUUGGGUACUCGCAAACACUUUUUCAGCUGAGACACAUCAAAAACAUUAGGCAUUGCUGAUAGAUCUUCUAGUAAGCUGAGCUGGUAUGCCACUUCUCCACGCCUUGCUAGAAUGUGGUACGGUCCAAUAUAUCGCGGUGCUAACUUGCCCUUGACUCCGAACCUUCUGACUCCUCUGAUAGGUGACACCUUCAGAUAGACAUAAUCUCCCACUUCUAAACUCAGUUCUCUUCUUUUUGUGUCAACAUAACUGCGCUGCCUUGACUAUGUUUUCUUUAGAUUCUCUCGGACAAUUUUGAUGUUCUCUUAUGCUUCGAGCAAAACUUCGGGACCAAACACCUACCUUUCUCUAGGUUGAUCCCGGAGUAGCGGAGUUCUACAACUCCUUCCAUACAGUGCCUAAAACGACGACAUCUUCAAACUGGCCUGAUGGCUGUUGUUAUAGGAGAAUUCCACAUAAGGUAACUUAUUAUCAACCUGACUUAUCUUGCAAUGCAUAGGCUCUCAACAUGUCUUCCAGAAUUUGAUUAGUUCUUUCAGUCUGAUCAUCGGUCUAUGGAUGAUAAGCUGAACUGAACUUCAAAUGCGUUCCCAAAGCUUCUUGUAGCUGCUGCAAAAAAUGAGAGGUGAACUGUGUUCCUCGAUCUAACACUAUCUUCUUCGAAAUGUCAUGCAAACAUACAAUCCGAGACAUGUAUAACUCAGCUAGCGUUGUGCCAUUGUAUGUUGUCUUCACUGGUAUGAAAUGGGCCACCUUUGUUAAGCGGUCCACAAUCACCCAAAUGGAAUCGAAACCGGCCCGGGUACGAGGUAGGCCAACUAUGAAAUCCAUCCUGAUCUCAUCCCAUUUUCCACUGAGGAAUUUGCAACGGUUGCAUAAGUCCAGCUGGUUUCUGAUGCUCUGCUUUGGUUCUCUGACAACUGUCACAAAUGGCAACAUGCUAUGCAAUCUCUAUUUUCAUUUUGAACCACCAAAACCUCCUUUUCAGGUCCUGAUACAUCUUCUUGCUUCUGGGUGUAUGAAAUUGAUGGAUUAUGGGAGACUACACUAGCGCAAAAUAAAACUUUCGACCCCAUAAAACCAGGAACUAUUGCGGUUAUAGACCAUGGAAUUACCACUAGACGCGCAGGGCAGCGGAAGACGUCUCGAUGUAGACGAACGCGUCGAGCAGUGUUGUGCAGUCGUCGGCGACCUUCACGUCCUCUCAUGGUUCAUCCUAGUGCUCUAGAUGCAGUACCUCCGAGGUAUCCACAUGUACAGGGAGGAAGCGCCGCGUUCUGAACUACUAGGUUCACGACGGUGGCUAAGCGAGGGCGAGGGGCAGGCGGCUGCUCAUUAACUAGUGAAAAAUUCGGGUUCUCUUAACCGCGCCCCUGUCCCUCAUUAUAUAGGCGUUCUGGUGGACUUCUAACUUUGAGGCCCAUUAGUAACGCUAAAGCCCUGUCUAAUUUUGGACCUAAUCUGAGUUAGGCUUCCUUCCCUUAAGUAUGUGACCCUAUAGGUUCACGUACAUAUAGACAUGGACUAAGUACUCUUACUUGGCCCAAUAAUUGACAGCGGCCUCUAGCAAGACAUGUCAAGUUCUAUACGCACGUAAAGAUCAUAUCAGACGAAAUAUUGCAACAUAAUGUACAUGUUGUUCCCUUUGCCUCACGAUAUUUGGUCUGGCUCUAAGCUAACCUCUCUUUCUCGAUACUGUGAAUUGGAAUCCUUUCAUUAGUUAACAUUUAACCCUAGCACGGUGAUGCAUUUCUUGAUCCAAUCAAUCGAGGGGCCAGAGAUAUCUGUCUCAAGAAGAGAGGGACAAAUUCCAUCUUGAUUGACCAUGCCUCACAACAUGCUUCCUGACAAACCCAAAACUACCUAUAUAACUACCCAAUUACGGAGUAGCAUUUGAUAGUCCCUAAGUAAGUCAAUUCACAACAUGCAAAAAUCUCAGGUCUAAGGGUACAGUAUACAUGUUGCAAAAUGAGAACCAUAUUACAAUAUCUCACAUUAGGUCGAUCUAGCCUCAUGUCAUACAUGCGCCCACAUUGUUUGUUUAACAUCUUCGUGUCCAUGACUUGUGAAAUGCAGUCAUCGACUAAUACAUGUGCUAGUCAUCAACUCUAACUAGGGACAUCAUUUAGAAUAACCGUACAAGUAAAGAAUCUCACAAACAAUUCACAUAAUUGCUAAUCAAUACAAGGUGCCUCUCAUGAUUAUUCAAUUAAGCAAUAUAUAUAUGUAUCAUGGAUACAAAGAAAUAUGCUCAUCUCUAUGAUUAUCUCUAGGGCAUAAUUCUAACAUGAUUAUGCUGUCUCAUGAGCUUCUUUGAGAAUUAGCUCCUGAAUGGACUUGAUGUCGGGAACACACAGUCGGUCUUUGAACCAUAUCCCGCCUUCUGCAUCCUCUAAAAGUCUUUGUCUUUUCCCUCUAAGAUUAGCUAGUGGAUCUCGUUGAUCUUUUCAUCAUCUUUCCGUCCUUCUCUGAUAUCCCGCUCUAAGGUGGGUUCCAGCUCAACUGUCACUCCCUGGGUGCUAUUCAGAAAUUCAAGACUCAGUCUGUCAAACUCCUUGGCUAACUCAUAUGGCAUCGGGUAAGCGGCCAUCAUACUGACUUGACUCUUUCUACUUAGUGCAUCCACAACCACAUUUGCUUUGCCUGGAUGGUAAUGUUUCUCCAACUCAUAGUCUUUAAUCAACUUUAGCAAUCUUUGUUGCCUCAUAUUCAGCUCUGACUUGGUGAAUAUAUACUUUAGACUUUUGUUGUCUAUGUAAACAUCACAUUUCUACCCAUAUAGGUAGUGCCUCCAUGUCUUCAAUGCAUGAGCCAAUGCAGCUAAUUCCAAGUCGUGUGUGGGAUAAUUAUUCUCAUGAACCUUUAGCUACUGGUAUGAAUACGCAACGACUUUUCCUUCUUGCAUUAGCACACAUCCUAAGCCAGUGUAGGAAGCAUCACAAUACACUGAGAACGGCUUGUAAACAUCAUGCAGAAUUAAGACAUGUGUUGUAACUUCUCUGUCAGCGCUUCAAAGGCCUCUUGGCACUUCUGGGUCCACUUAAACUCAACUUUAUUUGCUAGCAAGGCUAUCGUUGGUCUCGCAAUCUUUGAAAACCUUCAAUGAUACGCUGGUAGUAUUCGACCAUUCCAAUGAAACUUUUGAUUUCACGAACAUCUUUCGGUGCUUUCUAGUUCAGAAUAUUUGCUACCUUCUUUGGAUCCAUGACUAACCCAUCUCUGUUUAUGAUGUGACCCAAGAAUAGGACUUCAUGAAUCUAGAACUCACAUUUACUUAGCUUGGCGUAUAAUGGAUGCUCUCGUAGCCUUUGCAACAACUUUCUCAAGUGAUCUGCAUGGUCCUCCUCACUUUGAGAAUACAUGAGCAUAUUAUCAAUGAACACCACCACAAACUUGUCUACGUAAUCAAUGAACACGCUGUUCAUCAGAUACAUGAAGAAAGCUAGUGCAUUUGUUAGACCAAAUGACAUUAAUUUGAACUCAUACAACCCAUAUUUGGUGGUAAAUGUUGUCUUCGCUACAUCGGAAGGUCAGAUUCUGAGCUAAUGAUAACCUGACCUAAGAUCUAUCUUUGAGAACACACUAGCUCCUCUCAAUUGGUCGAACAGAUCUUCUAUUCUGGGCAGGGGAAACUUGUUCUUGAUUGCGACCUCAUUCAAAGCUCGGCAAUCUAUGCACAUUCUCUUCGUACCAUCACUACUAAAAAAUCACCUUCUUGCAAUGGGCAAAAAUCGCUGUGAUAGGCUAUAAAUCGUUGCAAUAGGCACCAAUUGCGAUAGAACAACUGUCGUUGCCUGCUGUUGCAAAAAAUAGAGUGGCAAUAUGUUAUAGCAACAUUUUUACGUUCUGUUGCAAUUACUACAUCCUUUGCAACGUGUUCAAGUGUUGUAACUGUUUGUUGUUACAAUGGACUAUUAUGUUGCAAAUAAGUUAUAUUGCAACAUUUAUAAUAGUUGCCAAAAACUAUAUUGCCACAACAUAUUUCAUGGUAAUAAGUGUUAAUGCCACAUUUGAAUCUGUUGCAAAUGGCUUUGUUACCACAAGAUGCUUCAUGGCAACAAAACACUAGUGCCACAGAAGUGACUCGUGGCAACAAGAUGUAUUGCCAUGCAAAUAUUUUCGUUGCAUUUGAUCAUUUUGCAACAUAAUGUGUCUCAUGGUUAUAUGACCUUUUUACUAUAAAAAUUAAUCCAUGGUACGAGUCUUUAUGGCAACAAAAACAUCGUUGUAACUAAUGAUGUUGCAACAAGGAGAAAAUGUUGCGACAACUGAAGUCCCAACGAAAUAGAUCCAUUGUAAUUACAUCUUAUUGCAACAAAAAAUCAUUGCAAUUGAUGAUGUCGCAACUAUAAAGAUAAUGCAACCGAACCAUACAACAACGAAUAAAACUGUUGUAAUUACAUAUAUUCAACCCAUAAUUUAUACGACAAUGCAUUUUGUAUUUCUAUUGGGUAUAAAAUAUUACGCAAAAAGAAUUAUAUUUCGCAUAUGUAACGUCAGAACCAAAAUUGACAACCAUAAUAUUUGUCUCUUGCCUCAUAUAUUAACUAUAUCCAUACCAUUUUGUAACAAAUAGGUUGCACCAAAUAAACAGUGACCAAAUACAAAUUAAUUUGACAAAAUAGCUCACAAUCACAACAUCCUCAUGAUAGCUUGGAUUGUGAUAACAUAGGUAAUAAACUACUCAACACUAGCAAAUGAGUGGAAGCUUUUUUGGUCCACCGUGUACCCCUCCAUCUCCUCCAUUGAUGCAAGUGAUGGUUAUCAUGACAACAAUAUCGCGAUGACAACGAACCUGUUGGAAGUGUUCAAAACAAUUAAUUAGUAAAGCUACAAUAACUUGGUUAACCAUGAGUGGAAGACUACAACUGCAGUGGCUACAUGUACAGUAACUUGGUUAAUCAUGUAGUUGCUCUCUAAGUAGAUUCAAAUGCUAUGCAAGAACUAAACCUUUUAUAUAGCACAACUCCUAGCAAGCAGCAACAAGCAGCAGCACGCAGCAAGCAUCACAACAACACUAAAAUCCAUUGCAUGCAUGACUACAAAAGAAAUAAAAAUAGGAAGUGCUCCAUUGGAUUGUGGACAUACCUUAAACACGCUUUGAUAGAACUUCUUAAGAUGAUCUACCUUGUUUCUAGCUUGCACUUACAGAUUGUACCUAUAAUCAUAUUCAAGAUUAAAAAACAAAACUAUCAAAAGAAUUUCAUACUAUAGUAUAUAUGACCAAAAUACAUGAACAUUUGCAUUCCAUACACAUUCACUUCUUUUGUUGCCCCUUGCCUGCACACGUCUUGUCACAGCAUUCUUUAGAGCGUAAGAGCUAAUAUAGUUCGCUGGCACAUUGUCUUUCUUAUUGUUUGUGUCUGGAGUACAAACAUUGUUUUCACUUCUUGGUGUUGGUGCAAGAGGAUCAGCUGGGAUGAGUUCAAAAGUUUCAGUUGGGAUCACUAAAGGAGGAUCGACUGGAGUGAUGCUUUCUCGGUUGGCCUGCAUUAAACAAUUGAUCAAACAAUUUAUGUUGAAUAAGUUUCCAAUAGCAAUGGUGGUAAAAGAUACAAAUAUCAAAUUUUAUACCUGUUGUGCUGCAGUAAGGGCAGCAACCAUUUCCUUCCUCAUUUCUUCUCUAAGUAGUUGCCUUUUUCUUUCUUCUUCUUCUUGCAGUGCUUGCAUUUUUUCUUGCACUAUUCUUUCUCGUUCUACAACCUCACUUGCAAGUUUUUCAUUUAAUAGUUGGACCUGGGUUUCGAGUUCAAUGUUCUUUUGGUUGGUUGCAGCCGUUGCACGAGCUUGUUCGAGGAAUUUUGAAUCCAUCACUUGUCUUCUUGUUGGAUAUCUUGAUAGGUACCCAUGACCAUGAAGCCUAUUUGCCUUGCAUCCUGUUGUUUCCUUGAAUGAUGUUUGGAAAAUUGCAUUUUCCUCUUCUCUCGUCAGAUCAAAUCCAUCAUCUUGAUAUACUUUCUCAACAAUUUUCUCACAUGCCUUCUCCUGAAAUGAACAAUGUAGUUCAAGUUUACUCAAUUCAAAUAAUAGUUUCUACAUAGUAUUUUGAAGUAUGUUUAAGUACUAAACUUUGUGAUUCACUUACAUAAAUACCACGUGAAGCCUCUUCCGACCAUUCCCCAUUUUUACAAUGAGUACUCAUCCAAAGGAUUAGAUCAGUUGGUUCUAUACCAGUUUUUGGGUCUCUCUAUGAUGCGAAGAAUGCAUUAUACAAGUUUGUCAUUAAUCAUGGAAAAUAAUGUAGUGGUCAUAUCAUUACCUGGUCAAAGCUUAUUUGGGAAAAGUUCUAGAACCCAUUAUAUGCUUUGUUCUUUGUUUCUCAUUGUUUUCCGAGUUCCGACUACUUAUUUUCUACAAAAUAAUAACAGUUGUAAAUGAAUUAAUAAAUAAAAUGCUAGAAUCAUCGAUAUUAUGCAAGUGUCAAUCAUUGUAAAGGAAAUGCUAUCGAACCUGGAAUUUCUCAGAUCCAAAAUACAGCAUCAGGUAAUGCCACUUGACGAUGUCUACAUUUUUCAGGCUUGUUUUUCAUCCUUUCAGCAUAAUUGUUGUAUGCCUUGUAUGUUGAGCUUAAUGCUGAUCGCCAUCCUUUGUACCUCUCCUUGGCAAUAGACCAUUGUUGGGGACUUGUUCUCAAAUGCUUCGAAUUAAGAACAAGGCAACACGGAAAAUGUUAAGUAUUAAGGUCCUUCGUCCUUCAUAACGAUAUAUCCCUUCGGGAUAUAUAGCAUCUCGGACGAAGGUUACAAAGAACAUACCUUCGUAAGCAUAACAAUGAAGAAUAAAGCAUUCACAUAAAUCAUGAAAUAAACAUGUAAAUAUUAUCAUAGAAUUAUCUCUACUUGUAUUAAUGAAUAUAAAUGACUUUGAAGUACAAAUGUACCUUCGGUCUUGCGGAAGGCAAAAAGUACGAAUGUGAUGCGAAGGCAAAAAGCAGGUUCGCGUGAACAGUACAGAGGUACUGUUCAUCUAUUUAUAGACACAGGUCGCAGCCUGUGACAAAUUACAAUUAUGCCCCUUGCGGAAGUUUACAACAUUGACUCGGACAUACAUGUAUAAAAAGGUCAUUCUGCCUCUAUGUCGGUUUAAAACGCCGAAGCUCCAUGAAAAGGGACCUUCGGCCAUCUCUUAGAAACGACUUUGGCCGAAGCUGCUUCUUCGUGUGAGACCUUCGGCGUACCGAAGCACGACCCCAACAGUAGCCCCUUUCGCGGUGCUAGAUCGUUCUUCGUAACGAGCUUGGCCCGUGAAAAAAAACCUCUUCAGCUUCGGGAAGCCGAAGGUCCAAAAAACACCUUCCCUGAGCUCGUUGCGGAGAAACGAUCCGACUUCCGAGCGCGUGCGAAGCCCACUUUGUAGAGUUACUGUUUGGUCUUUGCGGUCCACUGCACAGCGGGUAUGAGUUACUGCGCGCCUGGUGUAACAGUUCCACCGCUUCGCCUUCCUACCUGCAGCACUAUAUAAACAAACAGGUGGGUGUGAAGUUACCACAGCAUUCAUUGCUAUUUGCACUGUUUCGCUGCCAAAAUUUUUCACCAUAGCCGAAGCUUAAGUCUCAGAAUCGAACGAAGGUGCUUCUCAACGUCCGCUUCGUCAGAAAGAAGAGCUUCGGAGAAAAGAAAAAAGGAAAAAAGUUUUUGACUUCCCAAACUUAGAAUCAAAUGGCGAGAAUACGAUCUACUGCCAAAGUUGUACGUGAGGGAGACGAAGCCGAAGGUUCAGACACUGUGCCCAUCUCCGAAGCAAUGCAGCGUUCCGGUCUACUGACUACAGAAGAAAUGCCUGCUGCUGAAGCAGGCCCAACAACUGCCGAAGGAAAAGAAAACAUUGAAGGGACUGACUCCGAAGAUGACUAUCACCUUGCUACGCCCAGCAAGCCCAGUCACCUGGAUUUUGGGAAAUCAACUGUUUCAAAAGCUGACCUUUCGAAGAUGGUGAAAGCAGGUUAUUUCAAUGAGGACCAGAAGAAGCUACUCCGCUUCGGGGAAGAAGAAACCACCCCGAAGCCAAGGAAGGAUGAGAUUGUUAUUUUCAAGAGUUUUUUAAAAGCUGGGCUUAGAUUCCCUCUCCACGAUAUUGUUGCGGAGAUACUAAGGAGGUUUGGUAUCUACUUUCAUCAAUUGACUCCUAACGCCAUCGUUAGGCUCAAUGUUUAUAUCUGGGCCCUCCGAAGCCAAGCUGUGGAACCAUUUGCUGACAGCUUCUGCCGAGCUCACGAAUUACAUUACCAAACAAAGGCCAGAAAAGAUGGGCUACAUGAUAAUUUCGGUUGCUAUAAUUUUGCCUACCGGAAGACAACAAAGUGUCCUGUCAUCAGCUACCGAAGCAAAUGGCCAGCAGGUUGGAAAUCUGAGUGGUUUUAUGUAAAAGUCGAUGAAAACAAAGAAAAAUUGGUACAAAGCCCUCUGGAGUUAAUCUUCGGAGAGACAAGGCCACAAUGCCACAUUGGCGACCUAAAAGGUCCCACCUGGGCUGCUCUGGGUGAAUUUGAAAUUAUCUCAGAACAUAUUGGCACCAGGGAUUUAGUUCAAGAGUUCUUGGCAUUCAGAGUUUUCCCUACUCUAAAAGAGUGGGAGAUGCCGAAGCUGGAGGGAGAGAAGAAGAAGGGGGAGCUUGUCCGGCUUCCCUAUUACUUCAAGUUCAAGAAGUUCUUCAAAAAACCCUGCAAAGAAUGGUUAGACACUGUUGAGGUGAUGUGCAACGAAAUCCUGGGGAAUUACUCCAAAAAAGAGGAUCAACUAAUGACAGCAGCCUUCGGUGCCCGACCGAAACGAAGGCUGAACCGAGUGCUUGACGCCCUAGGCUUCGAAUACCCAGACUACGAACAAUUGAACAAGGGCGCCGAGGGCCUCAAAAGAAAAAGAGUAGCCGAAGCUCUGAUCAGGGAUGAAGAAAUACCAGCAAAGGAGAAGAAAGUUCUCAAGAAAAGAAAAAUAUCUGCUCCGAAGCGCAAAUCACCCGAAGAAGAGGAGACCCCCACACCGCCUUCUACCAGCGACGUGGAGGAAAUUUUAAAGGUAAUGACUGAACCCAUGCCUACGAAGCUAAGUCCACUAGGGCUCCAACUGACGAAGCUUUUUGAAAAGGUGGACGAGCCGGAUCAACCGAAGAUAAACAAACCCAAACGGCAAAGAAUUAUUGCGGUAACUGAGGUUAUCGACAAAACUCCACCUAGGUUGUCAAUUCAGAAAACGGCGGCUGCUGAAGGUAGAGCUUCGGAAGUCGCGGCUACCGAAGCUGCCACACCCGAAGAUGUAAAUUUAGAAACUACUCUUGAAAAUAUUGACAAAAUUUUGACGGAAAACAUUGAAGAAGCUGCCACCGUUACUGAAGAAAUCCUGGCCACAGUGCCAGGGAAAGGGAAAGAAAUAGUCGAAGAAACUCCGGACGACGAAGCCUAUUCUUUCCAGAAUCUAAUUGGGCAGAAACUGACGAAGGACGAAAUAGAAGAACUCAAAGACUAUGCCAAAUCUUGCGGCUACAAGCCAGGAGCCCUUCUAUUUGGGGGUGUAGAUGAUGAAAAACUAGGCUGUAUUCGAGACCAGACUGGAGCUAAGGUAAUCUGUACUCUAUCGAAGAGUAUCGGUUUUCCGAAGUUAGAGACAGACAUCAGCCGCUACCGACGACAACAUAUCGUCGGCAGCUUGUUUUAUUCUAACUUCAAGGUAAACAACCUUUUUCUCUGGUUUUUAUUGUCGUUAACAAUGAAAAUAUUACUUAACAUAAGUUGUUUCUGUUCAGAGCAUGCUACUGAGCAAAGCUCUGAAGAUGCAACAAGACUUGGAGGACAAAAAGCACGAAGCUAUAAUUGAAAACUUGGAAAGCAAAAUAAAAGAGCAAUCUGCCAUCAUUGAAAAGAAAGACUUCGAGCUCCAAUCGACCGAAGGCUUGCUGGCUGAAACUGAGGCUAAAAUAUUAGAGUUAAAUUCGAAGCUUAUCAAUCAAUCAAAACAAUUUGAUCAGGAGAAACUAGAACUGAAUUCGAAGCUUAAAGCCGAAGUCCAGACCAGCUUAGAAUUGAAGAAAGCAUUAACAAGCCUUCAAGACAAAUGCUUGAACUUUGGCAAUAAUUGUAUUGGACGAUUAAAGAAGAUAUUUUACUCUGUUGGAGCCAGCAGUGUGAAAUUUAACCCUUCGGCGGAAAAUUUACCCCAGGCCUUCGAUCAUAUUGAAGCUGAAAUCGAAGAGCUUGACGAAGUUAUAGCCGGGCACGGCGACUUCUGUGCCUGGGUAGCUUCUCGGGGUACCGCUGCUGCAUUUCUGAAGGCCGGCUGCGAACAUGGAAAGGUUGUCAAUAGGCCCAACUUCACCUUAUCUUCAUCAAUCCUGGAUGAUAUGCCCGACCUCGCCCGAAGUAUCUCCAAUAGAUUUAUAAAAAUGGUAUGGACAAAGGGCGGGCGAGAGAAAGCUGGAGACGAAGCCCGAAGUCAUCUUGAACCAGUAAGAAAUGACAUUUCGUGCUUACCUUUUCCUUUGGGCUUGAUUCUUAUGAUUCCUUGACUCAUGUAGGAUGACGAAGGUGAAGAUGAUGCCUAGGAUAUGUCGCCGAAGUUGUCGUCGAAGCUGAAGCUUAAUGAAGACUAGCAGAAGUGUGCUUUAGAAAAACUCAGGAUAAUUUUGUAACAACUCUUGUAAAUAGAAUUAAACUGUUCUUCAAGGAACUUUGUACAUACCUUGUAAUAUAUUCUUACCCUUCGAUUGAGGUGCUUUGAUGUGGACGAAAUCAGUUUUUUGAGCCGAAGGCGAAAAAACACCUUCCCUUCUUUUCGUACACAACGAAGCAUAAAAGGCCGCUUCCUCUUUUUGCCGAAGCCUUUCCUUACAUAACAAAACAUAAAAGACUGCUACUCUUAUCUGCCGAAGCUUUUAUUUACAUAACAAAACAUAAAAGACUGCUACUCUUAUCUGCCGAAGCUUUUAUUUACAUAACAAAACAUAAAAGACUGCUACUCUUAUACACAACGAUUCAUAAAAAACCACUUCUUCGAAACCUUUCUUUUACAUAACGAAUCAUAACAAACCAUUUAUCCGAAACUUUUCUCUGUGCCGAAGCAACCAUUUAGGAACACAAAUGCUAUGAAUGAAUGCUUAUGCAUGCAAAUGCCAUGAUGUAAUGUGCAAAUGAAUGUCCGAAGCGUAUGUCCGAAGCCACACUCAUCCAUCAUUUUCUUAGGAGCAAACACACGUUAGCUCUGCAUUCCCUUAGGAACGACUUUGGAGCAUCUUUGCCUUUUACUUAGGCAGUAUCAGCGUUGACUUUUCGCUGUAAGCUCUGCAUCCCCCUAGGGACGUCUUUGGAGCUUCUUCGUCUUUUACUUAGACGGUAUAAGCUCUGCAUUCCCUUAGGAACGACUUUGGAGCUUCUUCGCCUUUUACUUUCGGCGGAAUCAGCGUUGACUUUUCGCUGUAAGCUCUGCAUCCCCUUAGGGACGUCUUUGGAGCUUCUUCUCUUUUUUAGUUUCGGCACUCGAUGGUGCGCUCUCAGCUUUUACAUUUACAUUCUUUGGGGGAUUUUGCUCUUAUAAAACUAAAAAGGAAAUUACAUAUGAUGGCCCCAUUAAAAACCUUUCUCCCCCUUUAGAAAGGAAAAGGGUGCCAUGAAAAAGAAAAGAAAAGUCAAAAUUACAUCGAGUUAUACAUAAAACCGCCGAAGCUCAUCCGCAUUCCAAGAUCUUGGAAUUUCAUUGCCAUCCAUGUCCUUCAGUCUGUACGAACCAGGCCUUGACGAAGAUGCUACUAAGAAAGGCCCUUCCCAUUUCAGUUGCAAUUUGCCCACUGUAUCCGGAUUGGCCACUCUCCGAAGCACCAAGUGUCCUGGCUCAAUAUUUUUUAGCCGGACCUUUCUAUCUCGCCAUUUAACUGUUUCAGCCUGGUACUUAUUGAUAUUCUCCACGGCCUGAAGCCUGAUCCCUUCUAAGGCAUCUUUUUCCACGAGACAAGUAUCUUCGGGACCUGAUUCUGCCGAAGCUACCACUCUUAUUGAUCCAGCUUUGGCUUCUUCCGGGGUUAUUGCUUCGUCACCAAAUAACAACUUAAAUGGGGUAAAGCCUGUAGAUCUUGAUGUUGUUGUGUUAUGGCUCCAUACCACUUUGGUAAGCUGAUCUGGCCACUUUCCCCUUGGUUGAUUAAAGAUUAGCUUCAUUAUUCCUGUCAUUAUGAUGCCGUUGGCCCUUUCAACAAGCCCAUUCGACUCCGGGUGCCUGACUGACGCAAAGUGGAUCUUCGUGCCAAUUUGAUCACAAAAAUUUCUGAAUUCUUCGGAGUCAAAUUGUGUUCCAUUAUCUACAGUUAUAGCCUUCGGCACUCCGAAGCGACAGACAAUAUUCUGCCAGAAAAAUUUUUGGACAGUGGCCGAAGUUAUUGUAGCUAAUGGCUUCGCCUCAAUCCACUUGGAAAAGUAUUCCACAGCAACUACAACAUAUUUCAGAUUGCCUUGGGCCGGUGGUAAUGGGCCCAGCAAAUCGAGGCCCCACCUUUGCAAUGGCCAGAUGGGUUGUAUUAACUGUGUCAAAGACGAAGGUUGUUUUUGAUCUCUUGCACAUUUCUGACAACCUUCGCACUUUUGAACUAACUCAGCUGCAUCCGAAGCUGCCUUCGGCCAAUAAAAUCCUUGACGGAACACUUUUCCAAGUAACGGCCUGGAUCCGAUGUGGGAUCCACAAAGGCCUGCAUGUAUCUCCUUCAUCAACUCUAUACCUUCGGCUCUAGACAAGCACUUGAGCAGCGGGGCACAAACUCCAUGCUUGUAUAACUCCCCUUCUAUAAUGAUAUACGGACGAGCUCUUGCCUCUAUUCUUUUAUUAUAAGCUUCGUCAUCUGAUAGGAAUUUGCCCUGAAGGUAAGAAAUUAUUUCAGUUCUCCAAUCUUCACUGUACACAGGAGAAAUAGUAAGAACUGCUCUUUCAAGUAACUCCACUGAAGGUGCCUUUAUCGUUUCGAAGAAUACAUCCGAAGGUAGCGGCAGCCCCUGUGCUGCAGACCUGGCUAACAAAUCAGCAUGUUCAUUUUGCCCUCGAGGGAUAUUCUUAACAGAAAAUCCUUCGAAGGAAGCUUCGAUCCUUCGGACUGUGUCUAGGUAUUUUUCAAGCUUCGGGUCUUUAGCCUUGCAACUUUUGUCAAUAUGACCCGAAACAAUCUGAGAAUCAGUUUUAAGGAUCGCCCUCCUGAUCCCCAUCGCCUUUAGCUUCCGAAGACCCAGGAGCAAGGCUUCGUACUCAGCAAUAUUAUUUGUGCAGCUGAAGUCCAGUCUUGCUGCAUAGCAAGUUUUAACCUUGGACGGUGAAACCAAAACAGCAGCUGCUCCUGCUCCGAAGGUUCCCCAGGAGCCAUCACAAAACACUGUCCAUGCUUCGGCAUCUUUAUUCGCUUCUUCGCCCUGAGCCCCUGGCGUCCAGUCGGCAAUAAAAUCUGCCAAUGCUUGAGACUGGAUCGAGGAUCUGUGCACAUAAUCAAUGUAAAAUUCAUUAAGCUCCGCAGCCCAUUUUCCAAUUCGGCCAGUAGCUUCUUUAUUUCUCAUGAUAUCUUUCAACGGCUGCGAAGAAGGAACAAUAAUAUUAUAUGCCUGAAAAUAAUGCCGAAGCUUCCUGGAUGCCAUUAGAACGGCAUACAACACCUUCUCCAGUUCUGUAUAAUUUUUCUUUGAGACACUAAGGACCUCAGAUACAAAAUAUACUGGGACCUGCUUCUUGAUCUGUCCAUCAAACUUCUCCUGCACAAGUGCCGCACUUACUGCUGAGUGCGAAGCUGCCACAUACAACAACAGAGGAGCCCCUGGCAUUGGUGGAGUUAAUGUUGUUAGAUCUAUCAGGUAUUGCUUGAGUUCUUCGAAAGCUUUUUGUUGAGCUGGGCCCCAUUGAAAGACUUCAGCUGAUUUUAGCACCUCGAAGAAGGGUAGAUUUCUUUCCGCUGAUCUGGAUAUAAAUCUGUUAAGAGAUGCCAGUCUUCCUGUCAAUCUUUGGGCCCCCUUUCUUGUGGUUGGUGGCUCCAUUCGAAGUAUAGCUUCGAUUUUAUUUGGGUUAGCUUCAAUUCCCUUUGUUGAAACCAAGCAUCCAAGGAACUUACCCUUCUUUACUCCGAAGACACAUUUUUCUGGAUUCAGCUUCAGACCAGCUUGUCUGAAGCUGGCGAAGGUCUCCUGCAGAUCAGCAAUAUGGUCUUCUUGCUUCGUGCUUUUUACAAUAAUGUCAUCAACAUAGGUCAACACAUUUCUGCCUAUCUGAGAUUGGAGAACCUUCGCAGUCAUCCUGCUGAAACUCCCUCCAGCAUUCUUAAGCCCCUCAGGCAUCCGAAGAUAGCAAUAUGUACCACUUGGGGUUAUGAAACUAGUCUUCGGCUCAUCCUCCUUUUUCAUCCAGAUUUGAUGAUAGCCUGAGUAACAAUCCAGGAGACUCAUGAGUUCCGAAGAAGCUGCUGCAUCAACUAAAGAGUCUAUCCUUGGCAGCGGGAACUCAUCCUUCGGACAAGCCUUGUUGAGAUCUGUGAAAUCAAUACACAUUCUCCACUUUCCAUUGGCCUUCUUCACCAUAACAGUGUUAGCUAGCCAUUCUGGAUACUUCACUUCUCUGAUAACUCCUGCACUUAGGAGUCUUUUUACUUCGUUGCGAGCCCCUUCGGCCUUGUCAUCAGACAUUUUCCGAAGCCUCUGCUUGCGGGGUCUGAAGGAUGGGUCAACAUUGAGCGAAUGUUCAAUAACAUCCCGAUUCACUCCACAAAGAUCAUUGGCUGACCAUGCAAAAACAUCUUUAUUGUUGAAUAAAAACCUUAUCAAGGUUUUCUCUUGAUCUUCAGAUAAUUGCGAGCCCAAUAGCACCUUCUGCUCUGCUAUAUCCUCACACAGCAGCAUGGGCUUCGGCUGAUCAGCCGAAGCUGCUUUUUCCCUCCUGAACUUGUACUGUUCACAAGCUUCAACUCCAUCUAUAUUAUGGAUUGCCUUGGAAUCAGUCCAGCUUCCUUCGGCCCUUCUGGCAGCUUCCUGACUCCCAUGAAUAGCAAUAGGCCCUUGGUCCGAAGGUAUCUUCAUGCAGAGAUAAGCUGGGUGAAGAAUUGCUUCAAAAGCAUUUAGGGUACCACGACCAAUGAUGGCGUUGUAGGGGUAUUCCAUGUCAACAAUAUCAAACACAAUUUGCUCAGUCCUUGUGUUAUUAACAAAUCCGAAGGUUACCGGCAUGGUAAUCUUCCCGAGUGCCACAAUCUGCCGCCCUCCGAAGCCACAAAGAGGGUGCGUAGCAUCAUGAAUCUUGUCUUCAGGCUCUUGCAUCUGUCUGAAGGCUUUGGCAAAUAUAAUGUCAGCUGCACUGCCUGUGUCAACUAGAACAUUGUGAACCAGAAACCCUUUGAUCACACAAGAAAUGACCAUAGCAUCAUUGUGAGGAUAGUCCUUGAGCUGAAGAUCUUCCUGAGAGAAGGUAAUUGGAAUGUGAGACCAUUUUGACUUAAUGAAGGGUCCCUGCACUCCAACAUGCUGCACCCUUCUCUGAGCCUCCUUCUUCUGCUUUUUGUUAGCUGGCUCUGAGCAAGAACCGCCUGUUAUCGGGAGCACCAGCUUCGAAGCCGAAGCAGCUCCAGCUUGAGUGUUGAACGAAGCCAUCAGCUCAGAAAGGUGGAAGUGAGUUGACCGGAGGUGGGCGCCAAUGUUGGGGACUUGUUCUCAAAUGCUUCGAAUUAAGAACAAGGCAACACGGAAAAUGUUAAGUAUUAAGGUCCUUCGUCCUUCAUAACGAUAUAUCCCUUCGGGAUAUAUAGCAUCUCGGACGAAGGUUACAAAGAACAUACCUUCGUAAGCAUAACAAUGAAGAAUAAAGCAUUCACAUAAAUCAUGAAAUAAACAUGUAAAUAUUAUCAUAGAAUUAUCUCUACUUGUAUUAAUGAAUAUAAAUGACUUUGAAGUACAAAUGUACCUUCGGUCUUGCGGAAGGCAAAAAGUACGAAUGUGAUGCGAAGGCAAAAAGCAGGUUCGCGUGAACAGUACAGAGGUACUGUUCAUCUAUUUAUAGACACAGGUCGCAGCCUGUGACAAAUUACAAUUAUGCCCCUUGCGGAAGUUUACAACAUUGACUCGGACAUACAUGUAUAAAAAGGUCAUUCUGCCUCUAUGUCGGUUUAAAACGCCGAAGCUCCAUGAAAAGGGACCUUCGGCCAUCUCUUAGAAACGACUUUGGCCGAAGCUGCUUCUUCGUGUGAGACCUUCGGCGUACCGAAGCACGACCCCAACAACCAUAUCUUUUCAUGUGCGUCCUCAUUUCUUGGAAACUCCCACCUUCGCUGUUUCAGUUUUGAUACAAAGAGAUGGUUAAUUGUCUAGUAAUUUGUGAACAGUUGACCAUAUCUUAGUAGAUCAUACCAAACCAAAUUUGAGAUGGCUUAAUCUCGGGUGAAGUAGCGGUGCCAUAGCAUGCUAGGCAACUAAUAGUUACUAAAGAAAUUGCACAUACCAGUACGUCAGAUGCUAUAGAAGAUCUAACAUUGAGCUCUAUAUCUUUCCACUUUUUCACUCCAAUGAGUGGUGCCUUUUUCUUUGUAAACAAUACGAUUUCAUCCCCAAAAGUGCGAGUGUUUGGUCCUACGGGACCUCCAAGCUUAGAUGAAAAUUCAAUCUUAAGUUUGUGAUCGCCGUUCUUGAUUCGCUUGGUAGCUGCUGCUAUACCCUUAAGGGUACCACGCCCCUCCUUUUUGAAGACUCCAUCGUUAUCUACAUAUAUACCAAUAACAUAUGAAUGGGUAGAAAUAUCCAAAGUAGAAGAUUGCAACAUUUGAAUAAAAAACACUCUUAGUAAAAUAUACCAGGAUCUCUUUUCCUAUGACGUCUAGCAUGAGAUGGCCAAUCAGCCGUAGGUUUGCCGCUGCCAUGAAUUUCUUCAUCUGAUAAUAUUAGCUCAUCAUUGCUUUGUCAUACAUACAAUACUGCGGAUAGCAUAGGCAUCAGUUAUGUCUCUAACAAUUUGCAAAAAUAUACACUAUAUGUUAGUACGCUGUAAAUAAAAGAAAUUACAGAUAUUUGGAAGAUCGCCUUGAUGCCUUAACCAUUCUUUAUAUGUUUUGAUCGUAUCCUCCCUAAAGUCAUCCAUUAAAUCUGCACUUAAACAAUACGUAAGUUUAACUGUGGAAACUAUAACAUAUCAUGUAUUUAAUGUAAUGAGUUUGACAUCUUAACUUACCCAUUUCUGGAUUAUCAUGUUGUAGUAUUGCAAGCCACUCCUUAUAUGCAUCAGUCGACACUUCUAUAGUUUCUUCGUCAACAUUUGUUCGCUGCCUUGGACGCUUGAUGGGAGUUAUGCUUACCUCUAGAUCACUGGGUGGAUCUUUUGUGAGCACAAAACUUAUUUUUCUCUCAUCCACGUUAUCAGAUAGCAUGGCCUCUUCUUGGUGGAUGUAAUCAAGUGCCAAUAGCCUGGAUCGAUCAAUGCCACAUCGUUUCUUGUAAAACAAGAAGUCCCUCCCAGAAUAUCCAAGUUUCGAUUUUAUGUACACCAUGUUGUAAAAGGCAACAUAAGCUUUAUCAAUAUUUAUUGUGACAAUUUUUUUCCAGGUUGUGCUCCAAUGCAAUGGAAUUUCAAGGUCCAUAUCUCACCUGUCAACCUGCCACACAAAUAUAUUUUAAGCAAUAUACUCUAAUUAUGAUCUGCGCCAAGGCCAAAGUAGUAGAGAACAAUCUAGGUAGAUAGAUUUUUACUUAUUAGGAAGAUCAAAGAAGAUGUUCUUCCAGCCAUAAUCUCGUCCACAAUUUGUGUACCAAGUUGGCUACCAUUGUCGUUGGUGCACAAAUUAGCUUCAUUGCUUGUCGGUGGCAAACCUCCUUGAGUCGCCAUCAUAGUUAGGGAAAAUAGAUGCUAACAGGGCAAGGAAAGAAAAAUCAUGUAAGUAUAACAAUAGAUUAUUUAAUGGAAUUAUGUGCAGUAAUUUUAGUGACAGAACACGAUCCGGGUACCAUGACACAAGAAAAAUUAAGUUUGCAUUUGCUACCGUAAAAAACACCAGACAGAGGCCUAGUUUGAUAUCUUGAUCUACACUGCAACAGGUCUAAUAUAAUCUCCUAUGAACAAACAAAUUUAUUCAAAACAACGAUGCCAAUAAGUCACACAAACACUCUCAACGCAGUAGCGCACAUCAGACUAACAGAGAUGAGUGGGUAGUCACUAGUCAGGGACUAUGCAAAAUCGGACAAUAGGUGGAGGACAUCGGACUAACAGGAAAUCAUAUAAAUCAACUAAGUCCCGCAACGAUGUAGAGGAGUGCAAGGAACAAGGAAGGGCCUUUUGGCCUAAUCAAACUCACCGCUGCGGUUGCUUGGAGUGGGCACAGACGAGCGGAAGCUACACGGACUCCAUGAAAGAUGAGUGUGUGAUCUCCUAGUCGGCGGCCCUCGACGGUGGGGGAGGGACGGAUGGGACUUGUUGUGGUUUGGCAUUUUGGUGCGGGGUAGGCGGGUUUUCUUGAUUUCUUCUCUUGUCCGCUUGCUCCUCGGGGAUUGCCUGCUGGAACCGGAAGGGAGGCAGGAGCUGCGACCGGCUGGGGCUGGACCCUGAAUGCUUGGUGUUUGACAGAGAAGACAAACGGUGGCGGCUCCAGCUUGACAGAGAUGAUGAGACAAUCUAGUAGAGAAUAAUCAGAGGGAGACUGAGCCGGCCGGAGGUGCUAUUGGGCCUCAGGCUGCCGCCACGCUGCCACCCAGCUCGAAACCCUUGUAGUAGAGCAGAUUAGGAAGGAGAAAGGAGGAAUGGAAUGCCUGCCAUUGCACCCUUGCCAUUUGGGAACUAAACUGACGAGUGGAGGCUGGAGUGGUUCUACGAUAUGCAAAAACAAUGGACCAUGCCAAAACAAAAAUUCUCAAUGUUAUGGUAAGUUACUUAGUAGUUCAGCCAAAACAACAUGGUAUUACACAUAUUUUUUGGUAAAAAAACAAUAACUUCUAAGCUAUGCAUUUCAAAGUUUAGAUGAUAUGUGGUAAGGUGCUUGGAUGACUGUAGAAGUUGGUAUAGAAUAUUACUUAUAUUAUCUUAAUUUCAAGUCUGCAAUUAUGUCAUCUAUGCGAAUUUUUGAAGCAAAACUUAAUUUCACCAUUCAUCGGUUGUGUGGCAUCUCUAUUUUCAAGACUACUAAAAUAUCAUCAUGAGACCAACAUCCAUGGAACGUUGUUGCUUUAAGUUGAAUUGGCUAACCUUUUGAUUUAAUUUUUGUAACAUGUGCCAUUAUUUCCUAAGUGUGCAUCCAUAUCAGUUCAAAAGAGUAUGAAAAGUCAUGCCCAGGUUGUAUUCCACUAAAUUUUAUUUUGAAAAGCACCAAAUUAUAAAGUAUGGCUUAUGUUAUGAUAGCAAUGGCACUAAGUUGUUGUGACUGACACAAUUUCUAUGGCAUGACUUUGUCUGUUAGAAACAUAUAAAACAUCAAUCAUGUACCAACUGUACCGAUAAGGCUGCCAAUUUAAAAUCAAAGUUAGCUUCAUGAACUAUGAUAGCACGAAGAAACAACACGCAGGUGCAAAACUUGACCACCUAAGAAAUUGCAAAAUUAAAUAGGUAUUAUUUAGCACAACAACACACAAGAAGCAAAUCCACAAGGAACUGGAUGGAGGAAGGCAGCAGACGCAGGAGAAACAUUUUGAUUCCAGGGCUCAUAACAGAGAAAAUAUUACACAUAACAUAGCAAGAUGAUGCAUUUGUGGAAGCAAUCUAGACUUCCUAACCAAGCAUAAUAGGAGCAAGCAAACCAAGCAGUGGCUCAAGAACGAAGUACUAAAAACCAAAGCACGAGGUGGAUCGAGAUGGACGUACCAGUGGAUGUGCCACUGGGCACAUCCCCCUCGCAUAGCUGCUGUCACUGAGGCCCACAUCCACCUGUGCGCAGUUGCACGACACCUUCAUAGCGCGGGGGACCGAAGCUGGAGGGAGUAAGUUGGAUGCCUGGAAGGAGCACCCGAAUGUGUAGCCCGCCACAUGCCAUUGUCGCCGUGGUUACUGUAGUGCGAGUGGAGGGUCGUGUAGGCCACGAGGAGAAGGACGUGGGUUGUGAGGUCGGCGAUGCGGGUUGUGAUGUUGGUGAUGCGAUGGUCGAGGAGGCAGCGGCAUUCCAAUAGGCAUGUGGCGGUGGAGCAUGGUGGAGAAAAUGAGACUUGGAUGAUUGGAUCUCCUUCUAGGCCUGCGCAUCAAAGCAAGGGGAGGAAAGGGGCGCCGCGGUGAGGCCGUGAGUCAGGGACGCGUGUAUCGCGGAGGCGAAUGGCGGCGCGCGUCGAUCUGAGGAUGGGUGGGAGUUGUACGGACCUAUAGGGGAGGAUCCGCCUGCAGGUCCGUGACACCGCGACGGUGUCGCACCAGCACCUCGUGCAGCGCGAACGCCUCGUCGGCGGGGGACACCGCCAGCGCGAGGGCAUCGGAGGGCAAGGGCCGCCUGCCGAGGGCAACGCACGAGGGGGCCGACGAUCCCGCCGUAGAGCGGGCACGCAUCGUCGGAGGUAGACGUAUGAGUGCGGGCACACGUGCAUCUGGUGGGAGAAGCGCGCGCAUGGGUGGGCCUGCGGGAGGAGGCGGCGCCGAAGCGAAGAAGACAGGAGAGCGGGGCAUCGAGGUGGCUCUCGGAUGAGGGCGAUGGCGUCUAUGCGCAUCGGGUAGGGGGUGGGGGCAAUGCCUUGGUCUCCACUAUCGUCUUAAUAGAUAGUAGAGAUGAAGAGGAACGAAGGAUGAAUUCCCACUAACAAAACUGAACGAAGGAUGGCUUACAACAGUAUAAAUAAAAAAGAUAGAGUAGGUAAUAGGUGCGGUAAUAGGCUCCUUUUUUGCCUAAAUUUAGUGCGUCACAUUACUAUAAUUACAUAUUUGUUUAAAUUAGUUUUAAUUAAGAUAAAUAGUUAGAAUAUAUGAAGUAUUUUAUAUGACAAUGGUAAUACAUUUACAUAGUACGACCAAUCUUUAUAAAGAGUAGCAUUUUUAAGAAAAGACGUUGGUUUUUAUUUUCGUUGCAAGAUAUGAAUUUAAACAUAUGAAAAGAAAUAUCAGCUGUUCGAUAGGGUUGCUCGGUGGCUACUUACCUACCCCUUCUGGUUCUGCGUGUUCUAUCUGCAAUCAACGACGGCGCGUCUCGACGGUACUGCUAAUUAGCCUCCUAGCCAGCCUCCGCCUGGAGGUCCAUCCCCGACCUCGACGCUUCCCGGCCAAACGCCGACGCCCCUCACCCUCGGCGCAGCGCCGCAGCGUCGCGGUGCUCCAUACCCAUCCCCCUCCAUGGUCGGCGCCUGCAUCCCCCGGCAUCGCGGUGCUGGAUCCCCUCCCUCUCUCGCGUUACGCUAGAGUUCGAGAAGGGGAAAAGCGACGUAGGGUUCGGCAACGACACCUCUGUGUCCCCUCCUCCCUCGCGCACUCAUUUUCCUUCGUCUCGUUGCUACUCAGAGGUUUGACACACUCUCCAAUCUACGUUUCCUAGCUGCUAGGGCUUUUAUUUUUGCAUGCCUCUUCUUACUCUCCGAAUUCCUCUUGGUCGCCUGGCAAAGUGCGUUCCAUCCGAGCGGUGAUGUGAGAUGUGUCCCCCCUAUUCUUCAUCGGUUUGCUUGCAAUGAUUGAGAUAGAUGUGCUCAUUCGCCUUGCAGAAAAUGAAAAAUAAAGAUAUCUGUGAGUAUCUCACAAACCUAAUAACUUAAAGUAUAUAACUGUAUUUUAUUUCUGACUUGACAGUUCCUCUUCAUUUUGUCAGUUGUGCCCAGAUUCAGAGAUGGUUUGACUACCUAAUCAUAUAUGCAUGGUACGUACUAGCUUCUGGUAAAUAUGUGCAUGGGUUCUUUUUCUUACAUAUUUGCUUUCUCUAAAUCUCGGAGCUCUUCCUAUCAAAGCUGAUAUGCAGGAGUUUGUAAAUAUAUACAUACUUUCUUUCACAGAAAUAUCCACUCUCUGACCCCUUAUGUAGCUAAUCUCUUUCUGAAUAAUGUUGAAAAACAAUCAAGUCUGACAGAGACAAGAUCUUAACCAAUAUUUCUACUAGUACUAAUGCUUUGUGGACUCUACCGGUCAACCUCCUUGGCAUUAAACCACAACUCAGUACUACUUAACGCUCACAAACUAAUAGCCCAAUAACUAGACAUAGUACAUCAAUGUAUUAUUUCUACUAAUGCUUCGUUGUACCUAUAGAUUUUUGCACACAACACUUCAUUUCACGUGGCACUUGGGUGUUCAAUUUCAAUGUAUUAUUUGGUUUUUGAGCUGCAACAAGGGUGUGUUCCUAUUUUGUCUGAAAGCAAACAUAGGUGACUUCUGAAAUGACACACAAACGAAAAAACUUUCCAGGUUUGCUGUUAAUGGCUCAAAACAAGAUGAAACCAUGUCCUAUUUAGAACACGAGAACCUGCAGAUUUUUUUAAUAAAAAGUUUAUAGAUAUUAGUGUGCAUUUACUUCCACACGCGAGCCACUGCAAUGUUGUCCAUUAACUUUAUAUAUUAUCGUAAAUGCUUUAAUCUCUUCUAUGCCAUCCUUCCCUAUUAUCACCAUUAGUUCACAUUUAUUUUGACUAACGGACACGAUGUGUAAUUUUUUGCAGGUACAACAGCCAUAAAACUGAAUUUUAUUUGGCUAGAACCUGAAAUGGCGGAAACUCUCAGGAAUCAUGGUGCAACCGUGCAUGGAUCACUUGUCUAAACUAGUUACAUCAUUUUGAUUAAGAAUAAGGAUUACCUGAUGGUUGUCUCCUAUUUUCUGUUGUAGUGCAAACCGUCUAAAGCUGACUGUUGGAUGGGGUUGGCGAAGGUGUGCUUGAAUAAGGAUCACCUGAAGGCGUGGAGUCCCUGGCUGCUGGUUGUUGUGUGUCCUGGCGGGCGACAGUUUGAAUCCCCUGCAGGCAGUGGCGGCUGUAAUAUGUACUAGUAUAAGCAUGCAGACAACAAUUGGAAAUUGUAUGAUUCAUGUGAUCAUUUUCCUUGUAUCUUUUCUAUUGUUGGUUAUAUAUCAGAUUUUAGAAGAUUCUUGUGAUCCUUUUCCUUGUAUUCUUUUCUAUUGUUGGUUAUAUAUCAGAUUUUAGAAGAUUCUUGUGAUCCUUUUCCUUGUAUUCUUUUCUAUUGUUGGUUAUAUAUCAGAUUUUAGAAGAUUCAUGUGAUCCUUUUCCUUGUUUUUUAUUCACCUGCGUGUUUUAUUGAUGUGUGUCUGAGAGAACAGAAACUUCUAGAUUGUUCUUUGUAUUUUUCUUGUAACAUAUCAAUAAAUUGAAUAUAUUUUCCAUCGCGAUCCAGACACAGAACGCAAAGUUGGAUCACGGCUUAGACAUGUCGCGCGCGGCAGGUCCGUAUAUACUACGAUUCCCUUGGCCUUGCGCAGACAUGAGAGUAUAUGACAUAAGGUGGCCUCACCCUCCCUGCACGCCCAGUCGGUUUGGAUGAAAAAAAAAGAAUUCUACGCACAUGCCGCGUCUCGCUCUACACUGCUACUAAUGCUACCACUUUACUGAUGUUGUAAUAUCCAGUGAGCCACUAGGGACAUUUUGCAACAACUGUUCUAGUGAUAGCAAUAACAUCUUUCUCUUGCAACGAAAGUCAUGAUUAUUGCAACGACAAAUAAAGUGGCAAAAAUGUGCAUAUAUUGCAACUACUUUUAAAGGCUGUGGCAAUAACUAACACGUAAUGCUACAACUUUACUGAUGUUGUAAUAUCUGGUGAGCCACUAGGGACAUUUUGCAACAACUAUUCUAGUGGUAGCAAUAACAUCUUUCUCUUGCUACGAAAAUCAUGAUUAUUGCAAAGCACAAGUAAAGUGACAAAAAAGGUGCAUAAAUUGCAACCACUUUUAAAGGUUGUGGCAAUAACUAACACCUAAUGCUACAACUUUAUUGUUGUUGCAAUAUCCGGUGUGACACUAGAGUAAUAUUGCAACAACUGUUCUAGUGGUCGCAAUAACACCUUUCUCUUGCAACGAAAGUCAUGGUUAUCGCAAUGCACAAAAAAGUGGAGAAACGGUCCAUAUAUUGCAACCACUUUUAAAGGUCGUGGCAAUAAAUAACAUCUAAUGCAACAAAAAUAUUGUUGUUGCAAUAUCUGUCGUGGCAUUAGGGUGAUUUUGCAACAACUGUUCUAGUGGUCGCAAUAACACCUUUCUCUUGCAACGAAAGUCAUGGUUAUCGCAAUGCACAAAAAAAGUGGCAAAACGGUCCAUAUAUUGCAACCACUUUUAAAGGUCGUGGCAAUAAAUAACAUCUAAUGCAACAAAAAUAUUGUUGUUGCAAAAUCUGUCGUGGCAUUAGGGUGAUUUUGCAACAACUAUUCUAGUGGUCGCAAUAACACCUUUCUCUUGCAACGAAAGUCAUGGUUAUCGCAAUGCAUAAAAAAGUGGCAAAACGGUCCAUAUAUUGCAACCACUUUUAAAGGUUAUGGCAAUAAAUAACAUCUAAUGCAACAAAAAUAUUGUUGUUGCAAUAUCUGUCGUGGCAUUAGGGUGAUUUUUUAGUAGUGCAUCUUUCUUCUCUACAAACAACACUAGAGCGGCCCAAUGAGAGGUGCUAGGUCUGAUGUAGCCCUUCUCCAACAACUCGUUUAUCUGCUUCUUGAGUUCCACCAACUCCGGCCCGGACACUCUGUAGGCUCUGUUAGAAAUGGGGGGUGCCUGGGAUAAGCUCUAUGGAAAAUUCAACUUUUCUCUUAGGUGGCAUGCAUGGUAACUCCUUGGGGAACACAUCUGAGAAUUCUGGUACUAUUCUGAUGACUUCGAGUGGAUUGACUUCCUCACUAUUGACAGAUAUCUGGUGACAGCUUCCUUUCCUUGGUUCAGACAAGAUCAGCUCCACCAAAACUUCUUCUCCUCACAAGGACACCAACUUCACAGUCAUCUUAUCACAGCUAAGGUCUGCUUGGUACUUGGUCAACCAAUUCAUCCCUAGGAUGACAUCAAUCUCUAGAUCCCGAGUACCCAUUACUAUUAGAUUGGUGGGGAGCUCUAUCCCCCUUAUUUUGACUCUUGCAUUUGGACAAAAUUUAUCUGUUUUGAUCCUCCUACCAAUUGAACUAACCCUCAUAAGCGGGAACAUGGGUGCUACUGAUAUGUUGUGUGUUUCUACCCAUGAUGCAGUCACAAAAGAACAUGUGCCUCUAGUAUCAAACAACACAUUUGCAGGAAGAGAUUCGACUGAGAACGUACCUAGUGCCACUCCUGGGGUCUCCUAAACUGUGUCGGCCUCCAGGUGGUUCACCUUUCCAUACUGAGGAUGCGGUUGGCCAUGGUUGCUUGCUCCCUGCUAAGUGCAUUCUGUCUUGCUGGGGCAUUAGGAGCUGGCUACUGCUGAGCCAUCUUCUUUGGGUGCUGGAUUGCCCAGUGGCCUUGCUCUUUACAAUGGAAACAUCCUCGACCUCCUACUUGCAUUGGGGCUGCCUGGUUGUUCUGAUUAUCUACUGGGUAGGAAGUUGAGGUGCUUGGCUAUUCUAAUGGUACUAUUGUGGCUAAUGAUACUACCUCUAAGCCUAUUGAUGGUUCUGACACUAGUUCUGCUACUGAUAUCACUACGGGUGGCCAUGCUUGAACUGCUGAGAUGAAUUGCCUGAGAAACGUGGGCGACUGUUGCUCCUAGGCUGGGUCCACUCAUCUUGCGCUUUCGGUCUUCCAUCUCCUUGCGCUUUCAAAAACAGUCACGAUUGCUCUGUCAAUCAUAUGUUGGAAGGUAGGGAUGGUAUGAUUCAUCAGCUGGUAAUGCAGGGGAUCAACCAAACCUCUCAGGAAUCGGUACUGCCUCUUUACAUGGGUGUUGACAUCUUCAGGUGCAUAGCAAGACAACUGUAGAAAUCUGUCUCGGUACAUACUGACGAACAUGGGUCCCAGCUUCAGUGCCAGGAGCUUCUCCUUCUUCACUAUCAUAAGGCCCUCUGGAACAUGAUAUCAGUGGAAAUUUUCUCUAAAUUCCUCCCAAGUGAUAGCUUCAGGGUCGGCAUGGGUGGUGAUGUAGGACUCCCACCAGGACUGAGCUGCUCCCCUUAGCAGGCGAUGACCAUAUAGAACCUUCUCUCUAUCAUUACAUUGGGCAGUGUGCAGCUCCUGUUCCACCGUGUGCAGCCAGUAUUUGGCAUCCAUGGGGUCAGAAGAGUGGGAAAAGAUAUGGGGAUGACCUCUCAUGAACUUCGCACGCUUGUCCCUUGGCAUCUGAGGCAUCUGCAUCUAUGGUUGAGGUUGAGGUUGCUGUUGUGCUUGCUGCAUAGCUGCUAGAGUUUGCCCAAAUGCUUGCACUGCUUGGGUGUGCAUGAAGGACAUCUGCUCCACUGUCAUUGGGGUGGCGAUGGAGGCAACUGAUAGGGUGCCUCAUCUUGCGGGGUAGGCUGCUCCUGCUGAGUAUGCCUCCCUCCUCGGUGCCUGUUGUCAAACAUUUGUGGAAGGCAUUCACACAUCAGAACUGAGCUUGCAAUCUUUCAGCAUAAGAAAAGGCAUACAGAGAUCUUCACAACACUGAAUGAACAAACAUCUUCACUGAUUCUCAACACAGCCAAACACAACUUCUCACAUAAAGAGGAAAGUAUAAUUAAAAGGCUUCCCAACUAAAUAACUAACUUUACUAACACUAUAACUAAACCAAACUGCAGGGAACACUCACAUUUUGGUGAUAGUCAUUACAAAUAUCCAAAUCCAUCAUAGGUUCACCAUGACAAGCAUAAAACGUAGGACGAGAAAACUAUCCUGACUAACUAAGACUAAAUAAGACUAAGACACUUGACUUAAGAAUUUAUUACAAACUUUGAUGCUAGCGGUCUAAUGAUCCAAAUCUAUCUUGGUUCUGCAGUCGGGAGUGCCAUAAGCAUGGUACCCUCGCGUCGGUGAGCGGUAUGGGUGUUAAGUCCCAACGGGGGCGGGAGAACCAUACUCCUAGUGAUGGCGCUCUGCGUGCUGAACCCGCAACUCCACGAUCUCAGCAUGAGCCCUACUAAACUUAUCAAGAGUAUGGUCCAGCUCGGUGUUGAGCACAGCGACUAGUUUGACUAUACUGUUCAACCUAGGAUUUCCUUCACCUAUAGGUGAUACAAUCACACUUCCAGUACUGCUAGUCGAGCGACGAGGUUAGUACUUCAGGUUAAGACUGCCAGCCACCCCGCUGAACAAUGAGCAGUACUGCGAAAGUGCAUGUCGUGCAGCAUCCUGCAUGGUUGCCUCUGCAGUGUCCCUCUCAGGGAUAGAAUAGUGCUCUGAGCAGACCUCUGCACCCUAGAGGUCAUCCUCUGAAUGACGCAACAAAUUCUGAAGACUUCCACUGCACUCUGGUAUUAGUGUACUCACUUCCAAGUUCAUACUUAUGCUCUCAUUGCCUUUUUGCUCUUAAUUGACAUUUUUGGUGAGGCAAUGGGGUUAAAGGGCCAAACCUGAUCCCGUUUUGGUGCUUAAUGCCAAAGGGGGAGAAAUUAAGGCCAAAGCAAAUGGAUCCGCCAACCACUUGAGAAUUUUGAAAAUAGUAGAGUUAGAAUUUUUGAUUUGUCCAAAAUACUCUAACUGCAAAAUUUGGUCUCUUGUGGGGGAGAAUUUUGAUUAUGAGAAAAAGGGAGAGUUUUUGACACUUGAUCAAUUUCACUCUUGGAUUAUCUCUCUUUGUGCCCAAACAAGCGUGUUUGACUUAGAGAUAGGAAAAUGAUUUGAUUUGCAAAAACAAACCAAGUGGUGGCAAAGAAUGAUCCAAAUAUGUCAAAUCUUAUGCAAAAAUGAUUUGGUCCAUUUGCAUUGUUGUUGAACUUAUUUUGGUUGCUUUUUGAGGUGUUGGCAUAAAUCACCAAAAAGGGGGAGAUUGAAAGGGAAAUGUGCCCUUGGGCAAUUUCUAUAAUGUUUUGGUGAUUAAGUGCCCAAUAUGUUUAAUUAAGUUCUUAUGUGCCAAAUAAAGUGAGAAGUGCAAAUCAAGGCAAAAGGAAUGUUUCUAGACUUGGUAAAUUGUUUUAUGUACUAACAUGGUUAUCCAAGUGCUAGAAACAGUGACUAAAGAAGAAGAGAGGAAAAGGGAAGGACUUGGCUCUGUGCAGCCAAGCUUCAGCUCGGUCUGGCACACCGGACUGUCCGGUGGUGCACCGGACUGUCCGGUGGUGCACCGGACUGUCCGGUGGUGCACCGGACAGUGUCCGGUGCGCCAGGCUGGUUCGCGGUGAACUCGCCGCUCUCGGGAUUCGACGGUGGCGUACGACUAUAAUUCACCGGACUGUCCGGUGAGCCAACGGUCGCCAGCGCCAACGGUCGGCCACGAAAUCUGCGGGCGACGCGUGGCAGCUCCAACGGUCGAUGGGGGGCACCAGACUGUCCGGUGCGCCAACGGGCCUGGAGCUGCAACGGUCGUCUGUGCCCAAUUUGGAAGGAAAUUGCGCACCGGACAGACUACAGUAGCUGUCCGGUGGCGCGCCGGAGUGUCCGGUGCACCACUCGACAGAAGGCAAGGAUGGCCUUCCAUGUUGAUCUUCAACGGCUCCUAGCUGCCUUGGGGCUAUAAAAGGGACCCCUAGGUGCAUGGAGGAGUACACAAAGCAUUCUCUGAGUAUUCUAAAUCAUCCAGACUCCGCUUCCGCGCAUUCGCUUCAUUGUGCUAGUGAUUUGGGCUCCAUUCGAGUAGUGCACUCUCUGAGUUGUCAUUUGAGCUCAAGUCGUCACUUGUGUGCGUGGUUGUGCUGCGUAUUUGAGUCUUGCGUGUGUUGCUUCUCCCAACCUUACUCUGUGCUUUCUUUGUGAUCUUUAUUGUAAGGGCGAGAGACUCCAAGUUGUGGAGAUUCCUCGCAAACGUGAUAAGACUCUAAAGGAAAAGACCGUGGUAUUCAAGUUGAUCAUCGGAUCACUUGAAAGGGGUUAAGUGCAACUCUCGUCCAUUGGAACGCCACAACGUGGAAGUAGGCAAGUGUUACUUGGCCGAACCACGGGAUAAAAUCGCGUGUCUCUUGUGUUGCAUUCUCUGUGAUUGUUUUGUCCACAAGAACUCAUCUCAUAACUACUUAGUCGCACUAACACUUCUAUAACUAAGUUUUGUGGCUAUUUAGUGGUUGAUUAUACAUGAUCACCUAUUCACCCCCUCUAGGUGCUCUCACUUAUCCCAUUCAUAUUUUCAUGCUGGAAAUCAGUUUCUUGGAUUUUUGGUGGAUAUCAUUUCUUCAUGAAAAAUACAUAGGAAUUAGCCUUUGGUACUAUCAAAAACGGUCAUUCGUGGUCGUUUUCAGCCAAAACUAUUGGCCGUGUACUCAAGGAUCUUUGGUGAGAGGUUCCUAUUACUUACCCCAUACAUAUUUCCUUCUUAACAUUUAGCUUCUUGUAUUUUUGGAAGAGACUUUAUUCAUGAAAAAUCCAUAGGUGUUAGCGUUUAGUAUUGUCGAAAAUAAACGUUCAAGCCUGUCAUGGGUGUAGUAAAUCCAAAGGACUCAUUGUUUAUGAGCAGAAACUAGAUAGAAAAAUAUUGUCUCAGCUAGGUACAUCAUAGUGGCCCUAGAAUGUCUGAGACUCAAUAGAUCUAGACAUCAAAAAACCUGAAGUUAGUAAACUAGCUAACAAAAAAUGUGAAACAUGAAACCGGCCCGAGAUCAUGGGAUGUCCAAAAUCUACACAAGAAAAUGGAUUGAAGAAACAACACAUGCUUGAGUGUCUAGAUUGCCAUGUUUGACAUGUCGGAACCAACAAAAGUGUAGAAAUCAUAAUCCGAAAGGAGCAAAAGGAGUGGAACAAGAGUGAAGAUGAUUUGUUGUUUAUAGUUUACUUUAUUUUAUAUAAGAAUUUAAUAAGGGAGUUGAACAAGAGUGAAUGUGAUUUAUUGUUUAUAGUUUUUAAAGGGCAUGGAGUUGAACAAGAGCGAUGUUGAUUUGAUGUUUAUAGUUUUUAAAGAUUAUUUGAUGUUUAUAGUUUUUUAUAAGGAAAUAAGUAGGGAACUGAUGAUGACUACAUGCUUUUGCUUUUCGUUUCUUUUUUUAUGAGAGGAGUGCAUGUCAUGCGUUUGUUUUGAACUUUUGCAUGAGAGGAAAAGAGCUAGGACCUACUUAUAGCAAUGGUAUACAUGUGUUUGUCUUUGAACUAGCUGGCCAGGGUUCUUUCAAGGAACAAAAAUAGGCCGGCCAGCGAUGUCCGUGGCGUGCCAUACAUCAAUGUCUAGCUCCCUUGCGUCCAUUGUCCAUAAAUACAUGCGCAUCUGCAACAUCGAUCUCCACACACACACAUCCAUCAAAGAAACAGGCACACAAGAACAAAUACCUCGCUACCAACAAUGGCCUCCAGGUCCUCCAUCCUACUUGCAACGUCGAUGCUGGCUGCGCUGUUUGCGGUUGGUUUGUGCACCACCCCGCUCACCUUCCAGGUUGGCAAGGGAUCCAAGCCUGGCCACCUGAUCCUCACCCCCAAUGUUGCAACCAUAUCCGACGUGGAGAUCAAAGAGCACGGGGGCGAUGACUUCUCCUUUACGCUCAAGGAGGGCCCGACCGGCACCUGGACGCUCGACACCAAGGCCCCGCUCAAGUACCCCCUUUGCAUCCGCUUUGCUGUCAAGUCCGGUGGCUACCGCAUCGCUGACGACGUCAUCCCCGCUGAUUUCAAGGCCGGCACCACCUAUAAGACCACACUCAGCAUCUAAUCAGCCUCUGAUGAUGAAUUAUAUUUCAAAAGAGCUCACCUGGUGCUCAUGUUAGCAAGACAAUAUUUUUUCUAUGGUUAUUUUGUGGCACCAAACCACCCAAGAAAUAUGUGAUGCUACAUGUCCCUUCUGAUGCCUUGUUGUGUUGGGUUGAUAUUAUUACAUAAACUAAAUAAAUUAUUUAUUUAAGAUUUUAGGAGAAAUAUGUUGAUAUGGUCUACCUCCAAUUAAUCAGCUAAGGGCAUCCCAUUCAACCCUCAUGAUUGUACUGUUAUCCCAGGCGGUCUCUCAACGAACAUGUCCUUAUGGAGAGGUACUCGGAAAACAUCCUGAUCCACCUAAAAUACCACAAGUUCAUAAUCAUAAUCAUAAUGAAUCAUAGUACCAUAAAUUAAUUCUCAUCAUGUUCAUUGACUAGGGUAAAGCACUAGCAUGUAGCUGAUUAUAAUAACCCAACCCAAAAAGGUAAUCAAGGACAGGAUAAAUAGAAAGCUAGUCAAUCCUUAGGUUAUUUAUAGUAUGCAGGACAGUGAAUUAUAAAGUAAAUAAGACAUAAAAGGUCAGAUGACACUUGCCUUCACCAAACUGUUGAUGCUCAGGGCUUCUCCUGCAAGUUCCUCCGACAACGCAGACAGAACGUUAUCUAUGCGAGUGCGAACACACAUUCAACAUUCUUGUAAUAGAAAGGAACAGUACACCAUACAAGGGAACACAUUAUAAACACGUGCAAUACAAAAUGGCGUUCGUUUCUACGGUCACACCAGAAAAAAGAAACGCCAAGAUCGAAGCUACGAUUGAGAAGUUAUUGUGUCUACGUUGUACAAAUAUGAAAUAGAACAUUUAAUUCGACAUACUUGCAUUAAUCGGCAUUUAUUAAAUGUAAACUAGAACUAUCGCCUAAUUUUAAUUAAUUCUCGUUACACAAGCAGCUCUCGGUUAAUUAAACAAUUUAAAUUAUAUUAGAGACUCUAAGUGAGACGAAUUAAUGAUGCGAGAUAAAGUACACAACGCGCGAAACAACACGUCAGCACGCGCACGGCGUGCGGACCAACACGACACGCGAGGGCAAUUAUUAAUAAAGAAUAUUUCGAUUAAGGUUAACCAUGUUAUCGUUUAUUUAUAAAUGCGCAAAUCAAGACCCUAAUUUAGAUUUUAAAUUAGUAAGCUACAUUAUUAACCAUCGGUCAAACAAACAUUUAAAUAAAUUAAAUAAAUAUGUAAAAAAGCAGAGAAUAAUGGUACUAACAUGUAGAUAAUUUUAAUACGAAUCUAACGCGACUUGAACGGAGUGAAUCGGAUUUAAAACGCAAAAGAUAUCGCGAUUUUAAAUUGAAAAUCCUAUCUGCAUGCAGUUGUAAAAUUCCAAUGGGGUUUUUCGCAAAAAGACCAUCUUCUUCCUCCCUCCAUCAUCUUCUCUCACCAUGGCAAGGAAGGGGAGGAGGGACGGGGGCCGUGCAAGGCGGGGGGGAAGGAAGGGAGAAGAGGAAGGUGCUGCGCGGGGGAGACAGAAACGAAGAAUUUCCAUACACAACAAUAGUGGAGGGCUCACCGGAGAAGACGACCUCGCCAGAGCCGAGGGCAAAUUUGGUGAUUGACGACGAACCGUCGGUUAGAUCGACGAAUCGAAGGCACCAGGACGAAGAUCUCGACGAGACGAACACUGCGGUACCCUCAGAUUCCACCGACGACAAAAGUAAUUGCUCACCGAAAUUGUCGUCGUCUUGAACUUCAGCGAGCAAUUUCGGGAGUUUUAGAUCUAAGCUGGGAACGAGUUUCGAAAUUCGAAAAGAGCUCGACGAGAGUAUUUCAGCCAUAUAUAUUUCUAGGGUUUGAAUAAAUUUUAUUUUUCAUAAUUAUCCCAUUUUUAAAAUUACAGAUAAUUCCAGAAAAAAAGCUGAAAUCAUUUUUAAUGCUCGAAAAAAAUCUCGAUGGUUCUAAAAUUUCUAGGAAAAUUCCUAGACAUGUUUUGGCACCCAAUAAACUCAAAAACCAUAUUUAGCACUUUUGAAAAUAUUUUAAGUAACUCAAAUAAAUGUAUUUUUAAUUUCAGAAAAUAGAAAAAUAUUCAUAAAAUUAUGAAAAUUUACGGGAAACUUCUAUAAGUCAUAUGAACAUGUUUCAAAGACUUCUUGCACUUAGAAACACUAUGCAACAGUAUGAAUGCAACAACCAUUACACUUCUAGAGCCCACGGCAACAUAGAACAAAAUAACUCUCUAUUGUUUUAAUAAAGGGAAAAGAAAAGCGAAGAAAGGAAAGGGUAACACCUGAAUUUUGAGUAUAGAGCAAAGAAAAUCUUAUUCGCCAAAAUUCAGGGUGUUACAGACCUAUCCCCAUUAAAAGAAUCUCGCCCCGAGAUUCAACGUCGGCAGCAAAGAGUAUAGGAUACUUGGCUUUCAGAUCAUCUGCACGUUCCCAUGUUGCUUCUUCUUCAGAGUGGUGACCCCAUAUGACUUUGCAAAUUCUGAUGGUAUUCUCUAGUUGACUCUGUCUGCUGUCUCCAGAAUCUGUGUUGGUUUCUCCUCAUAUGUCAGGUCUUCUUGGACUUCCAGUCCUUCCAUUGGCAACUGCUCUUUGGGUACUCGCAAACACUUUCGGUCCACUCAUCUUGCGCUUUCGGUCUUCCAUCUCCUUGCGCUUUCGAAACAGUCACGAUUGCUCUGUCAAUCAGAUGUUGGAAGGUAGGGAAGGUAUGAUUCAUUAGUUGGUAAUGCAGGGGAUCAACCAAUCCUCUCAGGAAUUGGUACUGCCUCUUUACAUGGGUGUUGACAUCUUCAGGUGCAUAGCAAGACAACUGUAGAAAUUUGUCUCGGUACAUACUGACGAACAUGGGUCCCAGCUUCAGUGCCAGGAGCUCCUCCUUCUUCACUAUCAUAAGGCCCUCUGGAACAUGAUAUCAGUGGAAAUUUUCUCUAAAUUCCUCCCAAGUGAUAGCUUCAGGGUCGGCAUGGGUGGUGAGGUAGGACUCCCACCAGGACUAAGCUGCUCCCCUUAGCAGGCGAGGACCAUAUAGAACCUUCUCUCUGUCAUUACAUUGGGCGGUGUGCAGCUCCCGCUCCACCGUGUGCAGCCAGUAUUUGGCGUCCAUGGGGUCGGAAGAGUGGGCAAAGAGAUGGGGAUGACCUCUCAUGAGCUUCGCACGCUUGUCCCUUGGCAUCUAAGGCAUCUGCAUCUAUGGUUGAGGUUGAGGUUGCUGUUGUGCUUGCUGCAUAGCUGCUAGAGUCUGCCCAAUUGCUUGCACUGCUUGGGUGUGCAUGAAGAACAUCUGCUCCACUGUCAUUGGGGUGGCGAUGGAGGCAACUGAUAGGGUGCCUCAUCUUGUGGGGUAGGCUACUCCUGCUGAGUAUGCCUCCCUCCUUAGUGCCUGUUGUCAAACAUUUGUGGAAGGCAUUCACACAUCAGAACUGAGCUUGCAAUCUUUUAGCAUAAGAAAAGGCAUACAUAGAUCUUCACAACACUGAAUGAACAAACAUCUUCACUGAUUCUCAACACAGCCAAACACAACUUCUCACAUAAAGAGGAAAGUAUAAUGAAAAGGUUUCCCAACUAAAUAACUAACUUUACUAACACUGUAACUAAACCAAACUGCAGGGAACACCCACAUUUUUGUGAUAGUCAUUACAAAUAUCCAAAUCCAUCACAGGUUCACCAUGACAAGCAUAAAACGUAGGAUGAGAAAACUAUCCUGACUAACUAAGACUAAAUAAGAGUAAGACACUUGACUUACGAAUUUAUCACAAACUUUGAUGCUAGUGGUCUAAUGAUCCAAAUCUAUCUUGGUUCUGCAGUCGGGAGUGUCAUAAGCAUGGUACCCUCGUGUCGGUGAGCGGUAUGGGUGUUAAGUCCUAGCGGGGGCGGGAGAACCAUACUCUUAGUGAUGGUGCUCCGCAUGCUGAACCCGCAACUCCACGAUCUCAGCACGAGCCCUACUAAACUUAUCAAGAGUGUGGUCCAGCUCGGUGUUGAGCACAGCGACUAGUUUGACUAUACUGUUCAACCUAGGAUUUCCUUCACCUAUAGGUGAUACAAUCACACUUCCAGUACUGCUAGUCGAGUGACGGGGUUAGUACUUCAGGUUAAGACUGCCAGCCACCCCGCUGAACAAUGAGCAGUACUGCGAAAGUGCAUGUCGUGCAGCAUCCUGCAUGGUUGCCUCUACAGUGUCCCUCUCAGGGAUAGAAUAGUGCUCUGAGCAGACCUCUGCACCCUAGAGGUCAUCCUCUGAAUGACACACCAAAUAGGUAGUCUCCCAACAGUCCGGGUACAUCCCGUGACUAUGCUGGUAGACUACACAAUGGUACUCGAUCGACCAGGUGUGUCGGUCCAUAGCCCAGCGCAACAAAGUGUCGAGUGCGUCGUGAAAGUGACAACCACGAGCGGCGUCACGAGUGAUGGAUCCGACGAUCUAUCCUUCUGGCUCCUGCUCCUCAGAAAGCACGGUGAUGUGGCUUGAGCUGCCACCAUCGUCGUCUCCAUCAGGAUCUCCUUCAGCAGCUCCUCCAACAGCUGGGACGCCCUGUUGUGGUGCCGGGGGUGCCUCCAACGGGGGCACAGGGGAGAGAUGCCUCACAGACUCCACCUCCUGCUAUGGCGGGGAAGAAGAAUCCUGCUGCUCCCUCUCCUGUUACCGACCUUCCUGCUCUUCAAGCAGGAGAUGGUGCAGCCUCUCCAAGUGACUUGACUGACCGGUCACUGUGCGGCGAAGCGAACACUCUGUGGGGUAUAGAUAUCGUCGGGUCCACUAGACGGCGAAAGGUCCUUGCAUGAGGCCUCGGGCUAGUUACCCCGUAAGACCAUCUCUUCGUGGGCUAGGCAAAAACUACUGGUGGAAUGGGCCGGUCCAAGAAGGUGAUGGACUCGGGUCUAGAUGGUCCGUCAAAUCGUGCGCUACCCCAAGAAACCGCUCGACUUUCCUGCGCCUGGCAGCCUCUAAUGUCGGGCGGAUCAGGGAUGAGUCGGCGGGAUUUUCGGGAGAUUGGUUCAGUCGGUUCACUAUUAGUUAGGAGAUACGUGAUCAUCAUGUACGUAUGGAGUGCCCCACGGUCGUGUAUAUAAGGCCUAGGGGGAACCCCAUUAUUUUCAUCCUAUCUAUCUAUCUCAUUAGCCUCUCUCCAUUCAGGAGACACCACUUGUAACACACCACAUACAGAUCCACCACAGGAAGUAGGGUAUUACGCCUCUCAAAGCGGCCCGAACCUGCAGAAAAUCGCAUGUCUCUCUCUUUCAUGCUCCCAGCAUGAACCAUUGAGCUACAAUCAACAACACCAUCCUACCCAAAAGCACCGCAACGGUAACCCUGGGUGUGCGGUCGGACACUAAACACUGACAGCUGGCGCGCUAGGUAUGGGUGUGUCGUUGAUCAGAGCUAGCUCAAUGGCCAUCACCUCCAAGUGCAAGAUCGCCCUUCGCCCCAGAACUAUGUUCUGCUUUGGAACCAUCUCAUGCAUAGAGGAUGAAGAGGGAACUCUGCACCACGUAGCGGAUCCGCCUGAGAAAAAGCUUUCCUCAGGAACCCCGAGAGAAGCCAAAGCAAAGCAGAGGGUGGCUCCACCAUUCGUAGCUCGGGGGAAGAUGAUCCCUUACAAACCGAGGGUCAGAAACCCUUGGGAGAAGAAAGAUAGACCGGUCAGGGUCUCGGCUAUUCGAAAAACUUCGUUGUCCACCUUGCCCACAAAGGACUGGACAUGGAUCACUCGAAAGAAAGAAGCAAAUGUCCCGAGUCAGGGGACGAGAACACGACGAGCCAUCCUUCUGAUACCUUCACCCUCAAAGGAGGACGGAAAAAAGAGCACCAUUGCGUCAGCUCCCUUCUACCCCGAUCUCCUCUUCAUCAUGGGGAGAGUGGAGUUCGCACCCAUCUUUGACAAUGAGCCUACCAUGCAAGGGGAAGAACCUCCCCAGCGUGAAGCACGGCGAUAGAGGAACAAAUGCUGGAACGUACGGCGACAUCAUGAAGCCGGGGGACAGGAUCUGGCGCAGCUCGUUUCAAGAGACGAAGCCUCAGAGAUGGGAGAGACUCACGAUGAACGAAUGCAAUGAGAAAGGCCUAACUCUCGCCGCCGCAAUCGCCGACAAGCUCAAGAUCGAGAGCGAGAGCAAACCGAAUAAGCCGCUAGGCUACGGCGAGAGAAUCCUCUCUUCGCUCGGAACAUGUACCCCGACUUUUGUCGUGCAAUGAACACGCCAAGUGAGGUCGGAGGGGUACUGGCGCAGAUAGCUGACGAUCUCUCGUGAACCCCAGAUACGAAAGGCUACCGGCGGCUACUUACUCAGGUAGCCAAUCACCUUCUACCCCUCACUCAUCCUGCGAAUGACCUACGUCACACCAUCAACAGCCGGCGAGACACGCGGAGCUCCAUCAACGCUUCGCGCGACCGACGGCAUGAAAACGAGAUAAGGCGCUGGGAGGAGUACGAUCGAGAUCACGGUGUACCAGCUCGGAGUUGCACCACCCGAGUUGAGUCGGCUGCAGCCUCAACUAGUGGGCCGUUCCAGGGAUGAUCGAGACGACAUACUACCGACUCCCCUCCUCGGGACCGACAACACGAACAUUGACAGGAAGACAUGUGCAGAGUCUCCGCGCUUACUCCGUGUCUCCGGGCCAUCCAGUGGCCCCCAACUUCAAGGUCUCCAACGUCGACAAGUACGAGCCUAAGCAGGAUUUAGGCGGCUGGUUGGCUGUCUACAUGACUGCUGCCCGAGCCGCCAGGGCAACAGAGGACGUGAUGACGGCGUACUUGCCCAUUGUCCUGGGGCAAGACGCACUGCAGUAGCUCCGACAUCUACCCUGGCACUGCAUCGACGAUUGGAGUGACUUUAGUCAUCGCUUCAUCGCCAAUUUCCAGUCCCUCUCCGACACAACCAUGGGACCUCAAAUCCAUCAGGCGCCAGAACAAUGAAACCCUCCGAUCAUUCCUCAAGAGGUUUCAGACAAUGAGGAACCGCAUCCCCGAAGUUGCCGACACGGCGGUAAUUGAAGACUUUUACCGGGGAUCCAACGACUCGGCCUUUGUCUGAGCCAUACUCUAGAAAGCACCUGCCACCUCUGAACAAUUGUUUCGGGAGGUGGACAUUUGCAUCACCGCGGAUGAGUGAGCCCAGGACCUCAUCGGGGGCACGAAAUCUGCGCCACCCGCGCUGCGGUGAGAUGUGAACCAGUAGCCGGACAGGCGCUGGGAGAAGAGGCCCCACGAGGAGGUGCACACCGCUGGGCCAUCUGCCGCUCGGGCCCGCGGCACACUCCGCAGAGGGGUACGAAAACUGGAUGAAAUCCUCGACGCCCAGUGUCCGCACCACAAGGACAUGCGCCACACCCUAUGAAACUACAGGGACUUCAAGCACUCCGUCGGGCAUGGCCGACCAUUCUAGCCUCUACCGCCUCCAUCGCCACGAGGAGAGCCUGGCAAGCCCAGGCAGCCUCAGCAGCAGGAAGGGGGGAGGGGUGGAGCUUUCCCAUGCGUUGACAGGGAGGUCAACGUCAUCUUCGGAGGUCACGGAGCAUAAGAAAACAGGAGGCAGCAAAAGUUCAACGACCGGCAGGUCCUAGUGGCCACCACCAGUACCCUAGCUCCUUACUAGGAGUUAGAGCACGCGAUAACCUCCAGCCGAGCUGAUCAAUGGCUCAACUUUGAUCAUCCCGGUAAGUACCCGCUUCUCGUUGAUCCAGUGAUCCAAGAGAGCCGAGUAAAGAAAGUAUUAGUGGACGAGGGAAGCAUCAUCAACUUCACCUUCCCCCGGACGCUCUAGGCCCUGAGGGUUGCAGUCAAAGACCUCACUGAGUCAGAUACUCCUUUCUUCGGCAUCAUGCCGACUGAAGGGGAGUACCCACUCAGACACAUCUACUUGUCCGUCACCUUUGGAACCCCAGAGAACUACAAAACCGAGUUCCUGAGGUUCGAGGUGGCGCGUUUCGACUACGGGUACAACACCAUCAUUGGAAGGCCAGGACUAGCAAAGUUCAUGGCCAUUCCACAUUACCCGUACAUGAUACUGAAGAUGCCAGGACCUCAGGGAGUCAUCACCAUGCGCGCUGAUUUCCAAGGCGCCGUAGAGUGCUUCCGGGGAGCCCUUCAAACAGCUCUUACCACCGGGCCUUCGGUAGUUCUUCCCGCACAGGCGAACAACAAGCUGGAGGAGGAAAAUCUCAUAAUACCUGCUAACAAAGCUCAGGCCAGGACCUCUAUACGGCCAUCUAAAGAAACUAAGAGGAUUAAUCUGGGAUUCUCUGAUGAACGCAAGACUGCCAUCAUCAGCUGCAGCCUCAAUGACAAAUAGGAAAGCACGCUCGUCCGGUUCCUGCAAGAUAACCGGAAUGUAUUUGCAUGGCAACCUGUGGAUAUUCUGGGAGUCCCAAGAGAACUGGCCGAGCACACUCAAAGUGUAUCCACAGGCCAGGCCGAUUCGAUAGAAGCUACGUCGUUUCACGCCUGAUAAAAGGGAAGCUAUUCUCGCCAAGUUAGCUCGCUUAGUGUCAGUAGGAUUCAUUAGAGAAGUACUACACCCUGAGUGACUAGCAAAUCAUGUUCUUGUACUAAAAAAGAAUAAAGUUGAUUGGCACAUGUGCGUUGACUAUACUGAUCUCAACAAACAUUGCCCAAAGGAUCCCUUCGGGCUCCCUAGGAUAGAUCAGGUAGUUGACUUGAUCGAUGGCUGCUCUAUGCUCUCCUUCCUAGAUUGCUACUCCGGGUAUCAUCAGGUCAGCUUGGCAAAAGAAUACGAGGAGAAGACUUCUUUCAUCACACCAUUCAGAGCUUUCUGCUAUACCUCCAUGUCGUUCGGCCUCAAGAACGCUGAAGCAACUUACCAGAGAGCCAUCCAAACAUGCUUAGCCAAUCACUGGGGCAAGCGAUUGGAAGCUUACGUUGUUGAUGUAGUUAUCAAGAUAGAAAACUUCAUCGAGGAUUUGCAACUGGUCUUCAACAGUCUGAGGCACUACCGGUGGAAGCUAAACCCAAAAAAGUGUGUCUUUGGAGUGCCAGCCGGAAAGCUGCUUGGAUUAUUUGUCAGUCAUCGAGGAAUAGAAGCAAAUCCGGAGAAGAUUGAGGCGAUCAUGAGAAUGGAAGCGCCGCGGUCACAGAAAAAGGUGCAAAGGCUCACUGGGUGCAUGUCAGCGCUAAGCAGGUUCAUAUCAAGGCUAGGCGAGAAAGGAAUGCCAUUCUAUAAAUUGCUCAAGAAGGUGGACAAGUUUCAGUGGACCACAGAAGCAUAGGAGGCUCUAGAGGCACUGAAGAAGUUCUUGACACUCCACCAAUACUCAAGCCACCACGCCGAGCUACGCCCUGUCAACCGGCAGAAGAUCUGCUCUGUAUAUGUAACACCCCUGGUGUUACUAGCACUAAAACUUGAGCAUAACAUCAUGUGCAUUGACAUUUCAUAUUGCUUUUUUCACCUAGAAUGCAUUUACCAUGUAGAAAUUUCAAAUAAGUUCUGGUGAUGUGGCUUGAAGUAUGGUUAACCCUAGGGUAGGGUAUUAAACCCUGAGUUAGGACUUAUGGAGGUAAGUGAAGCCCAAAUAAGUUAAAACCUCAAAGGACAUGAGAAAUGGUCAUAAGGUAUCACAUGUGAUGGACCUUGGUGGCACCAAAACCCUAAUGUGCCUAAAACCCUAAAAACAAACCCUAGAAACCCAAAUUGAAACCCUAGGGGGUUAAGUGUAAAUUUUGUGCACUUUUGGACCAAAGUGCAAACAUCAAAGUACUAGAACAUUAAAAAUCAAGUACUUUUAAUUUUUUAGGAUUUCCAAGUCAAAUGAUGAAGUUUGGACUUAUUUGCAGAAAGUACCCCAUGAACCUCAUAUGCUUAAAUCUGAAUUCAGUUGAAUGGGGUCAACUUUUGAGCUCUAUAUCUCAGAAUUCUUGGGGAUUUUGCUCUUGGUCAAUGUAGCAAACUUGUAGAGCUAUGUAAGGAGAACAAAUUUUAUUAAGUAACUAAGCCCUAGUGCUACAUGAAAGUGGGAGAAAAACAGACCUGAAGUUGGUCUGUCAGUCGAGUACAGCUCUGAAACUGGACUGACAAUAAACUAGGACCAAGUUUGAGGGCUAUUUCAAGUGUGAUUUAGUGAGAAUUGAAGUAUGGUGGCUAUAGCAAGAUUAGAGCUGGAUUAUAGGACCACAACUUUGCUAAAGGUGGAUUAGCACGUUAUCACAUGAAAAUUGGAGAUCUGGGCGCUGCAAACUGCUUUGUCAGGCGCUCUGAAUGUCGUUCUGAUGGUAUAGUGCCACAGAAAGAUCUCAGGUUCAGUCCCCCUAGCCGCCGGUGACCUCUGCGCAAGGAUUCGUGCUGAUCGCAGCGAUUCAUGCUGGACUCGGGCAGGAUAGUGCCGGGAGGGUGAAAAGAUCAGAAGGGGAGCGGAUUUGGUCGCGUGGUGAAGCUUAUCAACCGCGCCUGUAGCCGUGCAACGUGUCUAGACCACCGGUGUAAUUGUGGAAACUCCAGCGACCUCAAUUAUGCCACGCCGUGGCUCUUUACUGCGCGGUAGUAACCAUGGCACGCCUAGGCUUACCAUCUCUGAACUGCUGCACCGGUGAACGCGACGACUAAGCCACCAGUGACCUUCUUCCUCUCCGGCCGCCAGCACGCCAUGCCAAAAUUAGGAGCCACCGCCCUUGGAAACUAUAAAUUGGUGCCCCAGCCUACUCCGCUAAGUAAUUGUGCACCCAGUGAACUAGUCCUCGCCUCCAAUCGUCCCUCACAACUCCCCAAUUUGGGAUUUUCCCCAAAUCAGUCAAAACUCCGCCAUGAGUGAGCUCAUCGUGGCUAGCUCUCUAUAGGUCUGUUCACGUCCUCCUCACUCUCGUUUCAACAUCCCUGUGUGCUAUAGAUUCUUAGCAGCCCGACCAAUUGAACUAGACCGCGCUAGAUUGCUGGGAACACCUCGGUUCAUCCAUAGUUCGCGCCAUCAUCGUGGACAGAGAGAUUAGGAGCUAGAACCUUGCAAUUGAUUGAGGGGUAAUGAUCAUUAGGGGUUGAAUUAGGUGUCAGCCACACCGGAGCGCCGGUCGUUGCGUUUUCCGGCCAGUACUGGCUCGCCGGACCAACUGCUCCACCGUCCAUGGUCGAGGGUCUCGACGUGUGAAGAAAUAGAAAAGGGAAGGGGCUAUCUGCAAAUGUCAGUGACACAUAGGAAUAGUGCGCAGGAGUCUUCACGAGUUAUUUAAAAGAGCAAGGUCCUCUGCGCAAAGUGGACACCGCGGGCGCGCGCGGGCGCGCUUUCGCCUGUGCGUGGGCCGGCUUGGGCUAGUUUCAGCCCAGUACUAUGCACCUUUUUCAUUUUUCUUUUUCUACCAGACUUAGGAAAUUCAUAGGAAAUCAUAGAAAAAUGGUAAAAAUAUGAGACCAAUUUUUGUGGAUUCCUAAAUUUCUCUAGUAAUUAAUAAAAAUAGUUCCAAGAUUUUUAGCCCAAACCAGGAAUUAUUUAGUACUUAAAAGGGGCCAAAACCUAUACUUUUGGAAUUUUAGAAAUUAUUUAAUACCUCCAAAAAUCACCAAACUUUUUGGAUAAGCCUAAUAUGAUAUUUAGAUCCCAUGAGUGAAGUUUGACUUGCUUUGUACAUUGUUUGAUGCCUAAACCAAAAACCCUAGCUCCUUAGGGUAAAACUGUCUAACCCUACUAGGGUAUUGACCUAGAAGACCAUAGUUUCCCUCGUACAACGUGAAGGAAAGUUGUAUUCAAGAUACAAACUUGAUGUAUCUCUUCUAUCAUUGCAUUUUCAUAAGAAUUACAUGAGCAUUCAUAGUUAUAUAUGGUUAUGUAUAGAGAACGAGGAAGAAAUAACUGUUGAAGAAGAGGAGGCUGCUCCAUCAACAGAAAAUCCACCUGCCGGGAACUGUUUUUACUUUGACAUCUGUGGAACAGAGCCCGACUCUCCUACAAAACAAGGCAAGCCCAGGUGCAUUUGCCACCUCCUUGCUGUUUUAAAAUCUUUAUCACCUUUUUGAUGCAUUAGGUGAUAGGAGUUGUGUGCUAAACAAUUGAUGCAUUUCCUUCCUUGGAAAAGUGAAUACCCUUCCUUGAUACCCUUUUAUGAAAAGGAUUUUUAUGAUUCUUAGCCUUGCUUUAGAAAAACAUAAUGUUUUGUUUUAAAAACAAAAGGUCAUGCUUCACAGUGGAUGGGAAUGUUUUCAAAAAUAAAACUUGAUGGUGGAUCCAUCAUGGCCAUGAUGGGUUCAACAUCAGAAAAGAUGUACCUCUGCUGGGUACCAAACUUUGGGUUUGAAAUGAUAAAGCUAAGACCGGACGGGUGACUUGCAAGAGAAGAGAGUCUCUGUGUAGUGUCUCCGUCUAAGUCGAUUAAGGACCGUGUCGAUGUAGGCUUGCUGAUUGAGGACCUUUUAACUGGUCACAUGCCUCAUCAUGGGUAAGCUUUCCCUCGGGCAGACUAAUACCAGAAAGGCCAACACGCAAUGGGAGUGGAGAGAUGGCGAGAGUAGUGUGUACCCUCCGUGGCAAGAGGCUGGACGGUGGUGUAUCUGUGCUCUCGGUUGGCGUGAACCCGGUCUGGUCUUAAGAACCCCGGUGGCGAGUUGACAUAUGCAAGGGUUAAGUGCUACAUAUGUCGUGUGAUUGGAGAUCCCCAGCUGUGUAUUAAUCGAUUCGGAUCACCGUUACUUCUCAGACAUGAAGACUUGGUCACUGCCCUACAUGUAGCAUUCCAGUGAACUAAAAAGGGUUGAUAAAAGGAUGGCUAGUAUAGGCCAAGUGCUUGAACUAGGGUAGAAAGAACUCUAGUGACAGGUAAUGACUUAACUUGCUAAUAAAACUGGAUUUUAAGGAUCCACUAUUAGUAAGCAUUUUUUGCAAACAGAGUCUUGAUUCUUGGUUAAGCCUUACCUUGACUUCCUUAAGCCAGCAUAUCCUUGAGAGUCUUUUCUUUUGACGGGUAAGACUUGCGAAAGUACACUUUGUACUCAGGGUUUUCGAACCCAUGUUGUUGUAGGUGAGGAAACAACAGACUUUUGCUGUUUUUUCUCUAAGGUGGUGCCCAAGGACGAACCUCAAUAGUGAAGUGGUUGCGGGAGGAUGUUGGCCUCCCUUUUGAAAAACAAUAUACUUUUAUGCUGGAGGGGUUUUUGCCUCCCAAGUCUGUAAUAAUACUUAUGCACUCAUACACCCUGGUUUUGUAAUAACUAUAACACUCUCUCUAUAUUUUGAUGAAUAUAAAUUAAGUUACUGUAAAUCGUUUCCGCUUAUUCGUUCCUCCGAUGUGUUGUAAUAUCUGCGUGACGGGUGAAACGCUCUUGAGCGAGGAAAAGGAUACAGAUACCGAACUUGUCAAGUGAUUAUUUGCAUCUACAGGGUUGUCCAAGGUUCCUUGGACAAGGACAACUAUAGGUGGGCCUAAUGACUUGGGAGGUUCCGUCACAGUAUAUCUCCUGCAUGACUCACGUGGUAAGCACCAUGUUAGUAGUCGAGUGGGCAGAGGAAGGACACACAUACCCGGUAUAACAUCUAGUUUACUUCAUCAGCGAAGUCCUCGGGCCCUCAAAGAUAAGCUAUCCUCAAGUCCAAAAGCUGUUGUACGCGGUACUUCUAACCACUCGCAAGCUCCGACACUACUUUGACAACCACAAAGUCAUAGUAGUCACAGGAUUUCCAUAGGUGAUAUUCUCCAUAACAAAGACGCUAUUGGAAGAAUAGCUAAGUGGGCAUGCAAGCUCAGAGCCUAUGACAUAGAGUUCCGACCCCGCACGGCGAUAAAGACUCAGGCACUGGUUGACUUCAUAUCAAAAUGGACUGAGCACCAGGUCCCGAAAAGCCCAGAGGUCGCUGAAGUAUGGAGAAUGUACUUUGAUGGCUCGCUGAAGCUGCAAGGAGCGGGGGCAGGGAUUCUCUUUAUUGCUCCUGGAGGUGAACAAUUCAAGUAUGCACUCCAGCUUUUGUUUCCGGCAUCCAAUAAUGCAGUAGAGUACGAAGCACUGGUCCACGGGCUGAGCAUCGCGGUUUCACUUGGCAUCAAGAAGUUGAUGGUGUACGGCGAUUCACUAGUAGUCAUAAGUCAAAUAAACAAAGAUUGGGACUUCUCGAUCGACUCAAUGGGCAAAUAUUGUGUAGCCGUGCGAAAGCUGGAAGACAAGUUCAAAGGAUUGGAGUUCACCACGUGGAAAGGGAUCACAAUGCAGUAGCUAAUGCAUUAUCGAAACUGGGGUCCAGUCGGGCCUAAGUUCCACCUGGGAUCUUCGUCCAAGAAAUACAGCAACCAAGCAUCAUCACGGAUCAGAUGGAAGAAUGCAACGCCCUGAGUCAGCUAGAGGCGGAUCCCAAUGACUGGAGAGAGUCGAUCAUCAGGUACAUAAAGAACAAAGAGGAACCGGAUGACGAGUCCAUAGCAGAGCGCAUUGCAAGAUAGUCGGCCCACUAUACCAUCAUAGGGGGCCUGCUGUACAGAAGAGGCACAGGAGGAGUCCUCAUGAAGUGCAUCCAUUCGGCUACCGGGAGACAGCUAUUAGAUGAUAUUCAUGCUGGGAAGUGUGGUGUGCAUGCUGCAUCAAGGACUAUGGUGGGAAAGGCUUUCAGAUUUGGGUUCUAUUGGCCAACUGCAAAGAGGGAUGCCGCCGAGUUAGUCCAGAAGUGCGAGGCGUGCCAAUUCUUGUCAAAACAACAACACUUACCUGUGCAGCAGCUGCUGACCAUUCCUGUGACCUAACUGUUUGCAUGCUGGGGGCUGGACAUGAUUGGGCCUUUCAAGAAAGCUCAAGGAGGGUAUACUCACAUACUGGUUGCCAUCGACAAAUCUACGAAGUGGAUAGAGUACAAGCUGAUAGCUUCCUUGACCUCAGCAAAGGCAGUGGAGUUCAUUCAGUAGAUAAUGUUCAGGUUUGGAAUACCUAAUAGCAUCAUCAUUGACCUAUGAUCUAACUUCACCAGCUCGGAGUUCUUCGAUUUCUGUGAGCAGAGGAGCACUCAGAUCAAGUACGCAUUAGUGGCACACCUAAGAGCUAAUGGGCAGGUGGAAAGAGCCAAUAGAAUGAUACUAGAUGCACUCAGAAAGAAAGUGUUCGAUAAAAGCGAGAAGCUUGCUGGGAAGUAGAUCAGGGAACUACCAUACGUGGUCUGGAGCCUGCGAACCCAGCCAAGCUGAGCCCUGCAUGGAAACACCCCAUUCUUCAUGGUAUAUGGGUCGGAGGUAGUGCUACCUGCCGAUCUGAUCUUUGGGGCACCCAGGUUGACCUUUGAAAGCAUAGCUGAGGCAGAAGCAACCAGGCUAGAGGACAUCGACGUGUUGGAGGAGGAGCGAUUAAAUAUGGUAAUUCAGUCGGCCAGAUACCAGCAGACCUUGAAGCGCUACCAUGACAAAGCUAUGCGACAUUGAUCCUUCACAGUGGGAGACUUGCUCCUCCACCAGGUACUAACGGGGGAGGGAUGACACAAACUGUCACCACCAUGGGAAGGACCGUUCAUCGUGGCAGAGGUCACACGACCGGGAUCCUACCGGCUUACUCAAAUGGAUGGCACCGAAGUGGGGAACUCAUGGAAUAUCGAGCACCUCAGAAAAUUCUACCCCAAGCAAUACCUCAAAACUCUUGAGGGCGAGUUGUACUCUGUAAUCAGAAGAUUCCUUCGUCAAUGAAGCUUUCAUCUUCCAAGGCAUUCAAAUUCUUGAUUGACAACUGACUUAGAUUGGGCUCAACUCGAAAACAACAUAACGUGACUUAGGGUGAUCACUAUGCCCUAUUAACGGAGCAAUCGGCUUAAGUCGGAAACGCCUUAAGUCGGUGCGACAUGCUCACGCUUACAUGACUUAGGGUGAUCAUUAUACCCUAAUAACGGAGCAAUCGGCUUAAGUCGGAAAUACCUUAAGUCGGUGCGACAUGCUCACGCUUACUUGACUUAAGGUGAUCACUAUGCCCUACUAACGGAGCAAUCGGCUUAAGUCGGAAAUGCCUUAAGUCUGUGCGACAUGUUCACGCUUACAUGACUGAGGGUGAUCACUAUACCCUACUAACAGAGCAAUCGGCUUAAGUCGGAAAUGCCUUAAGUCGGUGCGACAUGCUCACGCUUACACAACUCAGGGUGAUCACUAUACCCUACUAACAGAGCAAUCGGCUUAAGUCGGAAACGCCUUAAGUCGGUGUGAUAAGCUCAUGCGUACGCAGGCAAGGGUGAUCACUAUUCCCUAGUAACAAAAUAGCUAACUCAAAUCAGGAGUAUUUCGAGAAAGAAAUAACUCACGCGCAUUGUCAAGGGUGUUUUUAGCACCCUGCUGAUGGAGCAAUAAGUUCAAACAUAGCAAUUACAUACACACAGAAUUCACAUUACAUUUUUCUGUAAAAAGUACUAACUCAAUGAGCAAGUGUUUUCAAGCAAAUCAUUGUGUUGAAGCAUUCUUGCAGGAAGCCUCGACUGCAGGAGUAGCGGAAGAAGAUGGUCGACUCAUGACAUCAGGUGCAGCAACAACAUCAGCGACAAUGUCUUCAGGCACCAUCCCCCCGGUGCGAACAGCCUUAUCCAUGGCCUUGUCGCACAUCGCCUUCAUAACGACGCAGUCGUCCUCCAAGGCCUUGAUAUGGAGGCGAGCGGCCUCCAGCUCCUGAGUAACAAGCUUCUUGGAAGCGCGUAGCUCCUUGAUGACAAAAUCUUUGGUAGACAACAACUUGCCAAGUCGAGACACUUCAUCCUGGGAUGCCCUCAAUUCAUCGCGAUGAUGGUCCAAGUCCGACAUGGUAAAACAGUGACUCCUCUCCAGAAUGGUUAAGGAAGUGUUGGCAUCACGGUAUAGCCUAUCCAGAUUGUCACGAGAAGCAACGAGUGCUCGUUUUUUCUCGUGUAAGCAAGAACAACACUGAGCAUCGAAGCAAGGAAAGAAAGAUAGAAGCAGCCAAGAGAGUUUACCUCACAUGUCAUCUUCUCGAAGUCAAGUUGUGCAUUCAGAGAAGAGUUUAAGGAGCGAGCACUGUCCAAGAAAGCAGAGGUUUGGCUCAAGUUGGCCUGACUCUAGGUAUACUUCUCUUCAGUAUCAGAGCAUCGCCGAGCCAAAGCUGAUAAAGCAGCAGAGAAAAGCACAACAUAUAAGAUAAGCAGAGCAAUGAAAGCGAAAAAGGAAACUAUGAGCUCACUAACCAAUGUUUGAUGCCUUCAGGUCAUCUAUCUAUUUUUUGAAGCAGUAGAGGGUUCCACUGCAUCAAGGAUGAAACUUGGUCGGGGACAGGAGCGCCACAGGAUUUCAGUUGGGCAGAUACGGAACCAAGAACAUCCUAUGAUUAUGAAAAGAUAAGCAAAAAAAAACUAGUUUGCCAGUGUGAAUGGUAAAAAGCAAAAUUUGAUUCACCUGAAGAUUGGAGAGGAACAAAGGAAGGCCCAUAGUAGAAAGAAUUGAUACAUUGCUUGAUGAGGGGAUGUCAACGGGAAUGAUGUCGAAGGCACCACUUGGAGGAACCUCAGCCUCGUCAACAGGUGGCAGACUCCUGGCGUCUGGGUCACUGGCCUCUAAAGUGACCAGACCAGCAAGAGCAGCAGAUAAGUGUGUCAACACGGCGUCCUCAGAUUGGACCGGUGGCGAUCCAGCGUGGACGUCCAUGGAAGCAGUAGAAAGGGAGCCUGCCCCAACUCCCUCGGGGGCUGGGUCGCUCCCAACACCACCCUCGGGGGCUGGGCCCUCCGUAGCAGCCACUCCCAAGGUGUGUCGCCCAGAAUUUUCAAAGAUUUUCUGAACAAGUGAUAUCCACGAAAUAUACGCAAUGAAUGUACCACGAAAAAAGGAGGAGAUCGGCUGAGACGGGAGGAAGUAUAAAUGUGGUUACUGAAGCGCAAGUCUAAUCAACAGAAGCAUUGAAACACAGAGCAGGGUGAUGUCCAACUGAGGACCAUCUGCCUCAACUAGCGAGACGUCCAAUCUGUCACCGAUCAAAUUGAUUUCAGACCUAACAAGGCAUGGACAGAUGGCAUCGUCUGGAUAUUCAAAAAAUGUUGAUUUCAAAAGCAUAAGAUGAAGACCUUUGAAUGGAUUAUUUCUAAAAUCCACUCAAAGCUCGGGGACUACACCCAUUGGGUGCACCUUCGGUGCACCCAAAAAAUCUACAGUGGCUCGAUGCUAAAAUGUUGAUUUCAAAAGCAUAAGAAAUAUCUUUGAAUGGAUUAUUUCUAAAAUCCACUCACCCAAAAGCAAAACAGAAAUCAGGCUAUACAACAAACCCAUAGGCCGGACCAAGAAUCUUUGGGCCGAUUAUUUCAAAAUCAACUCAAAGAUUGGGGCCUUGUGGGGGAUAGAUAUCCCCCGGGUCCACUAAAAGGCGAAAGGUCCUUGCGUGAGGCCUCGGGCCAGUUACCCCGCAAGACCAUAUCUUCAUGGGCCGGGCAAAAACUACUGGCGGAAUGGGCCAGUCCAAGAAGGCGAUGGACUUGGGUCCAGAUGGUCCAUCGAAUCGUGCGCUACCCCAAGAAACCACCUGACUUUCUCGCGUCUGGCACCCUCUAAUGUCGGGCUAAUCAGGGAUGAGUUGGUGGGAUUUUCGGGAGAUUGGUUCAGUCGGUUCACUAUUAGUUAGGAGAUACAUGAUCAUCAUGUACAUAUGGAGUGCCCCACGGUCGUCUAUAUAAGGCCCAGGGGGAACCCCAUCAUUUUCAUCCUAUCUAUCUAUCUAUCUCAUUAGACUCUCUCCAUUCAGGAGACACCACUUGUAACACACCACAUACAGAUCCACCCCAGGAAGUAGGGUAUUACACCUCUCAAAGCGUCCCAAACCUGCAGAAAAUCGCCUAUCUCUCUCUCGUGCUCCCAGCAUGGACCAUUGAGCUACAAUCAACAACAUCGUCCUACCCAAAAGCACCACAACGGUAACCCUGGGUGUGCGGUCGGACACUAAACACCGACACGCUCCACAAGACGAGAGGGCAGGAAAGGAAUCACUGAUUUGCACAGUAUGUGCCUAAGGCUAGCCAUCCACAAAAGGCACCGUAAGUAUAAGGAUAAGAUUAGAGCUAAUAGGACUAGAAAGUAAACCAUAAAAAUAUUAGGAAACAAAAUAAAAUAAGAUUUAUCAAGGGUUGGUCGAGAUGACCGUCUUUUGAAGUGACACCAAACAUCAAGGUGAGAAUAAGGGUCCAUAAUCCUUAGAACAACCAUUCUACACUAGGUUAGCGGUCCUACAGUCAACAAGGCUUUGAUACCACUUAUGUCACACCCGGUUUUAGAAGGUAAACCGAAUGCAAAUCAUGUACGUGCCAGGAUCAGAAAUUCACGUACACAAUGAUUACCUAAUUUGACAUCAUCACACAAUGCUCAAAUAUUAGCGGAAAUAAGUAUUACUUUAUUACAUUAUGAUGUCCAAAACAUCCACAUAGUCAUUAACUUAAACAUAAAUCAAAGUGCUGAAUGAAACGUAGUAAGAUAAGGCCUUCACAGGCAGCCGAGUGGGGGUGUGCCACUAGUCUAGUUUAGAAUUCCUCGAAGUCUUGAAACUCCUGAAAAUUCUCUGUGUUUCCUUCAUCUUCUCUUGAGCAAUGGUUGCAAUAGGAACAACCUGGUGUUUGGUAUUUAAGCAAGGGUGCGUACACAUCAACAUACUCAGCAAAUGUCUCGUUUAGUUGAAGUGGACUAGCUGUAUGUGGGGUUAAGCUCAAAGCAGUUGCUUUUAGUUGGUCAGGUGUUUAUCAUUAGUCGAAGCCAAGUUUUAUCAUAAAACCCAAGUUGAUAUUCCAAAAGAAAGCACCUCCUUAGAGAGGAAAGUACCAUAUAUCACAAGUAUAGCCAUCAUCUUUAAACCAUCAGCAUAAAUAUUUCCAGAGUAUCUCAAAUCAAAGAGGAUUCGAAGGCUACUCAUAACUAUGAGCAUAGCUAAUAUAUUAGUUUCUAACCCUAUGCAGAGGUUGCACAUUUUACCUACGAGUUGUGACCCCUUUUUGCCUCGGGUUGAUCAAACCCUCAAACACUACCAAGAUGAGUUGGUAAGGUUUCACUAUGUAGCCUUUACAAAGAUUAUCCUGGUGUGUAGCUGCACGUUAGGUUUUGUCUGUCGUACAAACAAAGUACUCCUCCCUACGAUGGGUGACUAACAAAAUCAUGUUCGUUGAUUAGGGUAAAGCACUAGCAUGUAGCUGAUUAUAAUAACCCAACCCAAAAAGGUAAUCAAGGAUAGGAUAAAUCGAAAGCUAGUCAAUCCUCAGGCUAUUCAUAGUAUGCGGACAGUAAAUUAUAAAAUAAAUAGGACAUAAUAGGUCAGAGGAAACUUGCCUUCACUAAACUGUUGCUGCUCAGGAGCUUCUCCUGCAACUUCCUUGGACUCCACGAACAGAACGUUAUCUAAGUGAGUGCGAACACACAUUCAACAUUCUUAAAAUAGAAAGGAAUAGUACACCAUAAAAGGGAAAACAUUAUAAACACGUGCAAUACAAAAUAGUGUUCGCUGCUACGGUCACACGAGAAAAAGAAACUCCGAGAUCGAAGCUGCGAUUGAGAAGUUUUUGCGUAUACGUUGUACAAAUAUAAAAUAGAACAUUUAAUUUGACAUACUUGCAUUAAUCAACAUUUAUUAAAUGUAACCUAGAACUAUCGCCUUAUUUUAAUUAAUUCUCGUUACACUAGCAGCUCUCGGUUAAUUAAACAAUUUAAAUUAUAUUAGCGACUCUUAGCGAGACGAAUUCACGCUACGAGACAAAGUACGCAACGCGCGAAACAACACUGCAGCACGCGCACCAAUACGACAUGCGAGGACUAAUAAAUGGAUAGCAUGUUUAAACUAAACAAUUAUUAAUAAAGAAUAUUUCAGUUAAGGUUAACCAUGUUGGUGUUUAUUUAUAAAUGCGCAAAUUGAAACCCUAAUUUAGAUUUAAAUUAAUAAGCUACUUUAAUAACCAUCGAUCAAACAAACAUUUAAAUAAAAUAUGUAAUAGAAGAGAAUAAUGGUUCUAACAUGUAGAUAAUUUUAAUACAAAUCUAAUGCGACUUGAACGGAGUGAAUCAGAUUUAAAAUGCAAAAGAUAUCGUGAUUUUAAAUUGAAACACCUCUUUGUGCGCAGUUUUAAAAUUCUUAGGAGUUUUUUUUCGCAAAAAUGUCAUCGUCUUCCUCCCUCUAUCCUCUUUUUUCACCAUGGCAAGGAAGGGGACGGGGCCGUGCAGGGGGGAAGGGAAGGGAGAAGAGAGGGAGGGGCUACGCGAGCGAGGGAGAAACAAAGAAAUUCCAUGUACAACAAUGGUGCAGGGCUCACCAGAGAAGACGACCUCCCCGGAGCCGAGGACAAAUUCCCCGAUUAACGACGAACCGUCGGUCAGAUCGACGAAUCCAAGGCACCGGGACAAAGCUCUCGAUGAGACGAAUGUAGUGGUACCCUUGGAUUCCGACAACGAUGCACGAAUCGAAAGUAAUUGCUUGCCGGAGUUGUCGCCGGAGUGAGAACCGUCUCGAACUUUGGCGAGUAAUUUCGGGAGUUUCGGAUCUAAACUGAGGAUGAGGUUUUGAAACUCGGAAAGAGAUCGAUGAGAGGAUUCCAACCAUAUAUAUAUUUCUAGGGGUUGAAGACAUUUUAUUUUUCGUAAUUAUCCCAUUUUUAAAAUUACAAAUAAUUCAAGAAAAAGGCUGAAAUCGUUUUUAAUGCUCGAACAAUAUCUCGAAGGCUCCGAAAAUUCUAGGAAAAUUCUUAGACAUGAUUCGGCACCCAAUGAACUCAAAAAACAUAUUUAGAACUUUUCAAAAUGUUUUUAAGUACCUCAAAUAAAUGGCUUGUGAAUUUCGGAAAAUAAAAGUAUUUAGAAAAAUAUGAAAAUUUAUAGGAAACUUCUACAAGACAUAUGAACAUGUUUCAAACACUUCUUGCACUUAGAAACACUAUGCAACAGCAUGAAUGCAACAACCAUGACACUUCUAGAGCACACGCCAACAUAGAACAAAAUAACUCUCUAUUAUUUUAAUAAAGGGAAAAGAACGAAGAAAAGAAAGUGUAACACCUGAAUUUUGAGUACAGAGUAAAGAAAUUUUUAUACCCCAAAUUCUAGGUGUUACAGUUGUACAUUUGAUUUUUCCAAUGUUUUAAUACUUAUCAAAUGCUUUGUUUGUGUAGCUUCUAUGCCUAGAUUAAUAAAGUUCGUUUUAUAAUUUUUAACACACUGUUCAUGCUCAUUUUUUUGCCAAAAAUAUUAGUCGUAUAACCAUGGAUCUUUAGUGAGAAGCUCCUAUUACUUACCCCAUACAUCUUUCCUUGCUAGAAAUUAGUUUCUUGGAUUUUUGGUGGAUAUUAUUUUUUCAUGAAAAAACAUAGGUGUUAGCCAUUGAUACUGCCGAAAGCGAUCGUUCAUGGCCAUUUUGGCCAAAAAUAAUGGUCGUAUACACAUUAAUCUUUGGUGAGAGGCUUUUAUUACUUAUCCCAUAGAUAUUUUAUUGAAAGAAAACAGUUUCUAGCAAAAGGGCCUCUCGCCUAGUGGUUAAAGGCUCUCGAGUAGCACCUCCAAGUCCUGGGUUCGAUCUCUGUCGUGGGAAAAUUUUUCGGUUUUACUAAAAAAAUCCCCUAACUGUGUCUCAUCUGCUCUCGAGUUAUGAUAUCAUGUGUGCCCCUACAUUUGGCCCAUCAUUUGGACCAUUGCAUAGUGGACAAUUGACACCAAGUCCGUUAGUGAUAGGAAGCCAAGGUUCAGGGAUAUUUUUGGCUGGUACCAGUGUUUCGAUGUGUGCAUCCUUGAGUGUUGGCUCCAGGCAUCCCUCCUCAACCGAGUUUUUCAAAAAUAGUUUCCUCAUUUUUUGUUGUGGCCAUUUCUUUACGAAAAAUCCAUAGCUUUUAGCCUUCGGUAUUUUCGAAAACAUUUGUUCAUGCUCGUUUUCUACCAAAAAAAAUCGGUAGUAUAACCAUGGAUCUUUGGUGACUGUCUCCUAUUACGAUAUUACUUACCCCAUUUAUAUUUUCAUGCUAGAAAUUAGUUUCUUGGAUUUUUGGUGGAUAUCAUGUCUUCAUGAAAAAUACAUAGGAAUUAGCAUUUGGUAGUGUCGAAAACAGUCAUUUUUGGCCAAAAAUAUUGGUCGUGUACUCAUGGAUCUUUGUGAGAGGCUCCUAUUACCUACCCCAUACAUAUUUCCUUGCGAAAAUUUAGUUUCUUGUAUUUUUGGUAGAGACUUUAUUCGUGAAAAAUCCAUAGGUGUUAGUGUUUAGUAUUAUCGAAAACAGACGUUCAAGCCCGUCAUCGGUGUAGUAAAUCCAAAGGACUCAUUGUUUAUGAGAAGAUACUAGCUAGGAAAAUAUUGUCUCGGCUAGGUACAUCCUAGUGACCCAAGAAUAUCUGAGACUCAAUAGAUCUAGACAUCGAAAAAACCUGAAGUUAGUAAACUAGCUAAAAAAUGUGAAACAUGAAAAUCGGCCCAACAUCAAGGGAUGUCCAAAAUCUACACAAGAAAAUGGAUUGAAGAAACAACACAUGCUUGAUUGUCUAGAUUGCCAUGUUUGACAUGUCGGAACCAACAAAAAGUCUAGAAAUCAAAAACCAAAAAGAGAAAAAGGAUUGGAACAAGAGUGAAGGUGAUUUGUUGUUUAUAGUUGACUUUAUUUUAUAAAAAAUUUAAAAAGGGAGUUGAACAAGAGUGAAUGUGAUUUAUUGUUUAUAGUUUUUAAGGGGGUGGAGUGGAACAAGAGCGAAGGUGAUUUGAUGUUUAUACUUUUUUAAAGAUGAUUUGAUGUUAAUAAUUUUUUAUAAGGAAAAAAUAAGUAGAGAACUGAUGAUGACUACAUGCUUUUGCUUUUCUUUUCUUUCAUGAGAGGAGUGCAUGUCAUGCGUUUGUUUUGAACUUUUGCAUGAGAGGAAAAGAGCUAGGACCUACUUAUAGCAAUUGUGUACACGCGUUAGUCUUUGAACUAACUCGCCAGGGUUUUUUCAAGGAACAAAAAUAGGCCAGCCAGCGAUGUCUGUGGUGUGCCAUACGUCAAGGUCUAGAUUCCUUGCCUCCAUCGUCCAUAAAUACAUGCACAUCUGCAACAUCGAUCUCCACACACACACACAUCCAUCAAAUAAACAAGCGCACACGAACAAAUACCUCGCCGCCAAUAAUGGCCUCCAGAUCCUCCAUUGUGCUCGCCACGGCGAUGCUAGCUACACUAUUCGCGGUUGGUUUGUGCACCACCCCGCUCACCUUCCAGGUCGGUAAGGGAUCCAAGCCUGGCCACCUGAUCCUCACCCCGAACGUUGCCACCAUAUCCGACGUGGAGAUCAAAGAGCAUGGUGGCGAUGACUUCUCCUUUACGCUGAAGGAGGGCCCGACCGGCACCUGGACACUCGACACCAAGGCCCCGCUCAAGUACCCCCUUUGCAUCCGCUUUGCUGUCAAGUCUGGUGGCUACCGCAUCGCCGACGACGUCAUCCCCGCCGAUUUCAAGGCUGGCACCACUUAUAAGACGACACUCAGCAUCUAAUCAGCAUCUGAAGAUGAACUAUAUUUCAAAAGAGCUCAUCUGGCGCACGUGUUAGCAAGACAAUUUUUUUCUUUGGUUAUUUUAUGGCACCAAACCACCCAAGAAAUAAGUUAUGCUACAUGUCCAUAUGAUGCCUUGUUGUGUUGGGUUGAUAUUUUUACAUAAACUAAAUACAUUAUUUAUUUAAGAUCUUUGGAGAAAUUUGUUGAUCUGGUCUAGCUUUAUUAUUGAGAUGGUUGUACAUUUGAUUUUCCAAUGUUUUAAUACUUAUGGAAUGCUUUGUUUGUGUUGUUUCUAUGCAUGGAUUAAUAAAGUUCGUUUUAUCAUUUUUCACACACUGUUCAUGCUCAUUUUUUUUGCCAAAAAUAUCGGUUGUAUAACCAUGGAUCUUUAGUGAGAAGCUCCUAUUACUUACCCCAUACAUCUUUCCUUGCUAGAAAUUAGUUUCUUUGAUUUUUGGUGGAGAUUAUUUUUUCACAAAAAUCCAUAAGUGGUAGUCUUUGAUAUUGUCGAAAGCGGUCGUUCAUGGCCGUUUUGGCCAAAAAAUAUUGAUCCUAAACACAUGAGUAUUUGGUUAGAGGCUCUUAUUACUUAUCCCAUAGAUAUUUUAUUGAUAGAAAAUAGUUUCAUGCGAGAGGGCCUCUAGCCUAGUGGUUAAAGGGUCUCGAGUAGCACAUUUUAGUCCUGGGUUCAAUCCCCCUCGUGGGUGAAUUUUUUGGUUUAGUUAAAAACAAUCCCAUAGUUGUGUCUCAUCUACUCUAGGGUUACGAUAUCAUGUGUGCUAGAGUGGACAGUUGACACCAGCCUGUUAGUGAUGGGAAGCCAAGGUUCAGGGAUUUUCUUGGCUGGGACUAGUGUUUCGGUCUCUUCUUAGCCGUUAGUGGGUUGUAUGCAUCCUUGAGUGCCGGCCCUUGGCAUUAUACUGGGAGGGUAGUCAUUUCCUCCCCGAUCGAGUUUUUUUAAAUAUAGUUUCCUCAUUUUUUGGUGCAGGCCAUUUCUUAUGAAAAAUCCAUAGCUUUUAGCCUUUGGUAUUGCAGAAAACAGUCAUUCAUGCCUGUUUUCUGCAAAAAAAAUCGGUAGUAUAACCAUGGAUCUUUGGUGAGUGGCUCCUGUUACGAUAUUAUUUACCCCAUUCAUAUUUUCAGGCUAGAAAUCAGUUUCUUGUAUUUUUUGUGGAUACCAUUUCUUCAUGACAAAUACAUAGGAAUUAGCCUUCGGUACUAUCAAAAACGGUCAUUCAUGGGUGUUUCCAGCCAAAAAUAUUAGUCGUGUAGUCAUGGAUCUUUGGUGAGAGGCUCGAAUUACUUACCCCAUAUAUAUUUCCUUGAUAAAAUUUAGUUUCUUGUAUUUUUGGAAGACUUUAUUUAUGAAAAAAUGCAUAGCAGGCGUUCAUGCCCGUCACGGGUGUAGUAAAUCCAAAGGACUAAUUGUUUAUGAGCAGAAACUAGCUAGAAAAAUAUUGUCCCAACUAGGUACAUCCUAAUGGCCCAAGAAUGUUUCUGACUCAAUAGGUCUAGAUGUCAAAAAAAACCCAAAGUUAGUAAGCUAGCUAACAAAAAAUGUGAAACAUAAAAACCGGCCCGAGAUCAUGGGAUGUCCAAAAUCUACACAGGACAAUGGAUUGAAGAAACAACACAUGUUUGAGUGUCUAGAUUGCCUUGUUUGACAUGUCGGAACCAACAAAAAGACUAGAAAUCAUAAACCAAAAAGAGAAAAAGGUAUGGAACAAGAGUGAAGGUGAUUUUUUUAUUUAUAGUUUACUUUAUUUUAUAAAAGAAUUUAAAAAGGGAGUGGAACAAGAGUGGAUGUGAUUUAUUGUUUAUAAUUUUUAAGCGGGGUGGAGUGGAACAAGAGCGAAGGUGAUUUGAUGUUUAUAGUUUUUAAAGAUGAUUUGAUGUUUAUAGUUUUUAUAGGGAAAUAAGUAGAGAACCAAUUAUCACUACAUGCUUUUGCCUUUUCUUUCCUUUUCUUUUAUUUUACGAGAGGAGUGCAUGUCAUGCGUUUGUUUUGAACUUUUGCAUGAGAGGAAAAGAGCUAGGACCUACUUAUAGAAAUUGUGUACAAGCGUUAGUCUUUGAACUAGCUGGCCAGGGUUUUUUCAAGGAACAAAAAUAGGCCAGCCAGUGAUGUCCAUGGCGUGUCAUAUGCCAAUGUCUAGCUUCCUUGCCUCUAUCGUCAAUAAAUACAUGCACAUCUGCAACAUCAAUCUCCACACACACACACAUCCAUCAAAUAAACAAGCGCACACGAACAAAUACCUCACCGCCAACAAUGGCCUCCAGGUCCUCCAUCGUGCUUGCCAUGGAGAUACUGGUUGCGCUGUUUGGGGUUGGUUCGUGCACCACCCCUCUCACCUUCCAGUCGGAAAGGGAUCCAAGCCUAGCCACCUGAUCCUCACUCCCAACAUUGCCACCAUAUCCAACAUGGAGAACAAAGAGCACAGCAACAAUGACUUCUCCUUUACUCCUAAGGAGGGCCCGACCGGCACCUGGAUGUUCGAUACCUAGGCCCCGCUGAAGUACCCCUUUGCAUUCGCUUUGCUGUCAAGUCUAGCGGCUACUGCAUCGCUGACUACGUCAUCCCUGCUGAUUUCAAGGUCGGCACCACCUAUAAGACCACACUCAGCAUCUAGUCAGCCUCUGAUGAUGAAUUAUAUUUCAAAAGAGCUCAUCUCUCGCACGUGUUAGAAAGACAAUAUUUUUUCUAUGGUUAUUCUGUGGCACCAAACCACCCAAGAAAUAAGUUAUGCUACAUGUCCCUUCUGACGCCUUGUUGUGUUGGGUUGAUAUUAUUAUAUAAACUGAAAUACAUUAUUUAUUUAAGAUUUUAGGAGAAAUAUGUUGAUCUGGUCCAACUUCAUUAUCGAGAUGGUUGUACAUUUGAUUUUCCAAUGUUUUAAUACUUAUGAAAUGCU
rnacentral:lncRNA from 1 species